UGUGUGUGUGUGUUAGGUUUGCGAGUGAAUUGUUGAGACUUGAGACUUGAGUGACUGUGCAGCGUGUGUGUGUGCUGUGCAGCUCGUGUGUGUUCUGUUCUGUCAUUCUGUGUGUGUGCUGUGCAAGUGUACAGCUUGUGACUUGUGUAGUUGUGUAGUUGUGUGUGCAGCAGCGUAUGUGUGUGUGGCUGUGUGCUGUGCAGCUUGUGACAAGUUGUGUGUGUGUGUGUGUUGUGCAGCAGCCGAGAGUGUGUGGCUGUGUGCAGUGUUACUGUUAGCCUUUUCCUUUAUAAAUUCAUAUCGAGCUAGAGCUACCCACUCAAGGUAACAACUUUAGAAAUUCUCCAUUUUACCACAUGUUUAAUUACGAGUUCCCGCAACAUGAUAAGGGAUUAAGGGUUUCCUGAAUCCCUUUUUUUUUUUUGUGGGGUUUCUUUUUUCCCCUCGCUCCCAGUACAUGGAACCCAUAAUUAAACAUAGAAAUAAGUUUAUUAUAUAUAAAUUAUGAUAACAAGAUGGUAGGCUUACACUUCUGAGGAUUUUGAACAGAGUAAACAGAUUCCAUUUGUCUGCAAGAGAAUCGCGACAUGAAUAUAAGUAGUGUUAGCUUAAGGUUUUUUUUUUUUUUUUUUGAGAACCCGAUCGGGUAUUUGGAUCGGGUCGGGUUUGACCCGAACCGAUCACAACCCGAUCGGGUUUGUAAAUUUCAAACCGAUCAGGUUUCGAUCCCGACCCGAACCCAAAAUUUAUUGGGUCGGGUUGGGUCGGGUCGGGUCGGGUCGGAUCGGGUAAAAUGCCCACCCCUAGACCUAAGUUUAUUUUUUUCAAUAAACGACUUAGGUCCGUUCUUUAUAAAGAAUGAUCUAUGUCCAUUCCUUACAAAGAAUUACUUGGCCAUUCAAAAAAUAUUCCUAAGUCAAACAGUCAAAUAUAUGAUUUGAGUUUUCGACAAAGUACCAAAGGCGUGAUUCUACAAAGAAGGACCUAAGUUCACAUUUUACAAAUAAUGACCUAGGUCUAUUCUUUUACAAAAUGUCAAAGAUAUGAUUUUACAAAGAAAGACCUAGGUUCAUUCUUUACAAAUAUUGACCUAAAUACUUAGAAAAUAUUUAUAUGAGCCUUUGGGCCAACAAGCAUUCUACGGAAUGUGGCUAUGGGUAAAUAUACAUUUUACGAAAUAUAUCUACGGACAAAUAUAUAUUUCACGAAAUGUGCCUAGGUGCAAAUAUACAUUAUAUGGAAUAAGUGUACGAGCAAAAUAAAUAUUCUAAAAAAUGUGUCUACGAGCAAAUAUACAUUUUACGGAAUGAGCUUAUGGGCAAAUAUAUAUUUUAUGGAAUGAACCUAUAGGAAAAUAAGUAUUCUGUGGAAUGAGCCUACAGGCAAUUGUUGCGAUAAAUUCAAAUGCUAUGGGUGUCAAUGUGCAAAUGUACAUAACAAGUAAUAUAAUGAUGAGUAUUUAAGAUCGUCUCCACAGGGAUUGGUGUUAUUAGAUUUGCUACAACAAUCUUAACAGUGCAGUUUUGCUUUAAUUAAAAAUAAAAUAGGUAAUAAAACUAAUAAAUUAAUUGAAAUAAAAUGCAAUAAAUAGAAAUGCAAUAAAUAAAUUCUCACAUCACACACAAGGAUAAAACCAAUGGGAAUGAAGUAGUUGAGUGAUUAAACUCACUUAAUGGUUUUGACUUUUUUUUCCUAAUGUUUGGCUGGGUUGUUACAACAUCUGCAGCACUAGGUAGAAUUCUUAUGUAUCCUCAGCUGUCGCAUGUUGGAUAUCUUAUAUCUAUACACAACUUAAUAAUGAUCAGUUGUUAUGCCAACAUAAGAAUGUCGCUACUGUUUUAAUAUCAAAAUUUUUGGCUCAAAAUGUAAAUAAAUAAAAUAAGUUUCUAUGCCAUAAUAUAAAUUAUAAAAAAUAUAGGGAUCAAAAUGUUAUCUUGCGUUGUUGACUUUUGGUCAAGGACCCUUUUGAAAAGUUUGCAAAAUAUGUUAGGCCAUAAUAGAAUUUCUAUAUGCAAAUAUUUUCUAAAUAUUGGGUCAUACUAAAAUUUUAUAAAAGAGAGGGUUCCAAAUGAUAUUAUCGGGUUCGGGUUUUUUAAAGUUUGAUCCGAAAAUCGAACCGAACCGAAAAAACCGAACCAAAUUUCUAUAUUCGAUUUUUUUUUUCAAAAAAACCCGAACCGAAACCGAAAAAAACCGAACCGAACCGAAUUUUUUUCGGUUCCUGUUCGGUUUUGCCCACCCGUAGCUAGUAUCAUUAAAUGGGUAAUCAACCAAAAUAAUGAAUAGAAAUAAGUAUUAUUAAAACAAAACAUUAUAGCAAACAUGCAUCAACACAUAAAAUCAGUCAAUGAACCACUAAGAUUGUUUAUCACUCAACCACAACUAAAUUUAGUUCAUGGUUUGUGAAAAAAAAAAUAAAAAAGAGAGCUUUAGCCAUAAAGUACAUCCCCAUGAAUAAAUAGAAAACAAGAAAAGAAUAAGAAAGAUUGAUUUUCAAUGGAUCUCUGUGUUUUCUCCUUAGGUGCAGCCCUCAAUCUCUCUUGAAUUCUGUUUUUCUUUUAUUUCUUUGCGGUUUUUCUCCUUGGGUGACGACUUUCUCUUUUCCUUUGCGUGUGUCCUUCUUUUAUAGCUAAAACUUAGGGUAAAUGGAAGUAUAGGGCACGUAUCUUCCAGAUUAGGAAACUCCGUAUCGCAAUCUUAUAAGUAUCUCGAGUGAAAUCUUCUCCGCCGUUGUUCUAAGAUUGCUAUGGCAACAGAUGCUACAACAACUGCUACAACAUUUGCAUUGUUUCAGACUUGCUUCAAUUCUUCUGUAGUCAUGUUCUAUUCCAUCUUUUGCAAGCCUAUUGCAGCAGCAGCAUUCCUUCGUUAAAAUUUGAGCUUCCGGUCACUUACAAUUAUGCAUAUGAUCUAAGCACACAAAAUUAUUCGAAAACAACACAAUUUAUUAAAAAUAAACUAAAAUGGUUAUUCAUGCAAAAUAAAACUAAAAUGCAAUAAAAAUAUGUCAUUUACUCUCUAAGUAAUCUUGAUUUAAGUCUAAAAAUGUCAUGAUAACUCUUAUUUCAUAGAGUUAUCAGCAACUAAGUAUUCUACGGAGUGCACUAACAGGUAAAUAUACACUUUACAAAUGACCUAGGGCAAUUAAGCAUUCUAUGAAAUGAGCGUACAUGCAAAUAAAUAUUUUAUGGAAUUGCACCUAUGGGAAAAUAUACAUUCUAUGGAAUGAGCUUAUAGGCCAAAUAAACAUUCUAUGAAAUGCACCUACGUAUAAACAAAUAUUCUAUAGAAUGAGCAUACGAGCCAAAUAAAUAUUCUACUGAAUGAGCUUAUGAGCUAAUAAACAUUCUAUGGCAUGUGUUUACGAACAAAUAAACAUUUUAUGGAAUGAACUUAUAGGCUAACAAACAUUAUACGGAAUGAAAUUAUGGGCUAACAAACAUUCUAUACAAUAAGCCUACGCUAAAUAAACAUUCUAUAAAAUGAGCCUACUCAUAUAAACAUUCUAUAGAAUGAGCAUAUUAGUUAACAAAUACUCUGAAUAAUAUGUUACAGAUAAACUUUAUAAAAGCCACUUACUGGGCAAAAUAUUGCAAAAUUAAUCUUCUUUGUGAAGAAUCAAUAUAAGUGCCGAAUUCAAGCUCAAGCCCAUCAAAAGUCAAGGGCACAAAAUCAAGACAAGUGUCUAAAUAGACUUGUCGUGAACAAGUCAUAAUAUAUAUUGAUAGACGUCCUUAUACAUGGGCUUUUUGGACACAUAUCACAAUGACAAUGCUAAUGUCAUGAUAACUCCUCCACCUCAUACUUCAAGUUGCUUAUAUAAAGGUCAAGCAUCCCACAUUUGAAGGUAAGAUCAAGAAGCCAUAAAAUGAGUACAAAGUUUUGCCCAUCUCACUCUAUAUUUUCUCUAUCUAGAAAUUAGUAAAAAGAACUAACUUGAGUAUCAGAGGGUUAUCGCCAGCACGCUAGGCCCCUUGGCAAUUGUUUCUUUUUACAUAACAAUUAACCAUAAAGAGACACGUGAUUUGAGACACUCAACUUAAGAAAAAAUAUGCCGCAAAUCUUGAUUCAGAAUAAAGUUCGGAACAUAAAUUAAUCAUUGUACAUUGAGCAAAAUUUUUUAAUGUAUCAAAAAUUAAUUAGUCAAUGAAAUCCUCCCUAGUUGUGUAACAAUUGGAGAAAAUUAAUUUUCAAAGUGCCUAAAAAUACAUAUAAUACAGAAACGUCAAUUUACAAAUAAUUUUUUAUAGUUAAAUGUUGAAACAACCAAUUAAAAUCAUACCGACAUAAUAGAAAGUAUAAUAGAACCUGUUGAGGGUAAAUUAUAUGGGUGGUUUAGUAAUAUAAUAUUUCGUUAAAAAUGAGUGUUUAGAAUCAAUUUCUAAGAAAAAGAUUUUUACGAUUUUUCAAAAAAUGACAGGGGCUGCAAUGUUAAUAACCAAGUAAGCAAAUCUCUCACUGCUGAAUAACUUCUUCCAUAAAUUUAAUGGUUGAAUCAUAAAAGGGCAAAGUUAGGGUACCUUGCACAAAAGGCAAUGUGGCUAGACCCUAUAUUUAUUAUUCUUAGGAAAGGGGAGGAAUAUAUAAGGGUGCAUUUGGUAAUAUUUUUUAACUAAUGUUUUCGGCUCUUAUUUUAGAGAAAGAAAAUGACAUUUUUGAUGUGAUGUUUUUCAAAAUGAAAAUUUGUUUGGUAUUAUGUUCUCAAAACGGUAUAUGAAAAUGAAAACAAUAAAAAUUUGUUUGGUUGUUUGUCUGAAAAUAUCGAAUUUUUUAUAGAAUCUUAUAAAAUAAUUUUCUUCAAUUUAUUUAUACAUUUUAUCUUUUAUUAUUAUAAUUUUAAUAAAAAUGAAAUCAAAUUUCACACAACAAUAAUAAUUUUUAGAAAACCCUCUUAUAUUUUAUUAAGUUUAAGAAAAUAAAAUGAAAAAUAAAAUAGUAAAUGUAAAAUAAUUAGCAUAACAAAAUAAAAAACCAUUCUACAAUUACAUUUAUUAUAGACAUUUAAGUAGUUCAUUUGUACUAAUUAUAUUUUACAACACAAAAUAUAAAGGACAAAAUAGUACAUUGCAUCCAAAACAUGACUAAAUAUCUACAUAUAUUCCUUUCAACAUGAAGGACGUCACCUGCAAAUAAAUAAAAAAAUUAGCUAUAGGAUAUUUAAUAAUGAUAACAACAUAAAAAACUCAACUAUAUAACAAAUAAAAAUUAACAUACGUAUUAUGUCGUGUACAGUCAUGCCAUAAUGCUCUUGCAAUCAUAUCUCUAGUGGCAUUCAUUUGCCCAAUGUACUCUUGAUUAGAUAAAUUUAUGUCUACCACUAUAACUUUUCUGCCUCUGUAUGAUGUUUGUUUUUUAGCAGGUGCCCAUACAACUAUAUGAGUUCCAUCAAUUGCACUGAUACAUCCCUAAACAAAAAAAAAUUUAAAAAAAUUUAUAAUGUUUGUCAUUGCCUUCAGCUAUAAAUACGUACCUUAAAAUAUGGACAGUAUUUUAGGUAAUCUCUAACUUCACGUGGUGUCUCUCCUCGGUUUCUUGGACGAAUAAUAUUUGGUGCCAAAAAACAUAUUGCCUUACGAACACGCUUAAAUUGCCUAUGAAUUGUUUCAUUCGAGUGUUGGAAUCAAUCGCAGCAACAUGCUUAUGAAUACUAUGUGACACAAUAAAUAAAAAGAUUGCCACAACUUCAUGUACACUAACUUCUCUCUAAUUUCGUAGCGAGUCUAAUUCUUGGAGAGUGUCACAUAAUCUUAAAAAUACAUGUCUGUCCAUGCGAAAUAAAUCAUACAUCCUAUCUGAAUGCCAAGACAAUAAUUCUUGCACAUAAUCUCGUCCUAUUAAGGUAGAGAUAUUUCGUGGCCUUCUAUGUUGUCAAGAUUGCAGAUAAUGAGAAUAUAUGUUCAACAACAAGAGCAUACCUACUGCAAUCAUCAAGCUAUGAGCCACUAUCUAAUUCACCACUAUACGAUGGAUUAUCUGACUCAUCACUAUAUGAUGAAUUAUUUGAAUCACUUUCCUCCAUUAUGAUAUUUGUUGUAUAUACAUUCAUUAAAGUAAGAAAAUGUUAAUUCAAUUGGAAUAAUGGAUAAAUAUACAAAGGUCAAUUAAUCAACUAAAAUGGAAAUGUUAUAAAAAUUGUACAACAAUAUUAAUACAAUAAUAAAAACAUUAAUACAUAGUUGUGGACUUUAAACUCAAUAACAUAGUUCAUACAAUAGUCCGAAGCUUAGAAAUAACCAUAAACAAUAUAAAAUAGUCAAAGCAUCAAACAAAAACUUAAACACACAUAAAGAAACAAUAAACAUAGUUGCUAUUGCAAAGCAUGAUUAAAAUUAAUCACAAUGCAAUCCUCUAAAGUUGCACAAUCUACUUCAGUCAGCUUAACCAAACUUUCCUUCUAUCAUUAGACAUAGCAAGGAAACUUUUUCUCCACUUCUUAUCAUGAAUCUUGUCCAGAAAGUUCAUGUAAGUGUCAUCAUCAACCCCAAUGCUCUCAACAAUUUGUAUACAUUCUGCACUAGAGUACAACUCUAGACCUUUUCCACUAUGUUCUCCAACAUGACUUGAUUCUUGAGUUUUGGCACUCUUUUGUUUGUCUAAUCUACCACUCAUCACAUCACUAAAAAUUUCAAUGGUCUUUCCCAUUUCCCAACAUUGUGGUUCAGAUAAUUAGGAUUGAUUAGUUUUGCGAUGAACUUUCUUCCCUUUACUAUUUGUAAGUGGCGGCUCAGACUCAUCAACUAACUCAUGGGUAUUCACAUGCACUCCCGUAUUGGGAAACAUUUCCUCAAGUAUCUGUUCUUCAUCCGAAUUUGGAGGUAAUUGGUUUGAUGAAAAGUGCAUCUGACUAGUUGCAGUAGUAGUAUUAAAUAUCUCUCCCAAAAUCUCAUAGUAGUCUAAUCCUUUCUUACGAUAUGGUUUCACUCUUGGAACCCGCUGCAAAAAAAAAAAAAAACAAUAAUAAUUAAAUUAAUUUGUAGAUAAGCAUAUCAUUUUUUUUUUUUAUGCUUAAGCAAAAAAGGUUGUAAACUACAAAAUUACCUUAACGUACUCAAUCCACACUUCAUUUGCUGCGGUGACAGUAUUUGAAAUAGGAUCCCAUCUAAUUCCAGUAUGGUUAAUUAGUUCGGAAAUCUCUCGAUGUUUCUUUCGUAAACAAUUGUACUUUGCUUUAAGUUUGGGAACACUAUAUCGCUUUAAUGUUUCAGCAUAAAGUUCAUCAUAAAUCAUGAACCAAACCUUUUUACUAAAGCUAGAAGUUUGCAGGUCACUCUUUUUCACAUGUUCAUGUAAAAUGCGAAUGAAUAUUGACUCAUUUACAGGGGACCAUUUGGCUUUAUCAUCAACUUCAAACAUUAGUUGAGGCCAUCUCCUUCUAAUGCAUUUAAAAAGAACACACAUAUACUCACAAAUUAUACCCAUAUGUAAUAAUAAUGAUUACACUUUUAAAAGCUAUAAUAAAAUUUAAGGAAAUUAUCCAUCGACCACCUGUUUUUUCAUCGUUUUUCAAAAAUACACAAAUCUUUUUUUUUUUUUUUUGCAGCACUCCACCUGAAGUUAACAUUUUUUUUAUUGGUCCACUCUCGUUAUAAUACCGUUAAAACUUUGCUGACAUCAUAAGGGUAAAAUUAUCAUUUCACAACGGAACAAUGGUGGACAAGUGCAAAACAAUAUAACUUAAGUGGAGUUCAGUAAAAAAAAAUUAAGAAUUGUGUAUUUUUGAAAAAAUACAAAAAAAGGUGGUCGGUGGAUAAUUUAUCUUUUACAUUUGAGGGUAAAAAAGCCAUUUACACAAUAUUUCGUUAGUUUUCUUAACGGUCUCCAAACGGAAGUGGACAAGUGAAAAGAAAUGUAACUUCAGGUGGAUUCCAGUCCAAAAAAAAAAGAAUUGUGUAUUUUUUAAAAAGCCUGAAAAAACAGGUGGUUGGUGGAUAAUUUCCCUGAAAUUUAUCAGUGACAGCACCAAAAUACCCUUUAUUCAAUACAAAAUUUAGUUAAGCAAGGAUUAAAGUAGAAAGACCAAAAAGAUUCGAGGAAGCCUGGAAGACCACUGAACUCAAGAAGCCGUACAUGCUUAAAAUGUUAUCAUGCUCAAAAUGCAAAAAAUACAAAAAAAAAAUUACAGCAAAGUACAUGCUUAAUAUGCAAUACAUAAGCACAUAUAAACGUAAAUAAAAUAAUUUAAAAUAAAGCCACCAUUAUUCAUUCUUACUAAGUAAAAAUUACCAAAAAAAAAAAGAUUCUUCAUCUUAUAUUUGAUAUAAUAGAAAAUCAUACAAAAUUGUAAUGCACAAUAAACAAAAACACAAUAAACAAAACCAAAAAAUUAAAAAAAAAAAUGCAUGUGGAUCUUGUUACUUAAUACAACGAGGAGAAGAAGAAAACCAUAUUCAACAGUCAAUGAGGAAGAAGAAGAAGGUAAGGGAAAUCGUAAAAGUGGCUCAUUUUCUAAAGAAAAAGAUAAGGUAAAAGUAAAAUUGAAUAAAUAAUUAAUAAAAUAAUAAUUUAAUAAAUAAGAGUGGUCGGCCCGGGAAUAACUUUUUUAUCUUACCUUUUUUAUUUUGAUCUCCAGCAACUCAAGAACACUAAUUUUACGUUCUUGAGUUUUCUUUACAAAACUUGGAAAACAAAAAUAUUUUGUUCUCCACUUUUUUUUACUGUUUAUUAAAAAAUACCUUAACCAAACAUGUUUUGUAUUUUUCAUUUUUGGAAAACAAAAAACAGCCAUAAAGAAAACGUUACCAAACACACCCUAAAUUUCCUUGGGAUAUGUAGCAAUUUGUUUAAUAUUAUUUGAAAAUAUUUUAAGAGUUGCAAUUUGAAGAGACAAAAUCUCAUAAUAUCUUCUUGAAAUCUAUUAAACAAAUAGGAUUUGUCUUUGGAGCUUUUGGAGAAUUGCUCUUUACUCAUUUAGUACUUGCCAUGUGGCUAUGCAUAUAUUAUGAUUGAUUGAAAGUAUACAUGUAAUAAAUAAUAAAUAAAAAAGGAAUAAUAUUUCAAGAGCACUCGAGAAUUGUUCCCGUAUCUAUAUGCUUCACAUCAUUAUUUUAACCCUAUUUUGAUGGAUUAAAUAGCAGAAACAAUAAAGAGGUAAGUUUUCUUAUCACUCAAGAAUAGAUUUUCAUUUAUGCUUCCUAGAGUUGGGAUAACCCCUCUUCCUAGUACUCAAAUCUCUAUAUGCUUGGAGGCCUUAUGGAGUACACUAGAUAUAAACCACUUUAAAAUGGUCGAAUUAUAAUCAUAUGUAACAAUUUUAGCAUCAAUAUAUCUUGCGACUUGUUUAGCAGCACAAUCUAGUGAUCUUGUCUCUAUUAACAAUCUUCCUUUCUCUAGUAGUAGCUGUUUGGGGAAUAAAUAGAAGAUUGAUAAUGAAGCGCCACGUGUUGAUGUGCAAAUUUAUGACUGUAAGUGAUAAUUGGGGGUAUCCAACCUAUACCAAGUACAUUUGAUAAUUGAGUUGGAAUGCAGAGUAUGCUAUGCCAGAAAUAAGGUGGUAAAGAAAAAUCAUCAAAAUAUCAAACAUAUGAAAUAUCUCCAUCACUUAAAAAGAAUAUUUGAUUUUUGAAGAAUCAAAUAGGGAAUCUCGCUGGAAAAAAGGGAACUGCCGGUUGUCACACCUGUAAAAAGUAAAGGACGGCACAAGGACAAUGGUCUUUAGUUGCCACACCUAAAAGCUACCAAGACGGCCUCUGCAGAGCUAUCCUGGACCAUACUGUAGCGUAUAUCACUUGUACAAGAAAACAAGCCACGCCAAACAACGUUCUUUUUGUUCCUUAAGCAUGCUCUUAAUGACCCAAAAAUCAUGAUAAAGCUGAAAGAAUGAAAGAAUCUUCAAAAGGACAGCCACAUUGAAAUGCAAGUUACGCAACCCAAGAGGGGGGUGAAUUGGGUUUUUAAAAAUUAUGCAAUACAAUUCGCACAACAAAUUAAUCUAACGCCUUAAUGGAAUAGAAAAUAAUAAAUUCAAACAAGCAUAAAAAUAAAAGAGUAAGGGAAGAGAAAAACAAACACACAGAUUUUUACGUGGUUCGGCAAUCCCCGCCUACGUCCACGCCUCCAAGCUAACCAAGCUCGAGGAUUUCAUUAUCCAAGGCUCCCAAGGCUUCAAGUUCUUACAAUUGACUUCCAAGGUGUCAAUCAACCUUUACGAUCAAGAGAUUAUCUCCCCAAUCUCUUCACCCCAAGUGUUUCUCACACUUACACACUCACAACUUGAUAAGAAAUGAAAAUUAAAACAAAAACUCUCUUUAAGAGUAGAUAUGCAAAUAAUAGCUCAACAAUGAUUCAAUCUAUGAUGAUUUUCAUUUUGGAAGCUCAAUAUAUGUUGUAUGAUCUUAUAUUUGCUUGCAUUGGUUCUUAAAAUGAAGUUGAAGUUAAGUUUUUAUAGUUAAAGCCUGAAAACUAGCCGUUAUAGGUAAAUUCCCGCGCCCAAGCGGUUAGCUGCUCAUGAACAGUGAUAUUACCGUUAUUUUUGAAUUUUACUACAGUAACACUGUUCACUAAAAUUAUACUUUGGCCUAAAACUUUCUAUAAUUAUACUACGGCCCAAAAUGUCAUAAAAUUUUGCAAAUAGGUCCAAUUUCAGAAUUUCCUAAUAAUACUUGUCUUUUCAAAACUUUUUGAAAUUAUGAUAUGGCCCCAAAGAUAUUAUUUUUUCACAACAAGGUCCUUUUCAACAUAAUACCCAUAUUUUUCAAAGUUCUCAAAACCUUUCACUUUAGUCUAAAAUAUUCAUAAAUUAUAGUAUGGCCCAAAAAAUUUCAAAUAUUUGUAAAAAGGUCCAACUCUGAAAUUCAGUAAUAAUACUUAUUAAAAUCAAGGAUUUCAAAACUUUACAUUUAAGUCCAAAUUACUCAAAACCACAAGGUACUUUAUCUUAAAAAAAUAACCUUUUAGUUUAUGAAAAGUAAUUAAUUAAAUUAAUCUCUUGAGCUUCUCAAAUGCUAAAUCAUGCAUCAAUUAAAUCAUACCGGCUUUACAAGAAUUUAUCGCACUAAUUUGUCCGUUGAGCUCUAAACUUUAUUCUUGAUUUCGCCAUAGUCUUGAGCUUGAUUUUACUUGAUUCACUUGCAUAAAUAUUACCCUUCAAAAACUAGUGAAAAUGUGAAAUACAAUAUCUAUUAAAUCACUUAAUACAUAUGUUUGUUAUCAUCAAAAUUAUAUUAUGUAUAGCCCUUUAGGCUAACAAUCUCUCCCUUUUUGAUGAUGACAAACAUCUCAAGUAUUUUGACAUUUAUACUCCCCCUUAAUACAUGGCAUAUAUAAUUAAACAUAUAAAUCAAAUUCAAAACAAAAACUCCCCCUGAAUAUUUCAAAAAUAUGCACAAAUACUUUAAGAUCAAAAUAAAUAUUAUAUGUCUUCAUAUUCAAAAUACACGACUUCUCCCCCUUCAUCAUCAAAAUUACUAGAAAUCCAUGCUAAGAUCGAUAAUAUGGCAAUGGUUAAUCAAGAAUCGUAUAAUAACGAAACAUCCAAUUAACCAUAAAAUGAUCAUGAACCAACAUUCCAUCAAUUCAUCAAGCAACACAUAAGAAUUAAGCAUAUAAUUAACCAAAGAGUUAUAAUAUUCCAAGAAUCCGAAAACAUCAUCCGAACGUAACAUAUCCGAAGAUCAAAUAACAAGCAUCCUCAAUCCACAAAUUAAAAGCAAUAUAUCCAAAUAUCAAACAACAAGAUAUCAUCCACAAAUUAAAAAUAAUAAUGCAUAUAAAGAUGUAGUGCAUAGUGACAAAUGAAAAACAAUAAAAAUAGAGUGCUAAAGAGAUGGUGGAUACGAUGAAGAGGAUGGUGGUGGAAAUCCAAGAGCGGCAAAAAGUUGCUGCUGGCCAUCAAGAAGCUACUGCUGUUGAGCAAAGAGACGCUCUCGCUCGGAAAUAGACUGAAGGUGAAAAGCUUUAAGUUGAGAUUGAAGUUUAUCUUGCCGCUCAGAAAGUGAAUCCACUUUAGUAAACAGCUGCUGCAACGGAUGGGAAGGGCCCUCGGAAGGUGGAGGAUGUGAGCGAUGUGGAGCACUAAGAUCAGGAAGCAAGUGUGGGGGACGGACAUCGUUAAAGAAACGAUGAUCUGUAGGAGCAAGUUCUGUAACCUUUUUGUUUCUUUGAUCUUUAUGCCAUCUAUCGUUCCUCCAAUAAAAACCCAAAUUAGCGAUUGCUUCAUCGCCUAAUUCCCUCGAAUUCAAGGAGAUUGGCUCGGUGAUAGGAACUUGGAAAAACUCUAGAAUUCGGGUAAUAAUACUAGCAUAAGGAAGUGAUCUUUUGGCUAAACAGGGAGUGCUAAGCAUAUGAUGAAGGAUAAUAUAACCAAUAUUUAGCACCAUCUCCUCUAGAAUACAGUCCAAUAUGGCUACAUCUAAACGGCUCACUUCAUCCGCAUGACCAGACCUAGGAGUAAUAACAUGAUGAAGAACAUAAUGAAGAAUUCUAGUUUGAAGAGGUAAGGCUUGAGAUUUCAAAGGUGAUUGACAAAACGCAGAGGACAAAUCACGCCGUCGACAAAUUUUUCGAACAACAUUCUCAAGUGAAAACCAAGGAUCUUUUAUUUUGGUUCUAGCACUAUAUAGUUCCAAUCCCUCAUUUGGAGUUCCAAGGAUAGAAUUUAACAAAGCAACAUCAAAUUCAAUAUGAACUCCCCCAACAUUAGUAACAAUUCUAUUCGAAACUUCCGUAUCCAUAUUCGAAUAAAAAACCUUGACUAAUUUUUCAUAAUAAUGUUCAUUAACAAUCAAUACAUUCUUCCAUUCCAUAGCAAUAAGAAAAUCUUUAAGAGAUUUAUCACAAAUUUCUAAAUUCUCCAUAUUAUUGAGAUUGACAAAAUAAGGAGUAAUGACCGACCUUGGCUUGAAAUUGUCGAGAAAAUGUUUCCGAAGUAGGGGUCGUGGAAAAUGAGUCAAAAUAAACUCUGAAUUGUCGCCAUGACUAUUCUUACGCUUCUUAGCCACGUUUUUACCCUUGGACUUAUCACCACCCGCCAUUAUUGGAAGAAAAAUAAGCUUAAAAAUGCAAUUUCGGGUUUAAAAAAAUUUGAGUGAAAUGGAUUUGUUUGAGGCAAGAAAAUCAAUCCUAGAGAUGAAUGAAGCUAAUUUAUGAUGUAGAUUGAAUUAAAAAUGGGCUAAAGGAAGCUUGAAAAUGAAGAGAGAGAAACAGGUAGAGUGAGAUUUGAUUUUGGGUUUUAUGCGGAGAGUUAUGAAAUGUUGUUUGGAGAGUGAAAAUUGAAGGAGUAAUGGAUGAAUAAUGAUUUGAGUGAUUGAUUUUAACAAGAAAAUGAGUGAAAGAUGAAGAGAUUUGAGAAAGAAAAUGGAGGGGACUAUUCACGCAUGAGAGAGAAAAAGAAAUGAGUGAAGAACAAGUGAAGAAAAGAUGAUGGACAAGUGAUUAAUGAAGAUGAGAUGCAUGGGUUUUAGUUUGAAUGAUUGAUUUGGGCAUAAAAAUGGAUGAAAAAGGAAGAAAUUUGAAGUGAAAAAGGAUGGGUGGUUUACGGUUUUGGAUGAAAGAGAGAACAUGUGCAGAAAAAUAACAAGUGAAGAAGAAGAAGCAAAAAAAAAUACACCCAACCCGUGACCAAGCGGCUAGCCGCUUGCUCUCGGGUUUGGGACAGUCUCCAAGCGGCUAGCUGCUUGAUUGCUGUCCAUUUGCACAAUAGUUGCUUUCCGACUAGUUUCGAUCAAUUCCGUGACCAUUUUGUCAUCCCGAAACAUCUCAAGAGCCAAUUUAAUGCAUGAUUCAUGAUUUUAAACAUCCAAAAGAUGAUUAAUUCAAACUAAUUAUCCAUCCAACAAACAUAUAUUCAUGAAGCACAUAAGCAUUCAAAAAUUAAUAAAUCAAACACCUCAUAUAUCUAACAUGCUCAAACACUUCAUAAACAUUAACAAUCAUCAAGCAAACAAUUUUAAUAGAUUCAAUAACAUAAAUAGAGAUGUUAAUGCAAAAAUUUCAUCAUCCCAAGUUCAUGCCGAAUUUUUAAAAAUUAUUCUUCGCAAAGGGGUUUUGUAAAAAUAUCGGCAAGUUGUUUUUCCGUAGAGAUAAAUUCUAAUGCAAUAUCACCCUUUUGUACAUGAUCUCUCAAGAAAUGAUGCCUAAUCUCUAUAUGCUUGGUUCUAGAAUGUUGAAUGAGAUUCUUUGAAAGAUUUAUGGCGCUAGUAUUAUCACACUUGAUAGGAAUUUGUUCAAGAUUAAUACCAUAGUCUUUAAGUGUUUGUUUCAUCCAAAGUGCUUGUGCUCAACAACUACAUGCGGCAAUAUAUUUUGCCUCAGUAGUUGAGAGUGCAACCGAAUUUUGUUUCUUGCUAAACCAUGAAACAAGUGAAUGACCAAGAAAAUGACAAGUUCCACUAGUACUUUUCCUAUCGACCUUGUAACCGGCAAAAUCGGCAUCCGAAUAACAAGUUAAAUCUAUAUGAGUUCCUCUAAGAUACCAAAGGCCAAUAUCUUUGGUUCCACUCAAAUAACGAAAAAUUCUUUUAACAACAAGCAAAUGAGAUUCAUUAGGACAUGAUUGAAAUCAUGCACACAAACAUACGCUAAACAUGAUAUCGGGUCUACUUGCGGUUAAGUAAAGUAAAGAGCCGAUCAUACCUCAAUACUUUUUAAUAUCAACCUCUUUACCUUUUUCAUCUUUAUCAAGCUUGAUUGUUGGGCUCAUUGGAGUACUCUUGGUAUUUGAUUCAUCAAUGCCAAAUCUCUUGAGCAAGUCUUUGACAUACUUGGCUUGGUUGAUGAAGAUCCCCUCAUUGUUUUGUUUGAUUUGAAGUCCAAGGAAAUACUUCAAUUCUCCCAUCAUGCUCAUCUCAAAUUCCUUACUCAUAUAAGAGGAAAACUCUUUGCGCAAAGAUUCAUUAGUAGAACCAAAAAUAAUAUCAUCAACAUAAAUUUGAACAACAAGUAUAUCUUGAUUUUUAUUCUUAAUAAAAAGGGUAGUAUCCGCUUUUCCCAUCGAAAAACCGUUAUCCAACAAGAAAUUUUUAAGCCUAUCAUACCAUGCUCUAGGUGCUUGUUUUAAUCCAUACAAUGCUUUUGAUAACUUAUAAACAUGAUUUGAAAAUUUUUCAUUUUCAAAACCAGGGGGUUGUUUCACAUAAACUUCCUCCAUAAUAUAACCAUUUAGGAAAGCACUAUUGACAUCCAUUUGAAAUAAAAUAAAAGUUUUAUGACAUGCAAAUGCUAACAACAUCCUAAUGGAUUCUAAUCUAUCUACAUGUGCAAAGGUUUCAUCAAAAUCGAUUCCUUCUUCUUGGGUGUAUCCUUGAGCCACUAAUCUAGCUUUAUUUCUUACAACCACACCGGAUUCAUCCAUUUUAUUUCUAAAUACCCAUUUAGUGCCUAUAAUGGAUUGAUGUUCCGGUUUAGGAACCAAUUCCCACACUUUAUUUCUCUCAAAUUGAUUUAACUCCUCUUGCAUUGCCAUAAUCCAAGACUCAUCAUUUUCCGCAUCCGCAAAAGAUUUUGGUUCAAUUUGAGAAAUAAAUGCAGCAUGCUCACAUGUGUUUCUAAGUGAUGAUCUAGUUGUAAUACCUCUUGAAGGAUCACCUAAAAUUAAGUCCUUAGGAUGAGAGGAAACAUACCUCCACUCCUUGGGGAGUGUUUGAGAAAUACCUUCUUGUUGCUCCAUAUUUGUUUGUUCUUCUUGUCUAUCCUCUUGAUUUUCUUGUGGUGCAUUCUCUUAAUUUUCUUUUGAUGAUUCUUCUUGUAACUCUCCAUCUGCAUCAUCAUUAACAACUCCUUUCUCCGCAGAGGAGAGGUUAGAUUCAUCUAACAUAGCAUGCAUGGAUUCUUCCACAACUAAAGUUCUUUUGUUAUAAACUCUAUAAGCUUUGCUUGAGUUUGAAUACCCGAGAAAGAUACCAACAUCAAAUUUUGGAUCAAAUUUACCAAGCUUACUUUUGUGUUUAAAAUAAAACAUUUGCAUCCAAAAACUUUGAAAUAACCAAUGUUGGGGUUUCUAUCUUUCCAAAGCUCAUAGGGAGUUUUAUUGAGAUGAGGUCUAAUCAACACCCGAUUUAAAACAUAAUAAGCGGUGUUGACGGCUUCGGCCCAAAAAUAUUUUGGUAAUGCAUUUUCAUUUAGCAUGGUCCUAGCCAUUUCUUGAAUAAACCUAUUCUUUCUCUCAACAACUCCAUUUUGCUGUGGAGUCCUAGGUGAUGAAAAUUAAUGCUCAAUGCCAAAAUCAUUACAAAAAAUUUCAAAUGUAUGAUUUUCAAACUCUCCACCAUGAUCACUUCUAAUACAAGUAAUAGAAUAACCCUUUUCAUUUUGAACCUUUUUACAGAAAAUUCUAAAUGCAUCAAUGGCAUCAUCCUUAUUAGCUAAGAAAAAUACCCAUGUGUAUCUAGAAUAAUCAUCUACAAUUACAAAUGCAUAAAAUUUGCCACUUAAACUAGCAUAUCUAGAAGGUCCAAAUAAAUCUAUGUGAAGUAAUUGAAGAGGUUUUGAAGUAGAGAUAUGAUUCUUGUUUUUGAAAGAGGUUUUGAUUUGUUUUCCAAAUUGACAAGCUUCACAAAUUCUAUCCUUUUGAAAACCAAUUUUUGAAAGACCUUUAACUAAAUCAUUUUUCGAAAUUUUUGAAAUUAAAUCCAUGCUUGGAUGUCCUAGUCUUCUAUGCCAUAACCAACCAUCAUCAUGCAAUGCCGAAAAACAUUUAUCAUGAUUAGAUGCACACUCUAUAUCAAUCGUGUAAACAUUGCCACAUCUAUUUCCCAUAAACAAAAUUUUCCCAUUACAUGCAUUCUCAAUAACACAUCUUGAUUUAUCAAAAGCAACUUUAUAACAUUUGUCACAUAGUUGACUAAUGCUAAUCAAAUUGUGUUUCAAAUUUUCAACCAAACACACAUUUUCAAUUAGAGUUGAAGAAACUUUAUCAACAUUACCAAUUCCGAGAAUUUUUCUUUUUGAGUUAUCUCCAAAUGAUACAUCUCCACCAUUUUCGAUUUUGGUGAAACUUGAGAACCAUGCAUAGUUUCCGGUCAUAUGCCUAGAAUAUCCGCUAUCCAAGUACCAUUUAUUUUUCUUUUUCUUCAAGCCCUGCAAAGAAAAUCUUAUGUCUUAGGUACCCAAACCUUUUUGAGUCCUUGAGCGUUAGUAACGGUUCCUUUUGGAACCCAAAUACAUUUGACACCAUAAUAUGCAUUCCUUUUCACGGGACAUCUAUAUUUCAUGUGACCAUUUUGAUUACAAUAAUGACAAACAAUCUUAUGAUCACUUGUGGAGGUAGCUUUAACAAAAUAAUUCUUAUAAUACUUUUGCUUCAAGUUAGGCUUAUACCCAAGUCCUCCUUUACCAAAAACACGUUUUUGAGAGUUAAGCAUGUUAUCCAACAUCUUUUGCCCAUUUGUAAAUUUUAGAACAACAUUACUAAGUUCAAUAUUCUUUUUCUUGAGCAUUUCAUUUUGCUUUUUCAAAUCAUCUACGUGUGGCUCUAAAUGCUCAUGUGAAGUGCUAGGUUUUUCAUUUGAUAAUGCAACUCUAUUAUGCAAGGUUUUAUUCUCUAAUUCUAAUCCUUUAAUCUUCUCAUUCAAUGACUCAUUGCAUUUUUGCAUGGCAUCCUUUUCAUUUGUAAAUUCUAGCAAUUUCUUUUUAAGGCAUGCAUUCUUUUUACCAAUUUUCAUCAACUCAUCAUGCAUUUCUUUAAAAACAUCAUAUAAUUCAUCAUAGGUUGGAUCACUUACCUCAUUGAGAUCAUCACCAUCUCCUAUUGCCAUAAGUGCUAGGUUUGAUACUUUUUGCGACUCUUCUUCAUCACUUGAAUCUUCAUAGCUAUCAUCCCAAGUAGCAACCAUAGCUUUCUUCUUGAGUUUGUUGAGAAGUGGGCAUUCCGAUCUUAUAUGGUCGGGCUUUUUGCAUUCAUAGCAUAUGAUUACCUCUUUCUUCUCCUUUUGGUUUUUGAAGUUUCUAAAUUUUCUUCGGUCAUCGGUUUUCUUAAAAAAAUUUCUGAACCUCCUUGCUAGCAUAGCCAACUCCUUAUCAUCCGGCUCACUUUCCCCAUCACUCUCAUAUUUUGUGGCUUUGAGAGCAAUGUUUUUCUUCUUUUCCUCAUUUCCUCUUUCGGCUGCCAAAUCUUCCUCAUAAAAAAUAAGAGAACCAAUUAAAUCAUCAAUAGGUAAGAUAUUCAAAUAUUUAGCUUCCUCAAUGGCAGUCCUUUUUUGUCUCCAUUCUUUAGGUAACGACCUAAUGAUUUUCUUAACUUUCUCGCUAUUUGAAAAGGUCUUUCCUAGGGCUCCUAGAGUGUUUACUAUGUCCGUAAAUCUAGUAUACAUAGAAUACUCACUCUCAUUUUGUUCCAUUUGGAACAAUUCAUAUUGCCGAGUGUACCUAUUAAUUUUAGACUCUUUCACUUGAUUCGUGCCUUCAUAAACAACUUCAAGUUUGUGCCAAAUUUCAUUAGCACUUUCACAACUAGACACUCUAUGAAACUCUUUCUUAUCGAGUGCACAAAACAAGACAUUCAUGGCUUUGGAAUUUAGAAAAGCUUUUCUUUUUUCCAAUUCAUUCCAUUCCCGUGAAGGUUCUGGAAUGUCUUCCCCGAAUUCAUUUUUAGUCAAAGGCAUAAAUGGACCAUCACAUACAACUUCCUAAAUUUCAUAAUCUAGUGCUUGUAAAUAAAUUCUCAUCCUAGUUUUCCAAUACGGGUAGUCAUUUUCGUCAAAGAACGGUGGCCUAGUUGUGGAUUGUCCUUCUUUAAAGGUUGAAUCAUUUUGGGUUGCCAUAGAUCUUUUACUCUAGACGGUUAAUUCCUAAUAAGAGAACCAAGCUCUGAUACCAAAUGAAAUGCAAGUUACGCAACCCAAGAGGGGGGGUGAAUUGGGUUUUUAAAAAUUAUGCAAUACAAUUCGCACAACAAAUUAAUCUAACGCCUUAAUGGAAUAGAAAACAAUAAAUUCAAACAAGCAUAAAAAUAAAAGAGUAAGGGAAGAGAAAAAAAAACACGGAUUUUUACGUGGUUCGAUAAUCCCAGCCUACGUCCACGGCUCCAAGCCAACCAAGCUCAAGGAUUUCACUAUCCAAGCCUCCCAAGGCUUCAAGUUCUUACAAUUUGACUUCCAAGGUGUCAAUGAACCUUUACAAUCAAGAUAUUAUCUCCUCAAUCUCCUCACCCCAAGUGUUUCUCACACUUACACACUCACAAUUUGAUAAGAAAUAAAAAUUACAACAAAAACUCUCUUUAAGAGUAGAUAUGCAAAUAAUAGCUCAACAAUGAUUCAAUCUAUGAUAAUUUGCAUUUUGGAAGCUCAAUAUAUGUUGUAUGAUCUUAUAUUUGAUUGCAUUGGUUCUUAAAAUGAAGUUGGAGUUGAGAUUUUAUACUCAAAGCCCGAAAACUAAUCGUUAUAGAUAAAUUCCCGCGCCCAAGCGGUUAGCCGCUUGAUUUAUCCGGCUAGCCACUCAUGAACAGUGAUAUUACCAUUAUUUUUGAAUUUGCUACAGUAACCUUGUUCACUAAAAUUACACUUUGGCCCAAAACUUUCUAUAAUUAUACUACGGCUCAAAACGUCAUAAAACUUUGCAAAUAGGUCCAAUUUCAGAAUUUCCUAAUAAUACUUGUCUUUUCAAAACUUUUUGAAAUUAUGAUAUGGCCCCAAAGAUAUUAUUAUUUCACAACAAGGUCCUUUUCAAUAUAAUACCCAUAUUUUUCAAAGUUCUCAAAACCUUUCACUUUAGUCCAAAAUAUUCAUAAAUUAUAGUAUGGCCCAAAAAAUUUCAAAUGUUUGUAAAAAGGUCCAACUCUGAAAUUCAAUAAUAAUACUUAUUAAAAUCAAGGAUUUCAAAACUUUGCAUUUAAGUCCAAAUUACUCAAAACCACAAGGUACUUUAUCUUAUAAAAAUAAAACCUUUUAGUUUAUGAAAAGUAAUUAAUUAAAUUAAUCUUUUGAGAUUCUCAAAUGCUAAAUCAUGCAUCAAUUAAAUCAUACCGGCUUUACAAGAAUUUAUGGCACUAAUUUGUCCGUUGAGCUCUAAACUUUAUUCUUGAUUUCGCCAUAGUCUUGAGCUUGAUUUCACUUGAUUCACUUGCAUAAAUAUUACCCUUUAAAAACUAGUGAAAAUGUGAAAUACAAUAUCUAUUAAAUCACUUAAUACAUAUGUUUGUUAUCAUCAAAAUUAUAUUAUGUAUAGCCCUUUAGGCUAACACACAUCACCACUAGAAAUGUGCUAAGUGGCAGGACAACCAGGGUACUCCAUAGAUAAAGACACUAAAGUUCUACUUUUCUCAGACAUACAAUAAACACACACACUCCACAAAAUGGCUGAGGUCUCUUUCAACCUCCAGCCAUCAUCUUAGAGAGCUUGUAAGCUCUCACACUAAAACUAAUUCAAAUAGUUGACUUGAGUGUUGGAAUGUGGUCAUUGGCCACCCUCGACUUCACCUCUAACCUCUUUUUCGUUGUUUUGCAAGCUUAUUUUAUUCAUCUUAUAUAAUAUAAAAUCUCAUAUAACCUCUCAUUUAUAUAGUGGAUUGGUGAUUACUUUCUCCCGUGGAUGUAGGACAAAGGUCGAAUUGUGUAAACAUUGUGUAUUCAUUGUAUUUAUAUUUAUUUUAUUAUAUUUUCAAUUUGCAGCCAUAAUUGAGUUUCACGUAUGAGCAUACUUAACAUACCUUACUUACACUAAGUUUUCGAUAAGACACAUGAGCUAUCCCUCGAGUAUACUUGAGCUGCCUCAACUACCCUAAGUAUUCUGUGAGACACUUGGGUUACUCCUUAAAUCAAUUCCUAUAUGUUACUUUGGCUCACCAUCUAGGGUAUCUCAACUAAACCACCUACCCUAAACAUCAGAAAGCACACCUACGACUUAACUUAGCACAAGCUCUCCUCAAAUAUAAAUUUAUUUGUUUCAAUUAGAUUUGAACUGGAUUGGGUGAGAACUAUCCAAUUUGUCCAACUAAAGGGGUAAAAGUGAAAUUCAAAUAUGACAAUUGGUGCCCUCACGUAAGUGGGCAACAUGCCAUUAGAAAAAGAAUAAGUAUCUUUGUUUCUAAGUUAAAAGGAAUGGACCAAUAGAAGAAUAAUCAACUAAGCAUAACAAUGAGAGAAUGACAUGUUAACAUUCCUCAACUGUCUCUUAAAUAGUAGUAGGACCAUUGCACCAGCGUCCACCAUGGUGAAGAGCAAGGACCACAUGAGGGAUAAAGGGAUUACUUAUCCACUAUGGUUAUUUGGUCACCAUCAAGUAAAUAAAAUGAAAAGACAAAAACAAUCCCACUUGUGGAGGGCAGACCAGUGAAAAUUCAACUUUAAACAUAAGGAAAAUGAGGUCUUUUUCUAGAUCUGAUUUCUUAAGAGGCUGCUUUAUCUUCUUCCUCUAUUUUUAGGGUUUCUUCUAUAUUUUUACACCUCCAUAGAAUAUUAACCAAAUUACCUCUCAAAGCAAUUUUUUACUUAUUCUUCCCUUAGAGAAUUCUCUAAUCUCUAUAAAACUCACAUCUCCCCCAUGUUAUUAUUAACUAUAAAAAGCCUUUAAUAACAUUUUUUUGAUAUUAUAAAGCAAAUCAUGUAAUACUUCAUUUAAAUAGUAGAUUAAAGAUGAGUUACUUAUGUGGAUAUAGGCCAAAUGGCUGAUUGACGUAAAAUCUUGAGUGUUUUUUUUUUUUUAAAUUCUUUAUGUGUAUUUUCUACUUAUUGUGAUGGUUUUGAUACCUAGAUUGUAUACUAUUUAUGAGCUCAUGUAAUUUAUACCACCAGCUAUAUUAAGCUCCCUAGAUAUGCUCUCUAAAGUUUUCUUUAGACUACAAUGCGAAGAUCAAGCUCUAGUCGUCUACCAAUCUCCUUUCACCAUUAUUCUAUAAGCAAAAGUCAAGAGAUAUCCUGAUGAUUUGCUCAUCUAUCUCAGAGAAUGCCACAAGUUUAGUUUUGCUCGGAUGCAAAGACAAUAAAUUUCAAUAUCCUAUUUACUAUCCCGGUAAAGCUAUAACGGAUGCAAAAAAAAAGUCUCACUCAGCUAUUAAAGCUCAAGUCAUUUUUGAAUUCCUACUAAACCUGGGGGGAUUAGAGCAAGGAGAUGUUGAAGGGGAACCUGAGUAGAGAUUAAAGAGUAGCUCCUAUGGAAGCAUAACUCAGUUGCCAACAAGUUUCUGCAUGUGGAUAGGAAUACAGUCGAACAUCUUUAUAUCGCAUUGUGUAAAGAAAACACAACAAAUAGCUUACUCUAAUAGUUUCUCCCUUAUCUCUCUUAUUACUUACAUAUGUUUGUAAAUUAGUGUGAAGAUCUUGUGGGUUAUAUCGGGUUAUGUCUUUUAUGUUUUGUUAUAUUAUGGUUAUAACUUUUUAUAAUAAUUUCAGCAUUAUUAGGUUCACUAUUCAUGCUUCACAUUCUCUUCCGAUAGUGUUAUGUCCAAGGAUUAUAAGUUUUUCUUGUUUAAAUCUUUGUUAUGCUUUUGGGCUCCUAAGUCCUAACUUUUAUAUUAUUUCCUACUUCUUGUUUUGUUAAGGAUUAGUUAUGUGUUUCUAUUAAUUAGUUCGUUAAUUAGUCUUCUAUUUUCUAUGUGUAAGUUGUUUAGUGAUUGACACUAAAAAGUGUACAUUUAAUAAGGAUAAAAUUAUUAGUUUUUCCCUUAUUGUGUCGAUUAAUGUGCUCAUUAUUUCUACAUUAUUUUAAUACUCACCAAAUAUAUUUUUAUGUUAAAUUAAUUCGCAAUAUGUUAAUUUUCAUCUUGUAAAUAUUUUUCAGGAAUAAAGAUGGAAUUGGAAUUGAAAGCGGGAACAAAAAAUGAUAGCUGGAGCAAUUUGAAAUUCAUCAAUCGAGGAGAUGUUAUUGAAAAUUAAAAAAAUAAUAAUAUAAAAAAAUAAACAAAGAAAAAAAAAAUAGAUUGACAAUCAUGUUGGUGAUCAGGCCUCCUGACCAUCACACAUUUCAAUUAACAUAUAUAUAAUAUAAAAAUAAAAUAAUAAUAAAAGAAAAGAAAAGAAUAUGCAUCCCUUGCCUAUAAAAGGCAAGGGGAUGUAAGGGAGCGAAGUACCAAAGCCGAGAGAGAAAGUUGUAGCCAAGAGGGAACUGAAAAAUUUCUAUCUUUCUUUAUUUUCUUUUCUUAUUUCCUUCUGUAUCAAUUUUCCUUAUAACAUAUUUCAAAAGUUUAUCAAAUAAAAAGAGUGUUUUGUUUUCUUUCAAUAUGAGUGGCUAAUUUUACUAAGUUGAGGUGAAAUGUGAAGCUCAAUGUUUCAAACUAUUAAAUUUAUUAUUUUCUCAAAUGAGUUUUUAAGUUUUUUUUAUUCUUUUCUAGUUAUUUUUAUGUCAUAUUAAUUUAUAGAUUCUCUUGAAUCUGUGUGGUAUUUUGAUAUAAUAUCAACACAAUAAUACAGUUGUGGCAGAUUAUGUACUUUAUUCCAUAUUUAUCCACACACAUAGUUAGUUAAGAAUUAAAUAAUAUAAUAAUUAACUGGUAAAAAUGAGGUAAAAUAUAAAAAUGAGAGAGUAAUAAAAUUAUAGUUGAAUACUGAGAGUAGAUCUCAUAACCUUAGCAUAUUAUAAAUUGAUUCCAAAUAAUUUUUUUUUGCUCAAUUAAUUUUCUUUGGUUUAAAUUCACUACUAGAUUUUAAAUUCCCUGUUGUUCAACCCUAGACUUAUCGGGUUAUAUUAUAACUAGACACUCUUAUACUUGAGAGUAAUAUACUUUUGAGUAGUGUCAAAUUUUUAGCGCCGUUGCCGGAGAAUUUCUUAAAUUUAGUGUCGUUUAUUUUAUUUUAUUUUGUCAAUUAUUGUUUACGUUUUGUAUUUUCCCUUACAUCAUUUCUUUGUUUGGUUCAAAUAAUUCAUUUCGUAAAAUUUCAGUCAGCUCCUUUCUCUCUUUUAUAAUCAUAGAAUUGUCAUAGAAUUUGUGAGAAACUUCAUUUAAGCCCAAUAACUUUUGCAAAUCAGUCCUCAAACUGAAUUUUUUUCUUUAAAUUUCUACAAUUUACUUUUCGUAUUUAUUUUAAAUGGUCGGUUCAACCGCUUGAUUGUUAUUUAAAUUUUGUUAAUUUAUUUAAUUUUAUUUAUAUGGUCAGUUUUACCACCUAACAUUUUAAUUUCAGUUGAUUUAUUCUUGUACAUUAAUUUAUUUUAUUUUAUAUUUUUUUAUCUGGCUAAUUCUAAAAUACCGCCUAAUAUUUUGUUAAUUAUUCCUUUAAUUACUUUUUUUUAUGGCUGGUUUCACCGCCUAAUUUAUUUUUGUGAAAUUAUCCACCGACCACCUUUUUUUGGGGUUUUUUCAAAAAUACACAAUUCUUUUUUUUUUUUUUUGGGCUGAAUUCCACUUAAAGUUAUAUUAUUUUGCACCUAUCCACUUCCUUCUUCAAACCGUUAAGAGAACUAGCGGAAUAUUAUAUAAAUGACUUUUUUACCCUCAAAUGUAAAAGAUAAAUUAUUCUCCGACCACAUUUAUUUUUCCCAUUUCUUCAAAAAUACACAAUUUUUAAUUUUUUUUUGCUGAACUCCACUUGAAGUUAUAUUGUUUUGCACCUGUCCACCACUGUGUCGUGAAAUGAUAAUUUUACCCUUAUAAUAUCAGCAAAGUUUUAACGGUGUUAUAACGAGAGUGGACCAAUGAAAAAAAUGUUAACUUCAGGUGGAGCGCUGCAAAAAAAAAAAAAAAAGAUUUGUGUAUUUUUUAAAAACGGUAAAAAAACAAGUGGUCGGUGGAUAAAUUUCCUUUAUUAUUUUAUUUAUUUUCAGUUUAUUUAUUUUUAUUUCGCAUUUUUGCUUAUUUAAUUUCCAGUUUACUUUUUUUUUCUGCAAUUUUCGUUUAGCGUUUUAUGCAUCAUUAGUUUAGCACGCAUCAUUAGCAUUGCAUGCGUCGUUGGUCUCGUACAAAUAGUGGUAGAUUAAUUAGGAGAUCACCUUCACCACCCUUAGAUAUGGCUGACAUAGGAGCUGGAAAAUAUAAUCAGACUUAACGUUUUUCCUUUUUCACUAAAGGAUAAAGCUAAAACUUGGCUACAAAAUCUUAGGUCAGAAUCUAUCAGAACUUGGGAUGAAAUACAAGUACAAUUUUUGAAAAAAUUCUUCCCACCCCACAUUUACUUUGACCAUGCAUGAAAAAAAGGAAAGCUUCCUGCUCAACCUUAACCAAACCCCAAGAGUCAACAACAUCCUCAAAUGGGAAAUUCAGGAAACCAAAACAUAAGUCAAGUUAAAUCGGUUAUAGUCGUUCGUGGUGGUAAAGUUGUCAAAAAACAUAUCCAGGACCCUCGUGAAACUAGUAAAGAUUCAAUUUUAGAGAAUAUGGAAAAGUUUGUCAAACCUUUAAAACAUUAAGAAAUAACCAACUCUCCUCCUGUACCCCCAUUUCCUCAAGCACUAAUCAAGCCAAAGAAAUCAAACUACAAUAUAGAAAUUUAUGAAAUUUUUAAACAAGUAAAGGUCAACAUUCCUUUGCUGGGUGCCAUUAAACAAAUACCUUCUUAUGCUAAAUUUCUGAAAGAUCUAUGCAUGGUGAAAAGGAAACAUAAGGUGUAAAAGAAAGCUUUUUUAACAGAACAGGUAAGUUCCAUUCUCUCAACCAAUAGUGCUUUGAAAUACAAGGAUCCUGGUUGUCUAACUAUUUCUUGCAUUAUUAGGGAUAAUAAAAUUGGACAUGCUUUACUUGAUCUUGGUGCUAGUGUUAAUUUGCUUCCUUACUCAGUGUACCAACAAUUCAAUCUCGGUGAGUUAAAACCAACUUCUACCACUCUUUUACUUACUGAUAGAUCGAUUAAGGUUCCAAAAAGAAUAAUUGAAGAUGUAUUAGUCCUAGUCAAUAAAUUCAUAUACCCUGUGGAUUUUAUUGUUUUGGAAACAGAACCAAUUGUUAAUGAAUGCAAACAAAUUCCUGUUAUAUUGGGUCGACUAUUUUUAGCUACAUCUAAUGCUUUGAUUAAUUGCAAGAAUGGAUUAAUGAAAUUUUCUUUCGGCAACAUGACAUUGGAACUCAAUGUGUUCAAUAUGUGUAAACAACCUCACCACCAGAAAGAUGAUGAUAAUGAGAAUGAGGAGAUUGAUCUCAUCGAGCCAAUCGUUGAGGAACACAUUCAGGAUGAGAAUUCUAUAAAAUCUAUAGAAAUUUGUUUUGCUGGUUCUUUUGAGUCAAGUAAGGAAUUAGACUGUGAUAUUGCUAACACAUACCCUACACUUGAUUCUAUGCAGGUACCUACAGGUGAUUAUGAGCAAUCGAACUUUGAAGAUACGACACAACCUGAAGAAUUAAAUGAAAAGGAAGCACCAAAGCAUAAAUUAAAACCCUUAUCGGAAGAAUUAAAGUAUGCCUAUCUUGGAAAGCAACAGACAUAUCCGGUAGUAAUUUCUUCCCAACUCAUGCGUGAUAAAAAAUGUAAGUUGUUGUCUGUACUAAAAAAGCAUAAAAUUGCAUUUGGUUGGACCUUAAAAGACAUAAAAGACAUUAAUCCUUUAAUCUGCUCACACCGAAUACAAUAAGAGGAAAAUGCCAAAACAACCCGUCAACCACAAAGAAGACUAAACCCUUAUAUGAAAGAAGUGGUAAAGAAUGAGGUCCUUAAACUACUAGAUGUAGGAAUUAUCUAUCUUAUCUCUGAUAGUAAAUGGGUAAGUCCAACACCAGUAGUACUAAACAAAUCUGGAAUAACCGUUGUAAAAAAUGAAAAAAGGUGAGCCAAUCCCAACACGAAUUCCAUCUAGUUGGUGCAUGUGCAUUGAUUACAAAAAAUUAAAUGAUGCCACUAGAAAAGAUAAUUUUUCCCUUCUAUUUCUAGACCAAAUUCUCGAAAGAGUAGCUGGACAUCCCUACUACUGCUUUCUUGAUGGCUAGUCUGGCUAUUAUCAAACUCUAUAGCCUUAGAAGACCAGGAAAACCACAUUCACAUGCCCAUUUGGAACAUUUACAUUUAAGAGAAUGCCUUUUGGACUUUGUAAUGCUCCUGCAACAUUUCAAAGGUUCAUGCUAGGCAGUUUUGGUGACAUGGUUGAAAAUUGUCUAGAGGUUUUUAUGGAUGAUUUAACUGUAUUUGGUAAUUCUUUUGAUACAUGUCUUGAUAAUUUAGAAAGUGUUUUGAAAAGGUGCAAAGAAAAAGGAUUAGUUUUAAAUUGGGAAAAAUGUCAUUUUAUGACCACUUCUGGAAUUGUCUUGGGCCAUGUUGUGUCUUCAAAAGAAAUUGAAGUUGACAAAGUCAAAGUUGAAGUCAUUUCAAAAUUACCCUCACCAAAGACAAUUAGAGAAGUCCAUUCCUUUUUACGACAUACAUGAUUUUAUAGGAGGUUUAUAAAAGACUUUAGUGUCAUAUUUAGACCACUUUGUAACCUCCUAAUAAAAGACACACCUUUUGAAUGGAUUAAAGAUUGUCAACAAGCUUUUGAAAAAAUAAUUAAUCUUUUGACAUCAGCCCCAAUAAUGCAACCCCCUGAUUGGUCUUUGCCUUUUGAGCUAAUAUGUGAUGCUAGUGAUUAUGCCGUUGGUGUUGUUCAAGGACAAAGAAAGGAAGGUAAACCCUUUGUCAUCUAUUAUGCAAGUAGAACUUUGAAUAGUGCUCAAAUGAAUUACACUACAACUGAGAAAGAACUACUUGCUGUAAUAUUUGCAUUGGAUAAAUUCCAUUCGUAUUUAAUUGGUUCAUUUACUAUUGUUUAUUCUGAUCAUACUGCUGUGAGAUAUUUAAUGUCAAAACAGGAUGCCAAAUCAAGGUUGAUACGAUGGAUUUUGCUACUUCAAGAAUUUAACUUGACAAUCAAGGAUAAAAAGGGCGCCGAAAAUGUUGUUGCAAAUCAUCUUUCAAGACUUACAAAUGAGUUUUUAAUUGAAACAACACCCAUCAAUGAUUCUUUUCCUGAUGAAUUUUUAUUUUCUAUAAACAAAAUGCUUUGGUAUGCUAAUAUUGUUAAUUAUCUUGCAAUAGGUGAAAUGCCAUGUGAUUGGAGUUCCCAAGAGAAGAAGAAAUUCUUAACAGAAGUGAAAAGUUUUUACUGGGAUGAUCCAUACUUGUUCAGCUACUGCUCAGCUCAAAUUUUUUGAAGAUGCAUACCAGACGACGAGGUAAGUAGGGUCAUUUAAUUUUGUCAUUUUGAAGCAUGCGGUGACCAUUUUUCUUCAAAAAAGAUAGCUGCAAAAAUAUUAGAGUGUGGAUUUUAUUGACCUACAUUAUUUAAAGAUUCACAUGUAUUCUGCAAAGUGUAUAAGAAUUAUCAAAUGAUAGGGUCUAUUUCAAAGUGAAACAUGAUGCCUUUAAACCCCAUUCUUGUCAUUGAAAUAUUUGAUUGUUGGGGAAUUGAUUUUAUGGGCUCUUUUCCAUCAUCAUUUGGAUUUGUAUACAUUUUAGUUGCUGUUGAUUAUGUUUCAAAAUGGAUCGAAGCGAUUCCUUGUCGGCACAAUGAUCACAAGAUUAUGAUAUGCUUUUCAAAAGAAAAUCUUUUGAGCAGAUUUGGAAUACCUCGCGCCAUUACCAAUGAUGGAGUUAAGCAUUUUUGUAAUAGGCUAUUUGAGUCCUUAAUGAAGAAAUAUGGAAUUACACAUAAAGUUGCUACCCCUUAUCACCCUCAAACAAGUGGUCAAAUUUAAUUAGCAAAUAGGGAGAUAAAAUAAAUUUUAAAAAAGACAGUUAAUCCAAACCGUAAAGAUUGCUCUCUUCGACUAACUGAUGCACUUUGGACAUAUCGUACUGCUUUUAAAACAUCUUUAGGAAUGUCACCCUAUCAGCUUGUUUAUGAAAAAUCUUGCCACUUACCGGUUGAACUUGAACAUAAAUCAUUUUGGGUCAUUAAAGCUUUUAAUUCAAAUCUUGGUGGUGAUGAUGGUAAUGUGCGUAAAUUGCAAUUGAAUGAACUUGAGGAAUUAAGGAAUGAUGCAUAUGAGAAUUCCAGAAUUAUUAAGGCAAGAACCAAAUUUUUUCAUGACACAAGAAUUUUUCGGAAAACAUUUGAAAUUGGUAAAAAAGUAUUGCUUUAUAAUUCUCGUCUUCAUUUGUUUGCAGAGAAGUUAAAGUCAAAGUGGAAUGGUUCAUUUGUUGUAAAAAAACGUAUAUCCAUAUGAAGUCGCAGAAAUUGAGAAUCCAAAGGAUGGUGUCACAUUUAAAGUUAAUGGUCAAAGAUUGAAACCAUAUUUGAAAUACCAACCACGUGAAGCAGACACUGAAAUCAAUUUGAGUGACCUACCAAAUCUUGAUUAAGCCUGUUGAUUAGUAUUAAAAAUUGUUGAAUUAUCAAGCGAUAAUAUGUUAUUUUAUGCUUAUGUUAUAAUUUAUAUUUUUGUUUAUGUAAUAUAUUAGGAAUUAUUAAUUAUGUUUUAAAUAUAUUUAAUUUUGUGUAUUUUUAUGUGUUUAUUAGGAAAAAUAUUAAAUUCACGUACUUCGAGGCUCCAAACAGAUAAACGGAGGUAAAAUUUAGAUUUCGGAGGUCCGAAAACCUUAAGAUCAGUCAAGAUCGGCUUAAAAUUGGGCUUGUAUAAAAAAAAGUUGACUUUUCCUGUUGACCGAGCACUGAUUGGAUGAUGAAAUGAGCUUACAAUAGAUAUGAGUGUAUGGGAUAGCUGGCAAUCUUGACCAAAUCUCAACCGUUCAUGAUUCAAUGACCAUGAUUGUGCCACGUGGCAAUGGUUGGUGAAGCAAGUUGGAGGAUCCGAAUCUUUGUAUUCGGGUCGACCCGAUCCACCCAUUAACCCGCCAAAUCUCAACCGUUCUUUGGGUAAAUCGGACGAGUCAAAUGAUGCCAUGUGUGAUGUUGACUUUUGAAGUUUGACCAGCCAUUGGAUCUUGAUCUAAGGGUUGUGAGGAGCACAUGCAUGAAGCCUAUGAUGGACCGCAAAGCACUGGAUUAUGAAUUUAUUUUUCUAUAAAUAGGGCCUCAUUUUUAUGUUUUAAUCAUCUCUCUACAACUCUCUUCUUCUCAAAUUCUCUCCAUCUCCUUGUAAUCUUGAUUUCCAAGUGUGUUUUUAAUAUUUUGUAUAAUUAUUUUCAUUAAUAAAAUUAGUUUUAUUUCCAAUUUUAGUUGUUUUUAUUUCUUUUAAUUAUAAGUAAUGCAAUUUUACUACUUCUUUUUAUUUUAAUUAUGCUUAACUAAAUAAUAUUAGUUAGGGGAAGGUGAAACUCUUAGGAAAUAAAUAUGAUUUAAUCAAAUUCUAUUUUUAAUUUUAUAAAUUAAAUUAUUUUCUAUUUAAUUUUAUACAUGUUUUAUAUUUUGAAAUUUUGAUUUAUUGUAGACAAACAAAUGAAUUUGGCACAAUAAAUUCUUAAGAUCUUAAUAUAAGGCAUGGUGAAAUGGUAUUUUGACUUAUUGUAGACAAAUUAAAUUUUGGCACAAUAAAUACUUAAUCCAUCAUAAAAUUAAAGGGAAAAUAAUAAUAAUUUGUAUAAUUAAUCUUUUGGGUAAUAAAUCUAAAAAAAAUUGGCAAAAAGAAUUUAUUAAGUUUUAUUUACUUCUAAGAGUGGAUCCACAACCCUAACUAGUUCAAUUUCAUAGUUUCAUUUAAAUUAAGUUGUUUAUAUUCAAGUUUUAAUUUCAAUUUUUAGAUAAAAUAAAACAAACAAAUUAAAUCUUUUCUCUGUGGAUCGACCUCGGACUCACCGAGUUAUAAUACAACAAGACACUCUUAUACUUGGGAGUUAAAUAUUACUUUUAAGUUGUGUCAAGUUUUUGGCGCCGUUGCCGGGGAAAAGUUUUUUUUAUUUGGUUUGUUUUUCCGUUUUUAUUUUUCUCUUAUAUGUAAACUUUCGUUUGCCCCCUUUUCCUUUUCUUAAAUUCUCUUUUGUCCCUAUAUCUUUUAUAAUUUGCGUUUCAUCCCAACAAUUCCUGUUUCUAGCCCAAUCUUCUGGUAAUUACAUUCUGACCCCAACAUCUUUCAGUCGUUUCACUUUCAUCCCAAAAGGCUCAAUUCUAAACUUCUAAAAAUUACAGUUUGACCAUAAAAUUAAAAAUAAUUUGUAAUAAAAUCCCUAGACGAAAUUCCUCAAAAUAAUCAAGACUUGGACAUACUUUGGACAUAUUUUGGACAUACUUUGGACAUAUUUUGGACAUACUUUGGACAUAUUUUGGACCAAACUAACUUUAACUACUAACUCUAAUUAUUAACUCUUAACUUACUAACUGCUAACUCCUAACUUUUUUUUUAAUUUCAGUUAUUUAAUUUUCUGCAUUUAUUUUUGCUUCAUUGGUGGGUUUAACCACCAAACUAACUACUAACUCUUAACUUUAAUUUUCAGUUAUUUAAUUUUCAGUAUUUAUUUAAUUUUUUAUUUUUUAAUUGGUGGGUUCAACCACCAUUUUUUUUUCUAUUAUUAUUUUGCAUUUAUUUUACUUAAUUGGUGGGUUCAACCACCAAAAUUGUUAUUUAAUUUUCUUUUGUAUACUUAUAUUAUUUACUUAUUUAUUUUUUAUUUUAUUUUGUUAUCAAUUUGUGUAAAUAUUAUCUUUAUAACAUAACCCUUGCAUGAGACGUUGGUCUCGAUCUUCAAGUGGCAGGUUAAUUCGUAGAUCUCAAUCUCCACCACCAAUCAUGGAUGAGAAUGAAGGCGAAAACGUUUUGGGCGAACUUAAUCCUCAAAUUGAUCAGGGAGACAACCAAUCUCAACAUGGGCAUGAUCAGAAUCAACCAAGGACUCUGAGAGACUACAUGAAUCCAACCAGAACCGGAGCACCGUCGUGUAUAAUAUUUCCUCCAGAAGCAUCUCGAUUCAACUUUAAACCAGGUAUUAUCCAGCUUUUACCAACAUUUCAUGGUUUAGAAUCUGAGAAUCCAUACUUGCAUCUAAGAGAUUUUGAGGAAGUUUGUAAUACAUACACGGACCAAAAUUGUAGCAUGAACAUAAUUAGAUUAAAGCUUUUUCCUUUUUCAUUAAAAGAUAAAGCUAAAACUUGGCUACAAAACCUUAGAUCUGGAUCAGUAAGAACUUGGAAUAACAUGCAAGAACAGUUUUUGAAAAAAUUCUUUCCACCUCAUAGAACAAAUUCUUUUAAAAGGCAAAUCACUUCUUUCACUCAAAAAAAUGGAGAAACAUUAUACCAAUGUUGGGAUAGGUUUAAAGAGUUGCUUAACAUAUGUCCACAUCAUGGUUUUGAAACUUGGCGAUUGGUCACUUACUUCUACGAGGGCUUAAUACCCCAAAGUAGACAGGUUGUUGAAAUGAUGUAUAAUGGUGAAUUUAGGGAUAAAAAUCCUGAAGAUGCACUAGAUUACCUUGACCAAUUAGCUGAAAAUGCACAACAUUGGGAUACUGUUGGAACUUUUGAAUUAACAAAUAAGCAACAAUCAUCCCCAUCUAGUGGAGGAAUCCAUAACCUUAGGGAAGAUCAUGAUUUACAAGCAAAAUUUGCAUCCCUAGUUAGGAAAGUUGAAGCUUUGGAGCAUAAAAAGAGUGAUCAAGUAAAAUCUGUUCAAGAAAUUGCAUGUAAUAUAUGUAAUUCGAAUGAUCAUUUCACUCAAGAGUGUCCCACUUUGCCUGCACUUAAAGAAUGUCUAAAUGAUCAAGCUAAUGUCAUUAACACUUUCAAUAAGCCAAACCCAUAUUCACAGACUUAUAAUCCUGGUUGGAGAAAUCAUCCGAAUUUCAGUUGGAGGAAUAAUAAUAAUGCACAAUCUUCACAAGCACCACCUCCACAAAAUUUUCAAAAUCCUCAGCCUUAUGCACCAUAUGUUCCACCACCCUGGAAAAAUCUGGAAGACACAAUGCAUUCAUUCAUCAGAAAGCAAGAUGUUAUUAACAAUCAAAAUGCACAAACUUUUUCUGAUUUGAAAGAUACUGUUGCUAAAAUUGCUUCUGCACUUACCAUUCAAGAAAAAGGAAAAUUUCCAGCUCAACCACAACCAAAUCCUAAAAUUCAACAAAAUCCAUCCACAGACCAAGUCAAGUCAGUUAUAACUCUUCGUAGUGGUAAGGUUGUUGAUAGACCUAUGCCUGAACCUUAUGAAAAUGAUGAAAAUUCAAAGGGUAAGGAAGGACUAAAUGAACUUACACCUAGUGAAGAAAUAACUAGUGUUCCACCUGAACCACCAUUUCCGCAUGCAUUGAAUAAACCAAAGAAAUCAAACCACUCUUCUAAAAUUUAUGAAAUCUUUAAGCAAGUGAAAGUUAACAUUCCUCUAUUAGAUGCAAUCAAGCAGGUUCCUUCAUAUGCCAAAUUUUUAAAGGACUUGUGCACUGUUAAGAGGAAAUUGAAGGUAAGAAAUAGUACUUUCAUGGCCGAACAGGUAAGUACAAUUCUGUCUACUAAUAAUAAGUUGAAAUAUAAAGAUCCUGGUUGUCCUACCAUUUCUUGUAUUAUUGGUAACCACAGAAUUGAGCAUGCUUUAUUAGAUCUUGGUGCUAGUGUUAAUUUGCUUCCAUAUUCAGUUUAUCUUCAACUUAAUCUUGGUGAGUUAAAAUCAACUUCAACUACACUUUUGCUUGCCGAUAGAUCAGUUAAAGUACCAAAAGGAAUAGGGGAAGAUGUUUUAGUACAAGUUGAUAAAUUUAUUUAUCCUGUGGAUUUUAUUGUCAUGGAAACUGAACCUGUUGUGAAUAAUUACAAACCAAUUCCUGUAAUUUUAGGUCGACCAUUUUUAGCAACUGCUAAUGCUUUGAUUAAUUGUAGGAAUGGUUUAAUGAAUUUAUCUUUUGGGAAUAUGACUUUGGAAUUGAAUGUUUUCAACAUGUGCAGGCAACCUAAUGAAGAAAAUGAGAAUGAAGAUGAUACUGAUGAACAAAAGGAAUUAUUUGAAUCUUGUAUCAAGGAAAAUAUUCAAAAAGGGGAUUUUUCUGAACUUUCUAAUGUUUGUUUAGUUAAUUCAAUUGAGUCAAAUAAGCAACUUGAACUUGAUAUUUCUAAUAUAAAUUCGUUGCUUGAUUCUGUGCAGACUUCACAAAAUUAUAAUGACGAGCCAAAAUUUGAGGAGCUUGGAAGUAUUGUGUUAACAGAGGAGAAGAAUAAAUAUCUUUUCUUAUUUUUAAGUUUAUCUAACAGCCAGUACAAUAGGGUUAAUUUAUAGGACUACACAUUCCUAAUUUAACUUCCUAAUUUCUGGAAUUAUACAAAUUAGUAAUAACUGUACAAAUCAGACAAAUUAGACAACUAAUCUAAUCUUUCCAUAUUUUCUACACCCCCCCUCAAGUUGGUGCAUAGAUAUUAAUCAUGCCCAACUUGUCAAUGAAAGAUUCAAACUUUGGCCUGAAAUGUCCCUUGGUAAGAACAUCUGCUGUUUGUUGCUCUGAAGGAAUGAACGGCAUACAUAUAACUCCAUUCUCCAGCUUUUCUUUAAUAAAAUGCCUAUCAAUCUCAAUGUGCUUUGUACGAUCAUGCUGAACAGGAUUAUUUGCAAUGCUUAUCAGGUCUUGUGUGAGAUAAAUAAAUGAGUUUCCCUACAAGACGUUGAUAUCUACCUUUAUCAACUGGAACUCCAUCGGAAACCUCUCCUAACUUCUGAUUAGGAUCCACGGGCGUAUCACUUGGUCUGCAACCACUCAUUCCUGUCUCCUCUAGCAAGUCCAGAACAUACUUUCUUUGUGACACAGAAAUUCCCAUUCUAGAUCUUGCAACUUCCAUACCCAGGAAAUAGCGUAAGGGACCCAAAUCCUUAAUUUCAAAUUCCAAUGCCAGGUGCUUCUUUAGCCUACUCAUCUCAUCAUCAUCGCUUCCAGUAAGUAUUAUGUCGUCUACGUAUACAAUCAGGACAGCCAUCUUUCCACCAUCUGUGUGUUUCACGAACAUUGUAUGAUCAGAUUGUCCUUGACUAUAUCCUUCUUUUCUAACAAACCUGGUAAAUCUCUCGAACCAAGCACGAGGAGACUGCUUCAGUCCAUAAAGGGAUUUCUUCAAUUUACACACCUUUCCUCCAAACUUGUCUUCAAAACCAGGGGGCGCACCCAUAUAUACUUCCUCUUCCAAUUCUCCAUUGAGAAACGCAUUUUUAACAUCCAAUUGAAACAAUGGCCACUCCAAAUUAACAGCUACAGAGAGUAGUAUUCGAAUGGUAUUUAGUUUGGCUACGGGAGCAAAUGUCUCUUGAUAAUCAACUCCGUAGGUCUGUGUGAAUCCUUUUACUACUAACCUUGCUUUAUAGCGUUCCAAGGAUCCAUCUGAGUUGUAUUUCACAGUGAAAAUCCACUUGCAACCAACAAUCAAUUUUCCUUCAGGCAAAUAAACCAUCUCCCACGUUCUGUUUUUUUCUAGAGCCUCCAUUUCUUCACGAACAGCCUUCUUCCAUUCAGGAACCUUCAGCGCUUCCUGUAUAGACUUAGGUAUAUCCACACUUGACAAUUGUGAGACAAAAGUAUGAUAAGAUGAUGACAGGUUCUUAUAAGACACAAGAUUGGAAAGGGGAUGUUGAGUACAUGAUCUAAUUCCUUUCCUAAGAGCAAUGGGAAGAUCUAGAGGGUUAGAAUGUACUUGUGGGAUAGAUAAAGACUCAUACUCUAUAAAUUUAGAGAUUGUACCUGGAUUUUCAGAAUCAAUGUUUUUCGGAUCUGGAAUUGGAUCAGAUUCAUGGCGUUGAGGAAGUAUCGCUGCAUCUUUCUUACUUUGAAUCCGUUUCUCCCUAGUGUAAGUUUUCCCGAACAAUCUCUCAUCAUUGAAGCAUGUCUCGUCUAUUAUCGUAGUGUCAGUUUUAUGUUCAGGCACUAAGGUAAUCCUCAUAUCCUCCUUAUUCAAGGUAUUAGGAUUAAAAAUUUCAGUUUCAAUAUUUGCCUCACCAUUAGUAUUCAUGUCAAGCUCAAACACCGAGUCUUCAUUUCCUUUCCCCCCCUGAAGAGGAGGGUUAAAAAAACUUUGAGACUCAAAGAAGGUAACAUCCAUUGUGACAAAAUAUUUUUGUUUGUUAGGAUCAAAACAUUUAUACCCUUUUUGAGUAGGAGAAUAGCCCAGAAAAACACAUUUUACAGCCCUUGGAUCUAGUUUAUCCCUAUUAUGAUUGUGUAUAUGUACAAAGGCAACACAUCCAAAGACCUUUAAAGGUAAAUCUGAAGUCAAACGUGUCAUUGGAAAGAAUUUUUUAAAAACUGUCAAUGGUGGCUGAAAGUUCAAAACUCUUGAUGGCAUCCUAUUAAUAAGAUAUGUAGCAGUAAAAAUUGCUUCCCCCCAUAAGUAUUUAGGAACUUUAGUGGUGAACAUUAAAGACCUAGCUACUUCUAGGAGGUGCUUAUUUUUCCGUUCUGCUAUUCCGUUUUGUUGAGGAGUGUCAUUACAAGAGCUGUGAUGAACAAUUCAUUUUUCUAAGAAAAAUGACCCCAAUAUUUGAUUAAAGUAUUCCUUCCCAUUAUCACUUCGAAACACUUGAAUUUUUGUUUGAAAUUGUGUUUCAACCAUAUUAUAAAAGUUUUUAAAAACAUGUUCUGCUUCAGAUUUUUCUUUGAGUAAAUAGACCCAACUUAGGCGUGUAUGGUCAUCAAUAAAUGUUAUAAACCAUCUUUUUCCAGAAUUGGUGAAUGUCCUAGAGGGACCCCACACAUCACUAUGAAUAAGGGUAAAAGGCUUGGAUGCUUUAUAUGGUUGAAUAGGAAAAGAUGCACGAUGGUGUUUAGCUAACUGACAAAUAUCGCAUUGAAAAGACAAUAAAAGUUUAUUACGAAAUAAGGUUGGAAACAAAUGUUUUAAAUAUAAAAAGCUAGGAUGGCCUAACCUACGGUGCCAUAGCAUUAUUUUAUCAUCAGUAGAACUAAAGCAUGCUCCGAGAUUCGAAAUUUUCUGUUGCUGACACAUAGAGUUCCCAUCAUCAAAGUAAUAGAGACCGCCAUACUCUCUAGCAUUGCCAAUCAUCCUCCCCGUAUCCAGUUCCUGAAAUUCACAACAAUUUGGAAGAAAUUUAGCACAACACUUUAAAUCACGAGUGAUUUUACUUACAGACAAAAGAUUACAAGAGAGAUUUGGAACAUGAAGGACAUCAUGAAGAACGAGAGUAUUAGAGAUAACAAUUGACCCUUUCCUAGCAAUUGCCGAGAGGGAGCCAUCAGCAAUCUUAAUUUUUUGAUUGCCGGCACAAGGACUAUAGAAAGAAAAUAAUUUAGAGCAUCCAGUCAUAUGAUCGGUGGCACCUGAAUCUAGUAUCCAUGGACAAAGAGGAAUAGUGGACACAUUAAAGACAACAGAUUGAUAAGUACCUUUUUGGGCUAAGGAACAAGAAGAAGAUACUGGAUUAGUCACUUGUGUGGACUGAAAAAGUUUAUACAGUUGUUCUAACUGUUCCUUACUGAAUGAAGGUGUCGUAGCUGUAGUUGCAGUGUUUCCAUUCUCCUCAGUGGCUGAGUGGAAGGCCUUUGAGUCACGGUUUGACUGACUAAAAUUUCGUGGCUUCCAAUUAGGAGGUUUUCCGUGUAAAUCCCAGCAAGUCUCCCUAGUGUGACGUGGUUUGUGGCAGUGAUCACACCACACUUUUUCUCCUUUCUUGUUCUGCCGUGCCUGGUAUGGGGAAUUAUGGUGAUUAGUCCCUGUCAUUAGGGCUGAAACUUCUGGAACAGAUGCAGUUUUUUCUCCUAACAUCACUUUGCGUCGACCUUCCUCUCGUCGUACUUCUGAAAAUACUUCCUGGAUUGAUGGCAAAGGAAUUCUGCCAAGAAUCCGGCCUCUCACUUCAUCAAGGCUCUUAUUCAAACCUGCCAAAAAUUCAUAAACACGAUCAUCUUCAAUUCGUUUUAAAUAACGAACACUAUCUGUCAUACAGGCCCAAUCAUCUUCAUAGCAGAGAUCAAGCUCCUGCCAUAAGGCCUUCAUCUCGUUGUAAUACUCAGAAACAGCACGAUCACCUUGCCUAGUCUGCCAUAGUCUUGUUUUCAAUUCAAAAUUUUGUGAUGAAUUUUUUAGAUCAGAAUACGUUUCUCGAACUACAUCCCAUACAUCCUUUGCGGUGGGAAGAAACAAAUACGUCCUCCCAAUAGAAACCUCCAUGGAAUUGAUCAACCAGGACAUAACUAGGGAAUUUUCCGAUUUCCAAGUCUUCCAUGUUGGAUCAGUUUUUUCCGGCUCCUUCGUCUCACCGGUGAUGUAGCCAAGUCUACCCUUGCCAUCGACCACCAACUUAAUGGAUUGCGCCCAUUCUAGAUAGUUCUUACCGUUCAAUUUGUGACCGGUUAAUUGCAUGGGAAAACUCUCACUUCCGUUCAAGUUUCCAGAUCCCGACGGAAGAAACUCCCCUGCACCAAUUCCAGUAGAUGUAGCAGUGGAAUUGGUAUCACCAGUUACUGUAACCCCAGGCAUGGUGUUUUGCGCCAUUAUAACAAGACAAUGAACAGAUCCGUAUGGGAGUCAAGCCAGGCUUAAUUCUGCCAUAGCUCUGAUACCAUGUUAACAGAGGAGAAGAAUAAAUAUCUUUUCUUAUUUUUAAGUACAUCUAACAGCCGGUACAAUAGGGUUAAUUUAUAGGACUACACAUUCCUAAUUUAACUUCCUAAUUUCUGGAAUUAUACAAAUUAGUAAUAACUGUACAAAUUAGACAAAUUAGACAACUAAUCUAAUCUUUCCAUAUUUUCUACAUAUUGAAAAGACAGAACAACAAGAAGCACCUAAAAUGGAAUUGAAACAUUUGCCUGAAAGAUUGAAGUAUGCUUUUCUUGGAGAAGAACAAACUUAUCCUGUUGUGAUUUCUUCUACUUUAACAAGCGACCAGAAGGUAAGUUACUUACUAUUCUUAAAAAGCAUAAAAAUGCAAUAGGAUGGACUUUAAAUGAUAUUAAAGGCAUUAAUCCCUUAAUCUGCACGCAUAGAAUUAAUUUGGAAGAAAAUGCUAAAACAUGUCAACAACCUCAAAGAAUAUUAAACCCACACAUGAAAGAGGUAGUCAAAACAGAAGUCCUUAAAUUGCUUGAUUUGAGAAUUAUCUACCCUAUUUCUGAUAGUAAGUGGGUAAGUCCUACACAAGUAGUGCCUAAAAAAUCUGGAAUCACUAUUGUUAAAAAUGAAAAAGGUGAAUUAAUUCCAACACGAAUUACAUCUAGUUGGCGCAUGUGCAUUGAUUAUAGAAAAUUAAAUGAAGCCACUAGAAAAGAUCAUUUUCCAUUACCAUUCCUUGACCAAAUCUUAGAAAGAGUAGCAGGACAUCCUUACUACUGUUUUUUAGAUGGAUAUUCAGGUUAUUAUCAAAUUCCUAUAGCACUUGAGGACUAAGAAAAGACCACAUUCACAUGUCCUUUUGGAACAUUUGCAUUUAAAAGAAUGCCAUUCGGGCUUUGUAAUGCUCCUGCAACAUUUCAAAGAUGUAUGUUAAGCAUUUUUUGUGAUAUGGUUGAACAUUGUUUAGAGGUCUUUAUGGAUGAUUUGACUGUGUUUGGGAAUUCUUUUGAUGAUUGCCUUGAUAAUUUGGAGAAAGUUUUAAAAAGAUGUAUUGAAAAAGAACUCGUGUUGAAUUGGGAAAAAUGUCACUACAUGGUUACUUCUGGAAUUGUUUUGGGUCAUGUUGUUUCUAUUAAAGGAAUUGAAGUUGACAAAGCAAAAAUCGAAGUCAUAUCUAAAUUGCCACAACCAAAAACAGUUAGAGAUGUGCGAUCCUUUUUAGGACAUUCAGGAUUUUAUAGGAGGUUUAUAAAAAACUUUAGUGCCAUAUCUAAACCACUUUGUAACCUCUUAUUAAAAGAUGCACCGUUUGAAUGGAAUGAUGAUUGCCAAAAAUCUUUUGAAAAAAUAAUUUGUCUUUUAACAUCUGCACCUAUUAUGCAAUCUCCUGAUUGGUCUUUGCCAUUUGAAUUAAUGUGUGAUGCAAGUGAUUUUGCUGUUGGUGCUGUUUUAGGACAAAGAAGGGAUGGUAAGCCUUUUGUGAUUUAUUAUGCGAGUAAGACUUUGGAUAGUGCUCAAAUGAAUUAUUCUACAACUGAAAAAGAAUUACUUGCUGUGGUAUUUGCAUUAAACAAAUUUCGUUCAUAUUUGCUUGGCUCUAAAUCUGUUGUGUUUACUGACCACGCUGCUGUGAGAUAUUUGAUGAGUAAACAGGAUGCCAAACCGAGACUAAUUCGUUGGAUUUUGUUACUACAAGAAUUUAACCUUACCAUCAAAGAUAAAAAGGGUGCUGAAAAUGUUGUUGCUGAUCAUCUAUCAAGACUCACAUCCGAAUUCUGCAAUGAUAUAACACCCAUAAAUGAUUCUUUCCCUGAAGAAUUUUUAUUUUCUGUUACUUCAAUGCCAUGGUAUGCUAACAUUGUUAAUUUCCUUGUUACAAGUAAAAUGCCUUUGCAAUGGAAUGCUCAAGAGAAAAAGAUAUUUUUUUGUUGAAGUAAAGAAAUUUUAUUGGGAUGACCCUUAUUUGUUCAAAUAUUGCCCAGAUCAAAUUUUUCGGCGAUGUAUUCCUGAUAAUGAGGUAAGUAGUGUCAUUAAUUUUUGUCAUUCUGAAGCAUGUGUUGGUCACUUUUCUUCGAGAAAAACUACUGCUAAAAUUUUACAAUGUGGAUUUUAUUGGCCUACCAUGUUCAAAGACACAUAUGAAUUUUGCAAAAGUUGUGAAAAAUGUCAAAAAUUGGGAUCAAUUACAAAAAGAAACAUGAUGCCCUUAAAUCCCAUACUUGAAAUUGAAAUAUUUGACUGCUGGGGAAUUGAUUUCAUGGGUCCAUUUCCAUCAUCUUUUGGAUUUGCGUAUAUAUUAGUUGCAGUUGAUUAUGUCUUAAAAUGGAUUGAAGCAACUUCUUGUCGAAAUAAUGAUAGUAAAACUGUGGUUAAAUUUUUAAGAGAAAACAUUUUAAGUCGAUUUGGAAUCCCUCGAGCCAUUAUCAGUGAUGGAGGUAAGCAUUUUUGUAAUAAGUCAUUUGAGUCUUUAAUGAAGAAAUAUGGAAUUACACAUAAAAUUGCUACCCCUUAUCAUCCUCAAACAAAUGGUCAAGUUGAAUUAGCAAAUAGGGAGAUAAAACAAAUUUCUGAAAAAACGGUUAACCCAAACCGAAAAGAUUGGUCUCUUAGACUUAAUGAUGCACUUUGGGCCUACCGUACUGCAUUUAAAACGUCAUUAGGAAUGUCACCCUAUCGGUUAGUUUAUGGUAAACCUUGUCAUUUACCUGUUGAACUUGAACAUAAAUCACUUUGGGCUAUUAAAGCUUUUAAUUCAAAUUUGGAUGAUGCUGGUAAUGUGCGAAAAUUGCAAUUGAAUGAACUUGAGGAAUUAAGGAAUGAUGCAUAUGAAAAUUCAAGAAUUAUUAAGGCAAGAACAAAAGCAUUUCAUGAUAAAAGAAUUUUUUGAAAAACAUUUGAGAUUGGUCAAAAAGUGUUGCUUUAUAAUUCUCGUCUUCAUUUAUUUCCAGGAAAGUUAAAGUCAAAAUGGAGUGGCCCAUUUGUUGUAAAAAAUGUAUAUUCAUAUGGGGCCAUAGAAAUUGAGAAUCCAAAGAAUGGUGUCACAUUUAAAGUUAAUGGUCAAAGAUUAAAACCAUAUCUGGAACAUCACCUACGUGACGAGGACACCGAAAUUAAUUUGGGUGACCCAUCAGUUCUUGAUUAAGUCUUUAAUGAUUUAUUUAUUUUAUUUUAUUUUUUUUGUUUUACUAUUAUUUUGCCGUUUCAUUGUUUGAUUUUUCUAGAUUGAUGCAUUGUACAUAUUUUUUUACAUUAUUUUUCUUGUGUAAGCGUGUUUGUUUGACAGUUGUACAUUCUCUCAUCAAUUUUCAUUUUACAUCAUGAGCACCUCAAUGAGAAAAUUCCUGUUCGCACAUCUUAAAAGAUUUCUGCAUGUGAAAUUUCACUUAAGAGGCCUGAUACAAAGCUGUAAAUCACAUCCACUUUGGGAUCUGCAACCACCAGAAUUCGUGUCCUUUGUUGAGGAUCUAGAGGGACAACUCAGAAUGGUAGAGAGUGGCAUAUAUGAAUUUCAAUUGGAACUUGAGGUUAAUUCAAUGAGAGGACGAAUGUAAGUUCAUUUUCCUUUUAUAUUGUGUGCUUCUUUUUGCUCGCUUUCACGCUUGAUUUGAUUUUGCAGAUUUGAUUUUGGUGUGUUUUGAUUUAUUUUCCCGUAUAAAUGGCGGAUAACGGUACUCCGUGACUUCUUAAGUCGGUAUCUUCAGUUUCCCACAAUAACUGAAACCCCAAAAUCAAACAUGGAAGAAAUACAACAUAAACUGCAUAAGCAUUUUCCCUCUCUCCCUCAGAAUGCCCUCAGGAAAAUUUACAAAGCUCGUUGUGAACGACUGCGUUUGUUAAUGAUCAAUGGCAUUCCUUCUGACAUUCGUUGGUUAAUUGAAGCAAAGGUCCGAUUAGCAGGUGAGUUUUCUGAUCCAUUUGUUUCUUACAUGCCUGGUUUUGGUAAAAGUACGUUUGCUAAGAAAAUGAGAGCUAAACGACUUGGCUCAAAAUGUCAUAACUGUGUAAGACUUGGUUGUAAACGACUGGAUUGUAAAUCUUUAGGAAUGGUUUCUGAUACUCGUGAAGAUAAAAUUAAAUUCGUUAAAGAUGGCAUGAGUAAAGAAUCGUUGGAUGAUAUCUUACGAUCUCUUGAGACGCAUCGAAGCGGAUUUGUGCAACGAGAGAUUUAUAAUUUGUUGAUACUAUUCCAAAAACAAAGUGCACAGUUUAGUCUUGGGAAUCUGACUCAAAAAGACCUUGUUUGCCAGUUUAUAAGAAAACUGGAUGGGAAGCCAAUCCUCGACCCAUAGAGGGCGUUUAAGUCGUUACUAGACGUAAAACCAGAGGAAGAUGUGAGCCACAAUCACAACUACUAGUAAAUAUCCUUUCACUUCACUGUUAUUUUACUUUACUGUUAUUUUAUCAUUUGCAUUAUUGCAUUUAGCGGUGUGAUUUUGUAUUUAAUAAAUAUUUGUUUUCUUUUACUGUUUGCUUUUUCUAAUCAUUAUUUUCUUUUUACUGUAUGUUUUUGAAUUAUUGAGCCACGAGCUUUACUCGUCAUUUGACAAAUAUGCCAACCCAUUUACAGCUGUUUCUCAUUAUUUAUGUCACCAAGAUCUUUAAAUAUGAACUCGUUUUUCAAACACUCACAACUUGUUUUUGAAAAAUUAGUCCAAUGGCAGCAUCUUCGAGUAAACAAUUCAAAAAUAUUUGUGUGCUUUCUGGGUAUCACUAUGGAAAGUACAAAGAGUUUGUUCAGGCAGCAGUGGAUCUUGGUCGUGUCAUAGCAGAGAGGAAACUGCAUCUUGUAUAUGGAGGAGGUGAACGAGGGUUAUCAAGACUUGUCUCAGAAGCUGUUUUUACCAGAGGAAGUCAAGUACUCGGCAUUAUCCCAAAACCCAUGAAACCGCUAGUGUGCUUGUCUGGCCCACCAAUUGGAGAAGAAUUAGUGGUAUCAAGUAUGCAAGAGAGACUAUCUGAAAUGAUGAAUCAUGCUGAUGCUUUUAUUUUUUUGCCAGGAGAUCUUGCAACUUUUGAGGCACUAAUUACAUUUGCAUCUUGGGCCCACCUGAACAUUCAUAAAAAACCCAUCGGUUUGUUAAAUGUUAAUAACUUUUAUGACGGCUUGCUAACUUUUAUUAACCAUGCAAUAAAGAAUCAUUUUGUUCCACAUUCUGUAAAAAAACUCUUUAUCUCUGCUUCUACUACUAAUGAGUUACUUGAUCUCUUACAAGCUUAUACACCAGAGCCAGAUCCAAAGACUUUUGCACUAAAUUGGUCGACUAAUGAUGAUAGCGGUAACAGUAGCAGUAAUAAGAAGCGCGAUUUAGAUUUAACUCUCCGUUUGUAAAUAUUUUCUGUUGUAGUGUUCAUGUGCUGUCUUCUAAACUCUUUCUCUUUCCUUUUAAAACAUUGAGAACAAUGUCUUUUUCAGGUUGGAGGGAGGGAAUAGUUGAUAAUUGUGGAAUGUCUUAGUCCUGGUUAUGUGUUUACAAAAAAAAAAAAACAAAAAAUUUUUUUUUUUCUUUUUCUGUAAAGACUAACUUAGGACAAAUUUGAGUCGAAGAUGGCAGGAUAUAGAGAAUGUAGUCUCUCUAGAAACGCAUCUUCUUAAUCUUAAGGGUGUUGUUAAAAAAAAAAAAAUGACUUUUUCUUCAUUUUUGUUAUCUUCUUUUAAGCUUCUGCAUCAAGUUCAGGUAAGAUCUCCUCUUCUUCUUCUUUUAUUAUUCUAUUUUAUUUUUUAUUUCUUUUUUCUUUUUCUUUUUGCAUAUCUGUAAAAUUAUAAAAUGUUAAGAUAAUGUUUAGAUUAGGUUGUGGGGUGGGGAUAAUUGACGUAUGUUUUAAAUAUGUGUGUUGUUUUUCUCUUUUCUCUUUUCUUUUCUUUGUUAAAAAACACAAAAAACAAAAAAAAAAUUAGUUUUUUUUGUCUAGGAUGGCCGUGUAAAGAGUCACGACUUUUGAGACGCAUCCUAAUAGUCUUGUUGUAUUAUAUUUUGAUUUUGAGAUUCAUAGUAAGUUGUUUUUGUUCCCUUUUCUUUGAAUUACUCAAAUUUGUGAACUCUCCACUUGGUUAUUAAGUUAUUUAAUUGUUUACUAAUUUAACAGGUAUUAUUGAAUCAUUCUUCACACACACAUUAUGACACAUACUAGUGGGUUGUAAGUUAAAAUUUUACAGCAUUUAGUUCUUUUGAUUUAUUAGGAAAAGUAUCUAAGGUAGUAGAAAGUGUAUAUUUCAAAAAAAAAAUCAAAAAAAAAAUAUUAAUUUUGUUAUAUCUAGAAAUCCGAGUAAUUAAGUCCGCAGGGGUGUUUCAACACCUAGUGACCUAAGGUCAACUGGUCUGGGAGUCACUGGCCUAAAGCUCGCUACAUGGGUAAUAGAUAUAUUGUUUGUUUAUUAGAAACCCGAGUAAUUAAGUCCGUAGGGGUGUUUCAACACCUAGUGCCCUAAGGUCAACUGGUCUGGGAGUCACUGACCUAAAGCUCGCUACACGGGUUAGAAAUAUAAUAUAAAAAAAAAGUGUGAAUAAUCUAUUGCCUAAAGAUAUAAUUUCUAAUGAAUUUUGGAACGAAAAUGUUGUUCUUUUAAUGAAGCCCCAUAAGUAUUGUGUUAAUUACUGGAGCACAAAAGAAGGUUUGAUGAUAUUCUGGAUAAUGAGUGAACAUCAAUGUGGUAAAGAACUUUGGGAGAGUUCAUUUAUUUGGUAAUUUAGAGGAUAGAUGAACAACUAUUAACUUGCAUGUGAAUUUUAUAAAUCUUAAUUUAAUAUAACGCUUUAAUUGCUAGAGGGCUAGCAAUAAGCUGGUUGGGGGGUGUGAUUAGUAUUAAAAAUUGUUAAAUUAUCAAGCGAUAAUAUGUUAUUUUAUGCUUAUGUUAUAAUUUAUAUUUUUGUUUAUGUAAUAUAUUAGGAAUUAUUAAUUAUGUUUUAAAUAUAUUUAAUUUUGUGUAUUUUUAUGUGUUUAUUAGGAAAAUAUUAAAUUCACGUACUUCGAGGCUCCAAACAGAUAAACGGAGGUCAAAUUUGGAUUCCGGAGGUCCGAAAACCUUAAGAUCAGUCAAGAUCGGCUUAAAAUUGGGCUUGUAUAAAAAAAAAGUUGACUUUUCCUGUUGACCGAGCACUGAUUGGAUGAUGCAAUGAGCUUACAAUAGAUAUGAGUGCAUGGGAUAGCUGGCAAUCUUGACCAAAUCUCAACCGUUCAUGAUUCAAUGACCAUGAUUGUGCCACGUGGCAAUGGUUGGUGAAGCAACUUGGAGGAUCCGAAUAUUUGUAUUCGGGUCGACCCGAUCCACCCAUUAACCCGCCAAAUCUCAACCGUUCUUUGGGUAAAUCGGAUGAGUCAAAUGAUGCCAUGUGUGAUGUUGACUUUUGAAGUUUGACCAGCCAUUGGAUCUUGAUCUAAGGGUUGUGAGGAGCUCAUGCAUGAAGCCUAUGAUGGACCGCAAAGCACUGGAUUAUGAAUUUAUUUUUCUAUAAAUAGGGCCUCAUUUUUAUGUUUUAAUCAUCUCUCUACAACUCUCUUCUUCUCAAAUUCUCUCCAUCUCCUUGUAAUCUUGAUUUCCAAGUGUGCUUUUAAUAUUUUGUAUAAUUAUUUUCAUUAAUAAAAUUAGUUUUAUUUCCAAUUUUAGUUGUUUUUAUUUCUUUUAAUUAUAAGUAAUGCAAUUUUACUACUUCUUUUUAUUUUAAUUAUGCUUAACUAAAUAAUAUUAGUUAGGGGAAGGUGAAACUCUUAGGAAAUAAAUAUGAUUUAAUCAAAUUCUAUUUUUAAUUUUAUAAAUUAAAUUAUUUUCUAUUUAAUUUUUUACAUGUUUUAUAUUUUGAAAUUUUGAUUUAUUGUAGACAAACAAAUGAAUUUGGCACAAUAAAUUCUUAAGAUCUUAAUAUAAGGCAUGGUGAAAUGGUAUUUUGACUUAUUGUAGACAAAUUAAAUUUUGGCACAAUAAAUACUUAAUCCAUCAUAAAAUUAAAGGGAAAAUAAUAAUAAUUUGUAUAAUUAAUCUUUUGGGUAAUAAAUCUAAAAAAAAUUGGCAAAAAGAAUUUAUUAAUUUUUAUUUACUUCUAAGAGUGGAUCCAUAACCCUAACUAGUUCAAUUUCAUAGUUUCAUUUAAAUUAAGUUGUUUAUAUUCAAGUUUUAAUUUCAAUUUUUAGAUAAAAUAAAACAAACAAAUUAAAUCUUUUCUCUGUGGAUCGACCUCGGACUCACCGAGUUAUAAUACAACAAGACACUCUUAUACUUGCGAGUUAAAUAUUACUUUUAAGUUGUGUCACCUGUUUGUUUUAACGUUUUGUGAACUUGUUUUACUAUUACUUCAUCAUUUGAAUUGUUUGAAUUUUUUUUCUUUUCCAUAUGUCUUGAAUGGAGUGCAUUACAUUGUUUUUAAUUGUGUUGUUUGACAAUUGUGUUUUAGCUCACCAAAUGUUUCAUACUUGUCACGAGUACCUCCAUGAGAAGUAUCAUUUUCAAACAUCUUAGAGAACUUUUACAUGUAAAAUUUCACCUGAGGAAAUUGCUCCGACUUUGUAAAUCACAUCCUAUUUGGGAUCUACAACUAUCAGAGUUAGUAUCACACGUUAAAAAUCUAGAAAGACAACUUAAAGAAAUAGAGGAUGGUAUUUAUGAUCUGCAAUGAGAACUAGAGGUAAAUUCAAUAAAAGGACGAAGGUGAGUUAUAUUCCUUGUGUGUUUUAUUUUGUUGUUCUUUUUCACUUUUGAUUUGAUUUUGCAAUUUGAUUCAUUUUGUUUUGAUUCACUCUCCCGUAUAAAUGGCUGAUAACAAUACUCUAUGACUUUUUAAGUCGGUAUUCUCAAUGUCCCACAAUAACUGAACCCUCAAAGUCAAGCAUAGAAGAAACACAACAUAAAUUGCAUCAACGUUUUCCUUCUUUGCCUCAAAAUGCUCUUAAGAAGAUUUACAAAGUUCCUUGUAAAUGACUGCGUUUGUUAAUGAUGAAUGAGAUUCUUGCUGACAUUCGCUGGUUAAUUAGAGCAAAGGUCUGACUGGCAGGUGAGUUUUUUUGAUCCAUUUGUUUCCUACAUGCCUAGUUUUGGUAAAAGUACAUUUGCUAAGAAAAAAAGAGCUAAGCGACUUGGCUCUAAAUGUCCUCACUGUGUAAGACUUGCUUGCAAUAAACCACGUUGUAAAACUUUAGGAAUGGUUUCUGUAAAUCGUGAAGAUAAAAUCAAAUUCGUUAAGGAUGGUAUGAGUAAAGAAUCGUUGGAUGAUAUCUUACGAUCUCUUGAGAUGCAUCCGAGCGGAUAUGUUUAACGUGAAAUUCAUAAUUUAUGGAAGCUGUUCCAAAAGCAAAGUGCACAAUUUAGUCUUGGGAAUCUGACUCUAAAAGACCAUGUUUGCCAGUUUAUAAGAAAACUAGAUGGGAAGCCUAUCCUCGACCCAUAUAGGGUGUUCAAGCCGUUACUGGACGUAAAACCAGAGGAAGAUAUGAGCCACAAUCACAACUACUAAUAAAUAUCCUUUUAUUUUACUGUUAUUUUAUCUUUUGCAUUAUUAUUAUUUUUGUUUUUCUUGUGUGUGAUUUUAUAUCUAAUCAUUGUUUGCUUUUUCUUUUCAUUGUUUGCUUUUGAUUUAUUGAGCCAAAAGCUUCACGCGUCAUUUGACAAGCACACCACCUCAUUUACAGAUGUGUAUCAUUAUGUCCAUCACCAAGAUCUUUAAAUAGGAGCACAUUUUCAAGCAUUCCCAAAUUAUUUAUUUUUUAGAAUUGUUCUAAUGGCAGCAACUUCAAGUAAACAACUUGAGAACAUUUGUGUGCUUUCUGGAUUUCGCUAUGGAAAGUAUAAGGAGUUCGUUCAGGCAGCCAUAGAUCUUGGUUGUCCUAUAGCAGAGAGACAACUACAUCUUGUAUAUGGAGGAGGUGACCGAGGAUUAUCAAAGCUUGUCUCUGAAGCUGCUUUCGUUCGAGGAAGCCAAGUGCUAGACAUUAUUCCAAGAGCCUUAAAACCUUUAGGAUAUCUACCAGACCCACUAACUGGAGAAGAGUUAGUUGUCUUAGGUAUGCAAGAAAGAAUAUCUGAAAUGUUAAAUCAUGCUGACGCUUUCAUUUUCUUGCUAGGAGAUCUUGCAACUUUAGAGGCGCUAAUUACAUUUGCUUCUUGGGCCCAUUUGAAUAUCCAUAAAAAACUCAUCGGUUUGUUAAAUGUUAAUAAUUUUGAUGAUGGCUUAAUAACAUUAUUAAUUAUGCAAUUAAAAUUUAUUUCAUUCCACCGUCAGCGAAAAAACUGUUUAUUUGUGCUCUUACUGCUACGAGUUACUUGAUAUUUUGCAAGCUUACAAACCAGAACCAGAUCUCAUGACGUUAGCGUUGGAUUGAGCAACUGAUGAUGAUGACAGUAAACCUCGUAAAAAGUGUAAAUUAUAUUUAACUCUCCGUUUGUAAAUAUUUCCAACAGUGGCCAGGUGAUGUCUUCUAAACUCUACUUAUUUCUUUAGACAUUAAGGACAAUGUCCCCUUCAGGUUGGGGGGAAGGAAUAGUUGACAGUUAUGGAAAGUCUUUUGUGGAAUGUCUCAGUUAGGGGUGAGCAAAAUCGGGUUCGGGUCGGGUUCGGGUCAACCCGAUCGGGUUUCAGGUUGUUCGGGUUAAACAAGAACUAAUCCGAACAUAACCCGAAUUACUGUAUUCGGGUCGGGUCAGUAAUUCGGGUUAUGUUCGGGUUGGAUCGGGUUGGAUUUAAAACGGGUUGGAUUGAGUUCGGGUCAAUUCGGGUCAAAUUCGGUUAAUACAAUUUUGAGCUCUUUUUUUUCCUAUUAUUGUAGUUUUUAUGAAAGUUUUAAGACCUUUUUUUUAAUUGUAGUCAUUUUUACUAAUUUUCAACUAAAAAAAGAAAAGAAAAUGUUAUUAAAUCAAAUGAAUAAAGUUAAAAUGCUAUAAUAAUCAUUAAUUCAAAAAUCAAAACACAUAAAUAUUAUUAACAUAAUCCAUAAACAAAAAUUAGUAAUUUCAAUUCAAGUUGUUCAUGCUCCAUAAAAAUAAAGUAAGAAAUUCAUGAUUAAUUAAUUAAUUUAUAAUAUCCAAUUGUCCAUUCCCCAUAGUAAUAUGAUAUUAUUUUUCUAUCUAUAUCUUAUUUCUUAUUAUAAAUUAAAUCCUUUAAUUUCAAGUCCAAGUUACUUGUACUUAACAACUUAACGGAUGAUUAACAUACAAUAAAAUAUUAAUUGGAUUUAUUAAUUUUUUUUAGGGUUGAAAGCUUGAAGCUACUGCAUAAGUACACAUAAUUACAUAACACAUUAUAAUUAUAAAUAUAUAUACAACAUAAUACUUAAUUAAUUAAUUUUAAUAUUUAAUCUACCUAAUGUGCUAAUUUAUUCAUAAAAAAUCAAUUAUUAACUGUUUUUAACAAUUAUUAAUAAUUAUCAAUUAAUAUUAUUUCAAUUAUUAACUAUUAUUAACAAUUAUCAAUUAAUAUUAUUUCAAUUAUUAAUUAUUAUUAACAAUUAUUAACAAUUAACAAUUAACAAUUAUCAAUUAACAAAACCCACCAAUCAACAAUUCCUUUUUAUAUAUGAAAAAAAAUAAUUUUUGAUGAGCUCAAUAAUUAACAAAAUUUCCAUUACUAAUAUUUAUAAAUACAUAAUUAGUUAAUUACAACAAUUAAAUAAUAAACAAUUAUUGAAUUACAUAAUAAACUAUUUAGCAUAUAUAAUUAAUUAAUUAUAUAGUGUAUAUAACUAUAUAUACCAUGAAACGAAACGAGUCAAGGACUUAGGAAACGGGUCAAAAAGUUGAAGGCUUGAAGCUUGAAAGUGGAAGCUGGAAGGUGGAAACCGGAAGCUUCAAAAUCGGGUUCGGGUGGAGAGGAUUCGGCCUUCAAGCAGCAGAUUGGUGGCCACGGCUCACGGCUGGAUGGACGGGACUUCACUUGGCAGCAGAUCGCUGCUUCGCUUGGGAGUUGGCAGCAGUAGAUCGCGGAGAUGCGGACGGCUCACGACUCACGGCUGGUCGCGACUUCACUUGGCAGCAACAGAUCGUGAUUUCUUCAGCAGUUGGCAGCAACAGAUCGCGUCUUGUGGUGGCUGAUUGGUGGUUGCAGACUUGCGGGUUGCGGCUGCCUUGUUCUGUUCUUAAGUUGUUUGUGUUUGUUUAGUUGUUUGAACUUGUGAGUUGUGGCUGAUAGCGUGUGUGUGUGUGUGUGUGUUAGGUUUGCGAGUGAAUUGUUGAGACUUGAGACUUGAGUGACUAUGCAGCGUGUGUGUGUGCUGUGCAGCUCGUGUGUGUUCUGUUCUGUCAUUCUGUGUGUGUGCUAUGCAAGUAUGCAGCUUGUGACUUGUGUAGUUGUGUAGUUGUAUGUGCAGCAGCGUAUGUGUGUGUGGCUGUGUGCUGUGCAGCUCGUGUGUGUUCUGUUCUGUCAUUCUGUGUGUGUGCUAUGCAAGUAUGCAGCUUGUGACUUGUGUAGUUGUGUAGUUGUAUGUGCAGCAGCGUAUGUGUGUGUGGCUGUGUGCUGUGCAGCUUGUGACAAGUUGUGUGUGUGUGUGUGUGUUGUGCAGCAGCCGAGAGUGUGUGGCUGUGUGCAGUGUUACUGUUAGCCUUUUCCUUUAUAAAUUCAUAUCGAGCUAGAGCUACCCACUGAAGGUAACAACUUUAGAAAUUCUCCAUUUUACCACAUGUUUAAUUACGAGUUCCCGCAGCAUGAUAAGGGAUUAAAGGUUUCCUGAAUCCCUUUUUUUUUGUGGGGUUUCUUUUUUUCCCCUCGCUCCCAGUACAUGGAACACAUAAUUAAACAUAGAAAUAAGUUUAUUAUAUAUAAAUUAUGAUAACAAGAUGGUAGGCUUACACUUCUGAGGAUUUUGAACAGAGUAAACAGAUUCCAUUUGUCUGCAAGAGAAUCGCGACAUGAAUAUAAGUAGUGUUAGCUUAAGGUUUUUUUUUUUUUUUUUUAGAACCCGAUCGGGUAUUCGGAUCGUGUCGAGUUUGACCCGAACCGAUCACAACCCGAUCGGGUUUGUAAAUUUCAAACCGGUCGGGUUUCGAUCCCGACCCGAUCCGACCCGAACCCGAAAUUUAUCGGUUCGGGUCGGGUCGGAUCGGGUAAAAUGCCCACCCCUAGUCUCAGUCUUGGUGGUGUUUUUACUAAUUUUUAUUGUAAAGACUAACUUUGGAUAAAAUUUGAGUCGAAGAUGGCAGAAUAUAGAAUGUAGUAUCUCUAGAAACGUAUCUUUUUAAUUUUAGAAUUUUAUUUUUAAAAAAAAAAAUUGUUUUCUAACUUCUUUUUUUCUUUCUUUUUAUCUUUUUCUCUUAAUCAUCUCCUUUAAGUUUCUGCAAUCAGUCCCAUUUUUUAGUGUGUUCUUUAACUUUAAAAAAAAAGAGUUUUAUUUUUCGGUGUGAUCUUUUAACAUUGGAUAACAUGAUGAUUUUCAAAUUUUGGUAUUUGUAUUAUUUUUUACCUUGAGUUAUGUUACACUAUGUUUUCCCCUUUGCAUGUUGAAACGUAAAUUGAGAAAUUUGAUGAGUGAAAUUGAUUAAGCCAUUUGGAGGAAUGUACAUGUUCUAAAAAGUUCAAGCUAGUUUUUGAGUCUAUUAUCCUUGGAGAGUAACUUUGUUUGCAUAUAUAGCUUCACAAUUUAUUGUACAAGAUCUCUAUAUUUUCUUUAAAAAAAAAAAGGAGUUUGUGCAACCGCAUCUGAAAGUCCAUUGAAUUAGUGGAUAUGAAAGAUUAUUUAGAGUUUUAAAAGAUGACAGAAGACCAUCUUUGAUCUGUUUGAGCCUUUCUAGCCAACCCUAUUAUAAAGUAUCCAUAGUUAAUCUCUUUGAGCCUAUAUAAAGUAUCCAUAGGGAUGAUUAUGUAUUCUUAAUAAUGGUGCUAUGAAAAAAAGAGAGGAUAUGUCUAGAUAAAUAAAUAAAUAAAAUGAAAAAAAACAAAAACGAAAACAAAAAAAAAGAAAAACAAAUUCAAGCACUUUGUAAUAUUAAAAAAAGUCUUCUAUUUUUCAAACAUAUAUAUUUUUUCCUAUUACCUUUUUUUGUUCGCCAUGACCAUAGCAUACGUUACGUUCUAAUUAAAGUGCUUCUUAAUUUUAGAGAAUUAUAGUCUGAAGUAAAAGUUGGUAAUAUGAACCAAAAGUGUGGUGAUGCUUUAAAAUAUAAAUAAAUUUUGCUAGUAAUUUCUUGGACUUGAGAUCAUUUUAUUCUAAGCUGUGGGCAUUAUUUCUUCAUCUUGGUGAGAGCGUGUGACAUUGUUUUUAUACUUGAUCAUUUUAUUCUAAGAGUGAUAGUUUUUACUUAACUGUUAAUCGUAAGGUUUUACGGUUUGAUGUAUCAUUCUUAAAAAUGGCUUGAUUAAUGUAGCUCUGAUAAUUGAUAAUUUUACAUGAUUUUACUUAACUGUUUUGUGCAUGUGUGAUUUUCUUUAGGCUGAAGAUAAUGCUUAUACUUUUAUUUGAUUGUUGUCAUUAAUCUGAUGAAAGAAGUAACCACAAUUUAAAAAAAAAAAGAUUUCAAUUUGGUUUUGAAAUUUUGCUAACUUUUAAUCGCUUAAAUUGCUAAGGCCUAGCAAUAAGCUAGUUGGAGUUGUGAUUGACACUAAAAAAUGUAGAUUUAAUAAGGAUAAAAUUAUUAGUUUUUCACUUAUUGUGUUGAUUAAUGUUCUCAUUAUUUCUAAAUUAUUUUAAUACUCCCCAAAUAUAUUUUUAUGUUAAAUUAAUUCGCAAUAUGUUAAUUUUCAUCUUGUAAAUAUUUUUCAGGAAUAAAGAUGGAAUUGGAAUUGAAAGCGGAAAGCUGGAGCAAUUUGAAAUUCAUCAAUCGAGGAGAUGCUAUUAAAAAUUAAAAAAAUAAUAUAAAAAAAGAAGAAAAAAAGAGAUUGGCAAUCAUGUUGGUGAUGGUCAGGAGGCCAUCACGCCUUAUGACCAUCACACAUUUCAAUUAACAUAUAUAUAAUAUAAAAAUAAAAUAUUUAGUUGAGAAUUAAAUAAUAUAAUAAUUAACUGGUAAAAGUGAGGUCAAAUAUAAAAAUGAGAGAGUAAUAAAAUUAUAGUUGAAUAUUGAGAGUGGAUCUCGUAACCUUAGCAUAUUUUAAAUUGAUUCCAAAUAAUUUCUUUUUUCGCGUAAUUAAUUUUCUUUGUUUUAAAUUGACUACUAAAUUUUAAAUUUCUUGUAGUUCAAUCCCGGACUCACCGGGUUAUAUUAUAACUAGGUACUCUUAUACUUGAGAGUAAUAUAAUUUUGAGUCGUGUCAAGCUUUUGGCACUGUUGCUAGAGAAAUUCUUAAAUUUAGUGUAUUUUAUUUUUUUUAUUUUGUCAAUUAUUGUUUACGUUUUGUAUUUUCCCUUACGUCAUUUCUUUGUUUGGUUCUAAUAAUUCAUUUCAUAAAAUUUCAGUCAGCUCCCUUCUCUCUCUCAUAAUCAUAGAAUUGUCAUAAAACUUGUGAGAAACUUCAUUUAAGCCCAGAAACUUUUGCAAAUCAGUCCUCAAACCAAAUUUUUUUCUUUAAAUUUUUUAAAUUUACUUUCGCAUUUAUUUUAAAUGGUCAGUUCAACCGCUUGAUUGUUAUUUAAAUUUUGUUAAUUUAUUUAUUUUUGUUUAUAUGGUCGGUUCUACCACCUAACAUUUUAAUUUCAGUUUUUUUAUUCUUGUACAUUAAUUUAUUUACUUUUAUGUUUUGUUAUAUGGCUGGUUCUAAAAUACCGCCUAAUAUUUUGUUAAUUGUUUCCUUUAAUUACUUUGUUUUUAUGGCUGGUUUCAUUACCUAAUUUAUUUAUUUAUUUAUUUUUAGUUUGUUUAUUUUUAUUUCGCAUUUUUGCUUAUUUAAUUUCUAGUUUACUUUUAUUUCUGCAAUUUUCAUUUAGCAUUUUAUGCAUCAUUAAUUUAGCACACAUCAUUAGCAUUGCAUGUGUCGUUGGUCUCGUACAAAUAGUGGCAGAUUAAUUAGGAGAUCACCUUCGCCACCCUUAGAUAUGGCGGACAUAGGAACUGGAAAAUUUUCAGAGCACGAAGAUAACCAAACCUUGCAAAAUCUUCAUGAACAACCUAGGACCCUUAGAGACUUUAUGCAUCCUACUAGAACAAGGUCAUCAUCAUGCAUAAUUUUUCCUCCUGAUGCAUCAGUUUUUAAUUUCAAACUUGAUAUCAUUCAACUUCUUCCUACUUUUUAUGGUUUUGAGUCUAAAAAUCCAUAUUUGCAUUUAAGGGAAUUUGAGGAAGUCUGUAACACAUGUACUGAUCAAAAUUGUAGCAUGAAUAUAAUCAGGCUUAAGUUUUUUCUUUUCUCACUAAAGGAUAAAACUAAAGCUUGGCUACAAAAUCUUAAGUCAGAAUCUAUCAGAACUUGGGAUCAAAUGCAAGCACAAAUAUAUCAGAACUUGGGGAUGAAAUGCAAGCACAAUCUUUGAAAAAAUACUUCCCACCCCACAAAAAAAAUUCUUUCAAAAAACAAAGCACCACCUUCACUCAAAAACUAGGAGAAACCCUCUACCAAUGUUGGUAUAGGCUUAAAGAACUACUUAACAUUUGCCCACACAUCACGGUUUUGAAACAUGGAGAUUAAUGUCUUAUUUCUACAAGGGAUUAACAUCCCAAGGUAGACAAGUCGUUGAAAUGAUGUGUAAUGAUAAGUUUAAGGACAAAAAUCUUGAAGAUACAUUAGAUUAUCUUGACUAUAUAGUAGGGAAUGCACAACAGUGGGAUACAAUUGGGUCUUAUGAGUCAUCAAGUAAACCCCAAUCGUCUCCAUCUGGUGGAGGCAUACAUAACCUUAGGGAAGACCAUGAUUUCAAGCCAAAUUUGCAUCCUUAGCUAGAAAAUUUGAAGUAUUAGAGUCGAAAAAGAAUGAUCAUGUAAAGUCUGUUCAAAAUAUUUCAUAUUAUGUUUGCGAUUUUACUAAUCAUUCUACGCAGGACUGUCCAACCUUACCAGCUUUGAGAGAAAGUUUGCACAAACAAGUAAAUGUUGUUGACAAUUUCAAAAGGCCAAAUCCCAAUCCAUACUCCCAAACUUACAACUCUGGUUGGAGAAACCACCUAAAUUUCAGUUGGAGAAAUGACAACCAUGCACAACCUUCACAAUCAGUUACCCACCAUAUGUCCCACCACUAACAAAAACUCUGGAAGACACAUUGCAUUUGUUUAUUGAAAAAUAAGAGUCGAUCAAUAACCAAACGAUGCAAACCUUAACCAAUUUGACAGAAACUAUCUCCAAACUCACAUCUGCUCUGAUCGUACAUGAAAAAGGAAAGUUUCAUGCUCAACCUGAACCAAACCCCAAGAGUCAACAACAUCCUCAAAUGGGAAAUUCAGGAAACCAAAACAUGACUCAAGUCAAAUUAGUUAUAACCCUUCGUAGUGGUAAAGUUGUCGAAAAACAUAUCCAAGACCCUCGUGAAACUAGUAAAGAUUCAAUUUUAGAGAAUAGAGAAGAGUUUUCGAACCUUUUAACCAUGAAGAAAUAACCAACUCUCCUCCUGUACCCCCAUUUCCUCAAGCACUAAUCAAACGAAAGAAAUCAAACCACAAUCUAGAAAUUUAUGAAGUUUUUAAACAAGUAAAUGUCAACAUUCCUUUGUUGGAUGCCAUUAAACAAAUACCUUCUUAUGCUAAAUUUCUGAAAGAUAUGUGCACGGUGAAAAUGAAAUAUAAAGUGCAAAAGAAAGCUUUUUUAACAGAACAUGUAAGUUCCAUUCUCUCAACCAAUAGUGCUUUGAAAUACAAGGAUCCUAAUUGUCCAACUAUUUCUUGCAUUAUUGGGGAUCAUAAAAUUGGACAUGUUUUACUUGAUCUUGGUGCUAGUGUUAAUUUGCUUCCUUCCUCAGUAUACCAACAACUAAAUCUCGGUGAGUUAAAACCAACUUCUACCACUCUUUUACUUGUUGAUAGAUCGAUUAAGGUUCCAAAAUGAAUAAUUGAAGAUGUAUUAGUCCAAGUCGAUAAAUUCAUAUACCUUGUGGAUUUUAUUAUUUUGGAAACGGAACCAAUUGUUAAUGAAUGCAAACAAAUUCCUGUUAUAUUGGGUCGACCAUAUUUAGCUACUGCUAAUUCUUUGAUUAAUUGUACGAAUGGAUUAAUGAAAUUAUCUUUCGGCAACACGACAUUAGAACUCAAUGUGUUCAAUAUGUAUAAACAACCUCACCACCAAGAAGAUGAUGAUAAUGAGAAUGAGAAGAUUGAUCUCAUCGAGCCAAUCAUUGAGGAACACAUUCAAGAUGAGAAUUCUAUAAAAUCUGUGGAAAUUUGUUAUGCUUUUGGGCUCCUAAGUCCUAACUUUUAUAUUAUUUCCUACUUCUUGUUUUGUUAAGGAAUAAUUAUAUGUUUCUAUUAAUUAGUUCGUUAAUUAGUCUUCUAUUUUCUGUGUGUAAGUUGUUUAGGAAUAGGAUUAGUUACAAAUCUAUAUAAGGAAUCUUUUAUUAGUUCACUAGAAUAACAAUUAUUGCCUUUAAACUCCCGCUUCUCCUCUCCCUUCUCAUACUGUUCUUCUCUCUGCUCUUACUUGGAUCCAUUCUUUUACUUUCUAAAAAUUUCUUUUUUGUUAGUAGUAGCCUAUCAAUGUUUUAUUUCAUUUUUUCCUCUCAAAAGGCAGCCUAUCAAUGUUAUUGAACCGUAACAUUGAUUUCAUGCUAAAUUCAACAAUACAUUUCUCAUAACAACACAAAUUAAUUUUCAAGCCUCUUCGUAUCAAUCAAACUAAUUAAUUGGGAUAUUUCAAAUUUCUCGAUUCGGUGUUUGGGGGAUAUACUUCGACAAGGCUAGCCAUGACGAGCAGAUAUCAGGUACCCGAAUUCCGCGAACAGGUAUAUUCUGCAGAAGCCUGGUAGCAGGUGAAUACGAACAGGAAUACUCUGUUCGUUCACGAAUGUACCCUCCACGGGGCCACAGCAGGAGCCGGCCUCCUACUAGGAGCAUAAGCCCGUUCCUGCUAGAGGUUGAGGUGGGGAGACCCGGUCAAUGACGGUUGGUGAGACAUGCACUCCUGCCCGAGAAUCAAGGCACGAAGUCCAUCCAGCCACGACUACGAUAAUGGAGCAUCCACUUCCGAGAGUUGGGGAAGUGAUGGACGUGGAUCUUGGGAAGGCCCGAAUUCAAGGGAAGCCUAUAAAAAGGUAACCAACGAAGGUAGAAGGGUUAGACUUUUAGAUUACAACUGGGAAAAAAGAGCUUUUUAUUAAGAAAUCGUAAAAGAGCCAUAAGAUUAAUGGUCGUUUUUCCCAGAAAGGUAAAGCCUAUAUUUCUGACUUGAGCGUCGGAGGGUUUACGCCGGGAAAACACCCGGCGUGCUCUGACCUAUCUCUGUGUAUGCAGGAGUUUGCGGAGAAGAAGUCUUACGAGGAGAGAUCCUGGUCGUUGACGAGUUAGUUGAGGAGAGAUCCUGGUCAUGGACGAGCAGAAAACCAGAAUCUUGCAUUAACAUUUUGGCGCCGUCUGUGGGGAGCUGAGCAAAAAGCUUCUGUUAUUAGAGAGAAAAAGAGGAAAGGAAGUGAGGGAACAAUGGAUGUACGAGGAGGCAGUGCGCAAGGAGGUGACCCGAGGCUUAACGAGUCCGUGACGUUGAGAGAGAUAGCCAACGAAGCACAGGAAAAAGCAAUGUAUGAGCGAAUGGAACAGAUAGAGAAACAGAUGGAGACCCUGACAACCAUCCUACACGAGCUGAGAAGUGAACGAAGGGGAGUUCAAGAGGAGGGGGUAAGAAGUGGCGGAGUGACACCAGGGCACGAUAAUAUGAUGAGAGGUCGGACCACCAGAAGAUUUGGUGGUGAGGGGGGUAACUCAUCUCUACGGGGAGAAAGCCAUAGAAGAGAAGAUCAAUCCCCGGGAAGGCAGAUCUUAGAUAACGAUGACGGGGUGGCAAAUGCAAAGGAAAGAGAACUUCGGCAACACCUGUAUGAUGUUGAACAUGAGCGAGAUCAGGUUACAGCACAUGACAUUGGUCGUGCUGUACAGUUGGAAGAAGAAGUGCGCAGAUUAGCGCAUAUAAUAGAUGACAUGUAAGGACAGAGCAGAGCACCAGGUUGGAGGAUAAUGCUGGACGGAGAAUCCCCGCUCUCGGCAGAAAUCAUGACGGCAGUCAUUCCGAGGGAUUUUCACCUCCCAGACCUCAGAUACUCGGGGAGAAUCGAUCCGUUGGUGCACAUAGAGCGCUUUAACGACAUAACUGGGGUGCAAGGAUUAUCCUAAGCUCAAAGAUGCAGGGUGUUCCCGCUGUCUCUAGAGGGACGAGCACGUGAGUGGUACCAGAAGCUUCCUCGAGGGAGCGUUAAAUUCUUCAAGCAUAUGUGGCAGGAAUUUGCAAAGCAGUUUUGUGGGGCAAUGGCACCUGAAGAUGAUAUGAUGAAGCUGACGAGCAUGAAGCAGAGAGAGGAGGAAACCCUUCGGGAAUUCAUCAAAAGGUUCCAUCGUGCUGUCCUCGAUUUGGGAGCUUUCAACCAUCCUCAAACAUUAAGGGGAUUGAAAGAAGGGGUAAAGAUAGGACGGCUGUGGUACAAUUUGAGGAAUCCUGUUAUUCAAACGUAUUCAACUGCUUACGAGCAGGCCAAGAGGGACAUAGAGAUUGAGGAGGAAAAGGCAGCAUGGAUUAAGACAGAUCAGCUGGAAGGGUUGAGGAGGAAAGGGAAGAGAGCUCUACUAGGAAAUGGGCCAAUUAAGAGGAAGGACCAUCAUGCCUCGGGCACUGGUGCAGGGGGCCGGGUCACCUCUUACCAGCCUCAUCAGAGGCCACCCUAAUAUCAGCGCAGCAGGGCGCAACCUCCUCGUUCACCAGCCAGAGAUUCAUGGAGAAGGCAUGACCCGACAUAUGGUCAUCCUCAUCCACACCCACACGGUGGUAGAGGAAGCAGACCAGAAGCACCGCUACCCCCUCCAGUUCAGAACGGUAGCAACAGAGAAAGGACAGUACACAUGAUCAACCAGAGCCAAGACUAUGGGCGGUAUACUUCCUUGAAGAUGCCUCUGGACGAGGUGUAUGAGGCCAUAAAGGAACGAGGAUUACUGUACCUCCCUACUCCAAUAACAAAGCUACCCAGCAAGAGAGAUGGGGGAUGCUAUUGCAAGUUCCAUGGCACCCACGAGUUCGUAGAGGGGACCUUCUCGAUGGUGGCCUCGUCAUGUGAAGGAGAGCAGAGUGACAGGGACUUGAGCCACGAGCAGCUUAUGGUAAGAGUAAUUGCUGGGGGCCUAACAUUGGCGGGAGAUUCCAACAGGUCGAGGAAGAACUACUCUAAGUAUGCCAUGACUAGUAAAGAAGUGUUCUUCAACACCCCAGCAGCCAAGUGAGCAAGAAUUAGGCACGUUCCGAUCAUGUGGACAGAUGAGGAUGAAGAAGAGAUUCUAUAUCCACAUGAGGAUGCCUUAGUCAUUAAAGUCGCCGCUGCUAGCAAGAAGUUUGAUCGUACUCUGGUAGACACGGGAAGCUCGGUCGAUGUUUUGUUCAAGUCAACUCUGGAGGAGAUGGGAAUAGCAGACCUGAGGUUAGAACAUACCAAUACCUCCUUGAAGGAAUUUGGAGGAGGAAAGCUGGUUCCUCUUAGCGUGGUCGAACUGCCCAUCACAAUUGGCAGUGUUGUGCAAAUUUUAAUGUACUCGCAAGCGCACGAAUCUAUUGUAGUAUAGAUCAAUGGUGACGAGUGUCGAUCCCACGAGGAGGUGGAUUUUAAUUAUGUGUAGAAUUAAUUUUGUAAAUGGGUGGUUGGAUUUAUGGUGGAAGUGAUUUGAAUUAUCCUAAAAUUGGAAUUGAAAUGGCGAGAAUAAAUUCUAAAAUUGGAAUUGCAAUGGCGAGAAUAAAUUGAAGAGAAAUGUAUUGAAAUGACGUACUUGGGUAUCUGGAUCCGUAUCAACAUGCAUCAUGGGCUAAAUAUUCCUUAUUAAUGCCAAUUAAAUCAUGAGGGGGGAAUUCACACCUCAUGAACCACACUCUAAUCAAUAUGGUGCCAAGGGCUUAUCGUGCCAAAUAAUAAUAACCUUGUACUAGAGAGCCGGUGAAACCAAGGCGGUACUAGACAAGAUUAGUAUUAUUUGUCGACGAGAAGUCAAAACAUCCACAAAAUUUAGAGGGGAAGAGAAAGUAAAUUUACCAAAUAAAGCUCAUGACACAUGUUGAGACUUCACCUUCAACCCAAGCUUGAAAGAAAAUUAGCCACUCAUAAUUGAACUAAGGGCAAAAUGGGAAUUUAUUAAAAUACGUAGAAAAUACAAGAUGAAGAGGGAAUUACAGAAAAUGAAUCCCAAAAAUGGAUUCAGAGCUAUAAAAUUAGGGGGGAAAGGCCCCCUUUUUAUAGAUACAUGGAGUAAAUCAUGGCCAUCGGAUUAAAAACAGUUUGGACGCUCAGGAUUGCGCCACGUCAUCAGUCAACAGUCCACGGUUUGACCACGCGGAUGAACAGUAACACGGUUUGACCCGGAUGAACAGUAACACGGUUUGGUUGAAAAUAAUCCUGUGUGAUGCAUGCACCGUACGCGAGAUUUUUCGUCCACUGAUAUGCUGCCACGUCACCAUCAACAGUACAUAAGAAUUUUAGUCUAAUAGGAUUGUGACACCUCAUCAGUCAAUGCCACAUCAUCGGUCAAUGCCAUGUCAUCGAUCCGUCUAUGUGAACAGUGUCGUGAACAGUACCGUACACGUGAAUAGUAUCGUACAUGUGAAUAGUGCCAUUUUCCCUUUUAUGCUCCUCCUAAGGUUUUCGACCGUCCUGAGUUCAAAAAUGAUGUCUGUUUUGCCGUCUGAUCUCUCCUUUAUUGUGAAAUGACUAUAAUGCCCCUAAAAUACAUAAAAUACUUAAUUAAAAUAACACACACGUAAUUACAUUACAAGAAGGUUAAAUACAUAAAAGUAAGAGUUGUUAGUAAGACUUGAAAUGUAAAAUGAUGGUUUUCUCCUUUAUAAAUAUGCAUUUUCUAACACUCAACAGGCAGCUCCCCGACAGAAAAGACUAUGAUACUGGAUUUUGUGGUGGUCGAUGAAGAGGGUCCUUACUAGAUGAUUCUAGGCCGCCCCUUUCUGAGGAUGAGCAAAGCGGUACUUUCCAACCAUUAUCUAGCUCUCAAGUAUCGGGUGAACGGGGUGGUUGGAGUGGUACGAGGAGACUAGAGAAUUGCCCGAAGCUGUUACUCCACAGCAGCAAGGGAAGCAAUGCAGAUUACAUCCCUUGAUACUCGGGUAGGGGCCAAGAAUGGCAGACAGGAGCCCGUAGAGGAGCUAGAGAUAGUAAGCUUGGAGCAAGAUGAUCAAGGAAAAACAAUCUGAAUCAGGUCGAGGCUUAAAGAAGAGCAGAAGCGGGAGCUGGUGCAUUGCUUACGAGCUCAUGCAGAUGUGUUUGCUUGGACACAUGAAGACAUACCGGGAAUCGACCCUGAGGUCGCAUGCCAUAGGUUGGCAAUAAGGAAGGGUGCUCGGGCAGUAAGGCAGAAAAGGAGGUGUUUAAAUCAGGAGAGGUAUGAGGCUAUAAAUGACGAGGUGGAGAAGCUCUUGAAGGCAGGGUUCAUUCGGGAAGUUAACUACCCUGAGUGGAUAUCGAAUGUGGUGUUAGUGAAAAAGGCUAAUGGAAAAUGGAGGAUGUGUGUAGAUUUCACAGACCUCAAUAAGGCGUGCACGAAAGAUAGCUUUCCCUUACCCAAGAUCGACCAGCUGGUUGACUCAACAACUGGACAUGGCCUGCUUAGGUUCAUGGAUGCAUUUUCGGGAUACAACCAAAUCCCAAUGUUCGAGCAGGAUGAGGAGAGCAAGGUAUUUAUCACUAACCAGGGUUUGUUCUGUUACAGGGUAAUGUCGUUUGGUCUUAAAAAUGCGGGUGCCACGUACCAGAGGUUGGUGAACAAAAUCUUUAAGCUAUUGAUUGGGAGAACAAUGGAGGUGUAUGUGGACGACAUGAUAACCAAAUCAAAAAUCCCGAAGGAACAUGUUGAGCACAUCGAGGAGACAUUUGGACUUUUGAGGAAGUACAAAAUGAAGCUCAACCCGGAGAAGUGUGCCUUUAGGGUCGAGUCGGGCAAAUUUCUUGGAUUCAUGGUGAGUCAUCGGGGGAUCGAGGCGAAUCUCGAGAAGAUCCAGGCAAUCAUGCAGAUGAGAUCCCCUCGUAACCUGAAGGAGAUACAGAGCCUUACGGGGAGAUUGGCGGCAUUAAGUCGGUUCAUAUCCAAGGCGACAGAUAAGUGCCAGGCAUUCUUUCAAGUGAUAAGGAGAGGAAAGAAAACAGAGUGGACCCCUGACUACGAAGAAGCUUUCCAGAAUUUGAAGCAAUAUUUGCAGCAAGCACCUUUGUUGUCCACUGUUGUGCAAAUUUUAAUGUACUCGCAAGCGCACGAAUCUAUUGUAGUAUAAAUCAAUGGUGACGAGUGUCGAUCCCACGAGGAGGUAGAUUUUAAUUGUGUAGAGAAUUAAUUUUGCAAAUGGUUGAUUGGAUCUGUGGUGAAAAUGAUUUGGAAUAUGCUAAAACUUAAAUUAAAAUUGUGAGAAUAAAUUCUGAAAUUGGAAUUGAAAUGGCGAGAAUAAAUUGAAGAGAAUUCUAUUGAAAUGACGUACUUGGGUAUCUGGAUCCGUAUCAACAUGCAUCAUGGGCUAAAUAUUCCUUAUUAAUACCAAUUAAAUCAUGAGGGGGGAAUCCACACCUCAUGAACCACGCUCUAAUCAAUAUGGUGCUAAGGGCUUAUCGUGCCAAAUAAUAAUAACCUUAUACUAGAGAGCCGGUGUAACCAAGGCGGUAUCUAGACAAGAUCAGUAUUAUUUAUCGACGAUAAGUCAAAUCAUCCACAAAAACUAGAGGGGAAAAGAAAAUAAAUUUACCAAAUAAAGCCCAUGACACAUGUUGAGACUUCACCUUCAACCCAAGCUUGAAAAGAAAUUAGCUACUCAUAAUUGAACUAGGGGCAAAAUGGGAAUUUAUUAAAAUACAAAGAAAAUACAAGAUGGAGAAGGAAUUGCAGAAAAUAGAUCCCAAAAAUGGAUUCAGAGCUAUCAAAUUAGGGGGGGGAGGCCCCCUUUUUAUAGAUACAUGGAGUAAAUCAUGGCCAUCGGAUUAAAAACAGUUUGGACGCUCAGGAUUGCGCCACGGCAUCAGUCAACAGUCCACGGUUUGACCACGCGGAUGAACAGUAACAUGGUUUGACCCGGAUGAACAGUAACGCGGUUUGGUUGAAAAUAAUCCUGUGUGAUACAUGCACCGUACGCGAGAUUUUUCGUCCACUGAUAUGCUGCCACGUCACCAUCAACAGUAUAUAAGAAUUUUAGUCCAACAGGAUCGUGACACCUCAUCAGUCAAUGCCACAUCAUCGGUCAAUGCCACGUCAUCGAUCCGUCUAUGUGAACAGUGUCGUGAACAGUAAUGUAGACAGUACCGUAUACGUGAAUAGUACCGUACAUGUGAAUAGUGCCAUUUUUCCUUUUAUGCUCCUCCUAAGGUUUUCGACCGUCCUGAGUUCAAAAGUGAUGUCCGUUAUGCCGUCUGAUCUCUCCUUUAUUGUGAAAUGACUAUAAUGCCCCUAAAAUACAUAAAAUACUUAAUUAAAAUAACACACACGUAAUUACAUCACAAGAAGGUUAAAUACAUAAAAGUAAGGGUUGUUAGUAAGACUUGAAAUGUAAAAUGACAGUUUUCUCCUUUAUAAAUAUGUAUUUUCUAACACUCAACAUCCACGCCGCGGGACAGGGACGUGCUAUUCCUAUAUAUGGCGGUAUCGGAUCAUGCCACGAGUUCUGUUCUAGUGAGAGAGGAAGAAGGGGUUCAAUACCCGAUAUAUUACACGAGCAAGGCCCUGCUAAAUGCCGAGACCAGAUACCCGCCGUUAGAGAAAUGGGCACUUGCUCUUGUGGUUGCUGCUCAGAAGCUGAGGCUAUACUUUCAAGCAUUCCCCGUCUCAGUUAUAACAAACCAACGGUUACGACUGACACUACACAAGCCGGAUGCUUCUGGUCGGCUAGUUAAAUGGGCCAUAGAGUUGAGCGAGUUCGACAUAAGUUAUAAACCCCGAGGAGUAAUAAAAGCCCAGGCAAUGGCCGAUUUUGUGGCAGAAUUCGCAGAGCCCGAAGUUUGUUUCGACCAGCUGAAUGCUGCUACAGUUAACAACGAAGAUCGGGUAUGGCAGGUGUCGGUGGAUGGAUCCUCAGGGGAGUAGGGGUCUGGAGCAGGGAUUGUCUUGGAAGGCCUAUAAGGGGAGGAAAUCUCUUAUGCUGUAAAGUUGGAGUUCACAGCCACAAAUAACCAGGCAGAAUAUGAAGCUUUAAUAGCCGGCUUGGAAUUGGCUAAGGUAGUGAAAGCGGAUAGGGUGAAAAUCCGAAUUGAUUCCCAACUGGUUGCAAAUCAUGUCAGUGAAAUAUUUCAACCGAGAGAUGGGAAGAUGGAACAGUACUUGAAGAAAGUCAAGCAGAUGAUUAGGAAGUUUGAGGCGGUUGAGGUGAUACGAAUCCCAAGGGAGGAGAAUAGUCGAACAGAUAUUCUGGCCAGGAUGGCAGCUGUAGCAGAUCCGAAAAUGCCGAAAUCGAUCCCUCUGGAAGUGAAGUCCAGCCCUAGCAUCGAGCAGAAGUUGGAGGUGAUGCGGAUAGAACAGAUAUGCUCGUGGAUGGACCCGAUAAUCUCGUACAUCAGAGACGGGGUAUUACCACCAGAUAAGCUACGAGCUCGGAAGAUCAGAGCCCAGGCAUCGAGGUACACAAUGAUUGAUGGGGUGCUAUACCGGCGGGGAUAUACUCUACCGUUCCUUCGGUGCUUGGAUGAGGACGACGCAGAUUACGUAUUGAGAGAAGUACAUGAAGGAGUUUGCGGAAACCAUUCUGGCGCGAGGUCCCUUACCUACAAGGCUCUAAAGCAGGGAUAUUUCUGGCCGACGAUGCACCAGGAUGCGCAGGAGAAAACCAGGAGCUGCUUGAGUUGCCAGAGUUUUGCAAAUUUCUCUACCCAACCACCAGAGAAGCUCACUUUUAUGGCCUUGCCAUGGCCAUUUGCUCAAUGGGGAAUUGAUUUGAUUGGGCCGUUGCCAAAGGGACAAGGGGCAGCAACACAUGCAAUAGUAGCGAUAGACUACUUCACGAAAUGGAUAGAGGUAGAAGCCCUCAGCAGGAUCACAAAGAAAAAGACGACUGACUUCGUAUGGAGAAACCUGGUUUGUCGGUACGAGAUCCUUUGUGCCCUGAUAACAGACAAUGGUAGGCAGUUUAACAACCAUAACUUAAAGGAUUUCUGCCAAAACCUCGGGAUAAAGCUGAAGUAUUGCUCGCUCGCUCACCCUCAAUCUAACGGGCAAGUAGAAGCAGCCAACAAGAUAAUAAAGAGGCUUCUGAAAACUAGGCUUGGAGCAAAGAAGGGUGCAUGGGUUGAUGAGCUACCAAGUGUAUUAUGGGCAUACAGGACAACCCACAAAACAGCAACCGGUGAGACUCUGUUCGCUUUGGCCUUCAGACAUGAAGCUGUUGUACCGGUCGAGAUAGGGGAGACCACACACCGGACAGAUCACUUCGAUGAGCAGGAAAACAACGACCAGAUGUGCUUGAAUCUGGAUCUGCUGACCGAGAAGAUGGAGCCAGCAUCGAAGCGAUCAGCAGUUUACCAGCAGAGAGUUGCUCGAUAUUACAACCAGAAGGUGUGUAUACGACAGUUCAAGGUUGGCGAUUGGGUACUAAGGAGGGUGAACCAGAACACGAAAGACUUGACACAAGGAGUACUUGGACCAAACUGGGAGGGGCCAUAUAGGGUCAAGCAGGUAGCUGGACCCGGAGCCUACAAGCUUAUUCGCGCGGAUGGCCACGAGGUGAAAUGCCCCUGGAACGCAGCGCGCCUCAAGAAAUAUUUCCAGUAAGACCCGAUCAUGCUUUAAAGUUAUUUCUAUUUGUUCUCAUUGUUAUGCAUUUUAUGAUAAAAUCAAUCUCAUGUAAGUUGAGUUCAACAAUUAAUGAAAUGUUGAUGAAUUUCAGUCACUUGUAAUGUUGUAAAAAUUUCUAAGGCAUGCAAAAGCUAAGUCUCAAAGCCUGUUUUAUGGCGAGACAAGAAGCCAAGCGUGCAAAGAUCUGCUCGACCAAGCGAAGGCGAGCAGACUCUCAAACGUUGUAAAAAUUUCUAAAGCAUGCAAAGGCUCACUAAGUCUCAAAGCCUGUUUAUGGCGAGACCAGAAGCCAAGCGUGCCAGGAUCUGCUCGACCAAGUGAAGACUAGCAGACUCUCAAACGUUGUAAAAAUUUCUAAGGCAUGCAAAAGCUAAGUCUCAAAGCCUAUUUUAUGGCGAGACAAGAAGCCAAGCGUGCCAGGAUCUGCUCGACCAAGCAAAGACGAGUAGACUCUCAAACGUUGUAAAACUUUCUAAGGCAUGCAAAGGCUCACUAAGUCUCAAAGCCUGUUUAUGGCGAGACCAGAAGCCAAGCGUGCCAGGAUCUGCUAGAUCAAGCGAAGGCGAGCAGACUCUCAAACGUUGUAAAAAUUUCUAAGGCAUGCAAAGGCUCACUAAGUCUCAAAGCCUGUUUAUGGCGAGACUAGAAGCCAAGCGUGCCAGGAUCUGCUCGACCAAGCAAAGGCGAGCAGACUCUCAAACGUUGUAAAAAUUUCUAAGGCAUGCAAAGGCUCAUUAAGUCUCAAAGCCUGUUUUAUGGCGAGACAAGAAGCCAAGCGUGCCAGGAUCUGCUCGACCAGGUGAAGGCGAGCAGACUCUCAAACGUUGUAAAAAUUUCUAAGGCAUGCAAAGGCUAAGUCUCAAAGCCUGUUUUAUGGCGAGACCAGAAGCCAAGCGUGCCAGGAUCUGCUCGACCAAGCGAAGACGAGCAGACUCUCAAACAUUGUAAAAAUUUCUAAGGCAUGCAAACGCUUACUAAGUCUCAAAGCCUAUUUAUGGCGAGACCAGAAGCCAAGCAUGUCAGGACCUGCUCGACCAACGGGAAGCAGAACUUUUCGGCACCUGCUCGACCACAAUAUAAGCGAACAAAAAAUAAAAUAAUUUUCCAAGAGCUCGAGGCAAAGAAACCAAAUAAGAACAUUCUUGUUAAUCUACCAAUAAUCAUGAAAAACUGAUAGUCUUAACAUACAAUGUUCUAAAAAAGCGACUACAACACAAGAUACAUUCAAGAGGACGGCGGGUCAGUAAGUUGGGCAGUCUCUAUUGGCUGGUCCACCUCAGGUGCAGGGGGGGUCUCACCAGUUGCACCCGGGGGGGUACUUGCCUCGGCAACAUCGGCAGGGAUUGCACGAGGAUGAGAGUUUCCCUACUCAGUUGCAUUUGGCUCCAACUCUUCGACAUCCGCUUUUGCUGCCUCCUCGUCCAUAUAUUGAGCAACACCAAUAGCAAGCUCAUCCAUCUUCAGAUCAGGAUGCUGCUUCCCUAAGACAGCCAUGAUGCAGCGAUAAGAACGCCGAAGCCCCUGGUUAUAUUGGUUAUCAGCUUCAUUCUCUAGGUUUUCAACCUGAACCUGGUGGGAAUCUUUAAGAGAUUCGGGCUGAGCCUCGUAAGUAGCCUUUUGUCUCUGCAGGUCUUCCUUGACCCUAGUCAGUGUUGUGCAAAUUUUAAUGUACUCGCAAGUGCACGAAUCUAUUGUAGUAUAGACUAAUGGUGACGAGUGUCGAUCCCACGAGGAGGUGGAUUUUUAAUUAUAUAUAGAAUUAAUUUUGUAAAUGGGUGGUUGGAAUUGUGGUGGAAGUGAUUUAAAAUAUGCUAAAAUUGGAGUUGCAAUGGCGAGAAUAAAUUGUAGAGAAAAUCGAUUAAAUUGACGUACUUGGGUAUCUGGAUCCGUAUCAACAUGCAUCAUGGGCUAAAUAAUCCAUAUUAAUGCCAAUUAAAUCAUGAGGGGGGAAUCCACACCUCAUGAACCACACUCUAAUCAAUAUGGUGCUAAGGGUUAUCGUGCCAAAUAAUAAUAACCUUAUACUAGAGAGCCGGUGUAACCAAGGCGGUAUCUAGACAAGAUCAGUAUUAUUUAUCGACGAUAAGUCAAAUCAUCCACAAAAACUAGAGGGGAACAGAAAAUAAAUUUACCAAAUAAAGUCCAUGACACAUGUUGAGACUUCACCUUCAACCCAAGCUUGAAAGGAAAUUAGCUACUCAUAAUUGAACUAGGGGCAAAAUGCGAAUUUAUUAAAAUACAAAGAAAAUACAAGAUGGAGAAGGAAUUACAGAAAAUGGAUCCCAAAAAUGGAUUCAGAGAUAUCAAAUUAGGGGGGAGAGGCCCCCUUUUUAUAGAUACAUGGAGUAAAUCAUGGCCAUCGGAUUAAAAACAGUUUGGACGCUCAGGAUUGCGCCACGUCAUCAGUCAACAGUUCACGGUUUGACCACGCGGAUGAACAGUAACAUGGUUUGACCCGGAUGAACAGUAACGCGGUUUGGUUGAAAAUAAUCUUGUGUGAUGCAUGCACCGUACGCGAGAUUUUUGGUCCAUUGAUAUGCUGCCACGUCACCAUCAACAGUACAUAAGAAUUUUAGUCCAACAGGAUCGUGACACCUCAUCAGUCAAUGCCACAUCAUCGGUCAAUGCCACGUCAUCGAUCCGUCUAUGUGAACAGUAUCGUGAACAGUAACGUAUACAGUACCGUACACGUGAAUAGUGCCAUUUUUCCUUUUAUGCCCCUCCUAAGGUUUUCGACCGUCCUGAGUUCAAAAGUGAUAUCCGUUUUGCCGUCUGAUCUCUCCUUUAUUGUGAAAUGACUAUAAUGCCCCUAAAAUACAUAAAAUACUUAAUUAAAAUAACAUACGCGUAAUUACAUCACAAGAAGGUUAAAUACAUAAAAGUAAAAGUUGUUAGUAAGACUUGAAAUGUAAAAUGAUGGUUUUCUCCUUUGUAAAUAUGCAUUUUCUAACACUCAACACACCCCCCAACCAGCUUAUUGCUAGUCCCUAGCAAAUAAACGAAAACAAAAUUCAAAUUCAAAAAAUAUAUAUUUUUUUAGAAACACUCGUGUUUAUUCAAUCAGAUUAAUGAUAGCAAUCAAAUAAAAGUAUAAGCAUUAUCUCCAGUCUAAAGCAACAUCACACCCACAUCAACCAUCCACAUGAAUUAGCCCAGUAGACUUUGUUAUAGCUACUUUCAAGAAUGACAUGUCAAACCCCAAAAUCUCACUAGAAGUAGUGACACUCUCAUAAAGAAAUUAAAACCCAAUAAACAUAGUCACUCCAAUGAAUGGUAAUUGAGAGAGAAAAUAAUAAAGAAAUGAUAUCACAUGCUCUCACCAAGAUGAAAUAAAUAUGCCCUCAGCUUAGAAAUAAUACGAUCUCAAGUUAAAUAAAAAAAAUGUUAGUCAACCCAAUUUAUUUAUUUAUUUUUUUAUAUGCACCACUACAUCUUUUUAGCCCAUAUAACUAGCUUCUACUUCAAACUAUAGUUCCCUAAAAUCAAGAAGGACUUUUAUUAGGACGUAACGUAGGCUAGGGAUAUGGCUAACAAAGAAAGGAAAUAAGGAAAACAAAGUGUAUGUUUGAGAAAAAUGCAAAAUUUUUUUUUUUUUUUUUUUGGAAGUUGCAAGGCGGAUUUCACCUAUUAUUGUUAUUUUUAUUCUUUUGAAACAACAACUUUUUUUUUUGUUUUUUUUUCUUUUUGCUUUUAUUUGGCAUAACUUCACUGAACAACAUAAUUAUUUACAUUUUCUCAAACAUAAAUAGGUGAUGGAACUUAAAAAACAUUGGGUAAUACUCCAAAUCGGAGUGGGUCAAGAUGAUAAGUUGACAAAGAAAAGGUUUUUGUUCUUUUUUUUUUUUUUAAAGGCUCAAAAGGGGUAACUAUGGAUAUUUAAUAAAAGGGAUGGCUAGAAAGGCUCAAACGGAUCAAAGAUGGCCUUUCCAUCGUCUUUUAGGGCUCUAAAUAAUUAUCCAUAUCUACUGGUUAGAUGGGCCUCCCAAUGUAGCAACACACAUUUUUUUUCUUUCUUUUUUUUUUAAUUUUACCAUUUUUUUUAAAGGGUUAACUCAAAAGAAAUCUAGAGAUCGUGUAUAAAAUAAUAAACUGCUAAGCUGUAUAGAGAAUGGGCAAAAGGGUUACUCUCCAAGAAAAUGAUAGGCUCAACAACUCACUUGGCACUUAUUUAUGACAUGUUCAUUCCUUCAAGCAACUCAUAUUUGUCUCCGACAUCAACAUGUAAAGUAGCAAACAUAGCGUAACAUCACUUAAGACCAAAGAUAAUACAAAUACUAAAAUUUGAAAUUAAUCAUGUCAUCCAAUGUUAAAACAAAUCAUAAAAAAAUUUUUUUUUUACACAACAUUCUACCCCCCAACCUAUUCUAAACAUGAAAGGAAAAUAUGCAUGCAGAAAUGUGAAAAUGAUGUAGAAAAUUAAUUUUUUUUUUUUAACUAAGAAGAUACGUUUCUAGAGGCAUUACACUCCAUAUUCAGCCAUCUUCGACUCAAAAAUUUGAAAAUAUAUAUUUAUAAAGGAGAAAGAGGAAGAAAACGAUUUUUUUUUUUUGUUUUUUUUUUUAAACGAUGAAGAUGCGUUUCUAGAGUAACUACACUCCAUAUUCAGCCAUCUUCAACACAAAACGUUAGCAAAAGUUAGUUUCUACAAUAAAAAAAAAAUAAGUAAAAACUUAACCAAGAUUCUACAAUUGUCGACUAUUCCCUCCCCCCAACCAGAACGAAACAUUGUCCUCAAUGUUUUAAAGGAAAGAAGUAGAGUUUAGAAGACAUCACUUGGGUGGUGCAACACAGAAGAAAAUAUUUACAGGCGGAGAGUUAAAUCUAAUUUGUACUUCUUACUGCGGCUACUGUUACCAUCAUUAUUUGGUCGCUCCAACACAAAGGCCCAGGGGUCUGGCUCCGGUUUAUAAGCUUGUAACAUAUCAAGUAGCUCAUUAGCAGUGUGAGCACAAAUAAAGAGUUUUUUCACAUUAGAAGGAAUGAAAUAGUUUUUUAUUGCAUGGUUAAGAAAUGCGAUAAAGCCAUCAUAAAAGUUAUUGACAUUUAACAAACCGAUGGGUUUCUGGUGAAUGUGUAGAUAGGCCCAAGAUGCUAGUGUGAUAAGUGCCUCUAGUGUUGCAAGAUCUCCUGGAAGGAAAAUAAAAGCAUCAUCAUAAUUAAGCAUUUCAGUUAUUCUUUCUUGCAUACCUGAGACGACUAACUCUUCUCCAGUUGAUGAGUCAGAUGAACUGCCCAAUGGUUUUAGGACUCUUGGGAUGAUGCCUAACACUUGACUUCCUCUGAUAAAAGCUGCUUCUGAGACCACUUUUUGAUAACCCUCGGUUACCUCCUCCAUACACCAAAUGUAAUUUUCUCGCUGCUAUGCUUCGACCAAGAUCUAUGGCUGCCUCAACGAACUCUUUAUGUUUGCCAUAUGUAAAUCCAGAAAGCACACAAAUGUUCUUGAAUUGUCUAUUGGGAGUAGCUACCAUUAGAAUAUUUCUCAAAAACAAUUUGUGAGUGUUUGACAAAAGAAAUCACAUUUAAGAGUCUUGGUGACAGUGGGUCACAGCUGUGUAUGAGGUAACAUGUCAGUGUCAAAUAACGCGUAAAGCACGUGGCUCGCGAGUCAAAAAGGAAACAGUAAAAAGGAAAAAGCAAACAGUAACAAAAUUAUUAAAGACAAUAAUGCAAACAAUAAAACAACAGUGAAAUGAAAUAAAAUAACAGUAAAGUAUAAGGAUAUUUACAUGUAGUUGCGACUGUGGCUCACAUCUUCCUCUGGUUUUACGUCCAGAAACGGCUUGAACACCCUCUAUGGGUCGAGGAUAGGCUUCCUAUCCAGUUUUCUUAUAAACUGGCAAACAGGGUCGUUUAUAGUCAGAUUCCCGAGACUACAUCGUGCAUGCUCUUUUUGGAAUAAUGGCCAUAACUGGAGAAUCGCUCCUUGCACAUAUCCACUGGGAUGCGUUUCAAGAGACAGAAGGAUAUCAUCCAAUGACUCCUUAUUCAAGCCAUCCCUAAUGAAUUGAAUCUUAUCUUCCCUGUUAUCAGACACCAUUCCUAAAGAACAUGGGUUUCUAUCGCAACUCAUUCUGGCACACUUAUGACAAGCAACAGAAAUUCUUCGAGCUCGUCGUUUUCUUGCAUAAUUUCCUUUACCACAACCAGGCAUGUAUGCAAUAAAUUUUGGAGGUAACGCACAUGCCAAUCGUACUUUCGCCUCGAUUAACCAACGGAUGUCAGCAGGUAUGUUAUUCCUCAUGAAUAAUCGCAUGCGUUCGGACCGAGCUUUAUAGAUCGUAAGGAGGGCAUUCUGAGGAAGUGAAGGGAAUCGCUUGUGAAGUUUCGCUAGAAUCUCGUUUCUAUCCAUACCUUCGCCUCAGAAUAUCAGUUAUUAUGGGAAACUGAAGUAACCGACUUGAUUGUCACGGAGUACCGUUAUCCGCCACUUCACCGGGGUAACAAACUAAAGCACACAAACAGAAAAACAAAUUAAAACACACAAAGAAAAUUAAAAUCGUCCUCUUAUUGAAUUUACCUCAACCUCAAACUGGAUGUCGUAAACACUUCUCUCAAUGUCUCUGAGUUGGCGUUCUAAACCCUCAACAUAGGCUACUAACUCUGGUGGUUGUAGAGCCCAAAUGCGAGGUGUUUUACAAAAUUGAAUCUGCCUUUUGAGAUGAGUUUUGACACGUUGAAGUGGUUUAAGAAUGUUCAGGAGGAACGGUCUAAGUAUGGUACUCAUGAUUAACAAUGAUAAGAAAAAAAAAACUUAAUGGUAAAACAAACACACUUAUGCAAAAAUAAUUUCAAUUAGCAAAAGAAUAAUAAAAAGAAAGAAAGAAAAAUCAAAUCAACAAAAAGAAAAAAUCAAUUCAAAUCUGGUGGGUCACUCAAAUUUAUUUCGGUGUCUUCUCCAUGUGGUUGGUAUUCUAGAUAUGGCUUUAAUCUUUGACCAUUAACUUUAAACGUGACACCGUUCGUUGGGUCCUUAAUUUCAAUUGCCCCAUGUGGAAAAACAGUAUGAACAAUAAAGGGACCAGACCAUCGAGAGCGUAACUUACCUGGGAAUAGGUGCAAACGAGAAUUGAAUAAAAGCACUUUCUGACCUGGAGUGAACGAUUUUCUCAUAAUGUGCUUGUCAUGAAAGACUUUCAUUCGUUGCUUGUAAAUCUUGGCAUUUUCGUAUGCAUCAUUGCGAAUUUCUUCAAGUUCUGCCAGUUGUAAUCUUCUUUCUGAGCUGGCUUGCUGCAUGUCAAAGUUGAAUUUCUUGAUGGCCCAAUAUGCACGAUGCUCGAGUUCCACAGGUAGGUGACAAGCUUUUCCAUACACUAGCCUGUAUGGUGACAUCCCAAUCGGGGUCUUGAAAGCCGUUCUAUAUGCCCAUAAUACAUCAUCAAGUCUUAAUGACCAAUCUUUUCUGUCUAGCCUCACCGUCUUUUCUAAUAUGUGCUUUAUUUCUCGAUUGGAGAUCUCAACUUGGCCACUGGUUUGCGGAUGAUACGGGGUCGCCACUUUGUGUAUGAUUGAAUACUUUGUCAAAAGAGUUUUGAAUGCUUUGUUACAAAAGUGGGCACCACCAUCACUGAUUAUCGCUCGAGGGAAUCCAAAGCGUGAAACAAUGUUGCUUUUCAAAAAUGCUAUCACCACCUUGUGAUCAUUGGUCCUACAUGAAAUUGCUUCUACCCAUUUCGAUACGUAGUCAACAGCAACCAAUAUGUAUUGAUGGCCAAAAGACGGGGGAAAGGGUCCCAUGAAGUCGAUACCCCAUACGUAAAAAAUUUCAACCACUAAAAUUGGAUUUAGUGGCAUCAUGUUCCUUCGUGUAAUGCUCCCCAUUCGUUGACACCUAUCACAUGAAGAACAGAAAGUGUAAGCAUCUCGAAAUAUAGUUGGCCAAUAGAAACCACAUUGUAAAACUUUAGUCGCUGUUUUCUUAGCACUGAAAUGGCCUCCACAAGCUUGUUCAUGGCAGAAUGAAAGGAUAUUCUGAAUUUCACUUUCUGGGACACAUCGUCUAACAAUUUGGUCUGCACAAUACUUGAACAAAUACGGGUCAUCCCAAAAGAAAUUCUUUAUUUCUGCAAAGAAUUUAGCCUUGUCUUGCUUGGUCCAAUGCUCUGGAAAUUUACCUGUAACAAGAUAAUUAACUAUAUCAGCAUACCAAGGUAAUAAUCCACAUUCAUCAAUUGUUCAUCUGGGAAUGACUCAUUUAAUGGUAAUGGCUCUGUAAUUGUGUCAAAAUGGAGACGAGAGAGGUGGUCCGCCACAACAUUUUCUGUGCCUUUCUUAUCUUUGAAUUCCAAGUCAAAUUCCUGCAAAAUUAAUACCCAACGAAUUAGUCUAGCUUUUGCAUCUUUCUUUGUGAGAAGAUAUUUAAGAGCAGCAUGAUCUGUGAAUAUAAUUAUUUUACAACCAAUGAGAUAAGAUCGAAAUUUUUCCAAUGCAAACACUACUGCUAGCAUUUCUUUUUCAGUAGUUGAAUAAUUCAACUGUGCAUCAUUCAAUGUCAUACUAGCAUAGUAAAUAACGUGGGGAAUUCGAUCAACUCUUUGUCCUAAUACUGCUCCUACUGCAUAAUCAGAUGCAUCACACAUUAGCUCAAAUGGUAAGCUCCAGUUUGGGGCCUGAAUGAUGGGUGAUGAUGUCAACAACUGUUUUAAUUUUUCAAACGCCAUAAGACAUGAAUCACUAAAGAUAAAAGGUACAUCCUUAGCAAGUAAAUUGCAUAAGGGUCUAGAAACUUUGCUAAAAUCUUUAAUGAAACGUCUAUAGAAACCAGCAUGCCCAAGGAAAGAUCUUACUUCUCUGACUGUUUUGGGUGGAGGAAGAUUAGAAAUGAGAUCCACCUUGGCUUUGUCAACCUCAAUACCUUUGCUUGAAAUGAUGUGACCGAGAACAAUACCUUGUUUUACCAUGAAAUGGCAUUUCUCCCAAUUCAAGACUAAGUUCUUCUCGGUACAUCUCUGCAGAACUAGCGUUAGAUGAUGUAAACAUUGAUCAAACGAGUCACCAAAGACAGAAAAAUCAUCCAUAAAGACUUCAAGGAAUCGUUCAACCAUAUCAGAAAAAAUGCUCAACAUGCAUCGUUGGAAUGUAGCAGGUGCAUUACAUAAUCCAAAUGGCAUUCUCCUAUAUGCAAAAGUGCCAAAAGGGCAAGUGAAAGUAGUUUUCUCCUGAUCUUUUGGUGCUAUGGGAAUCUGAUUAUAUUCUGAGUAACCAUCUAGAAAGCAAUAAAAUUCAUGGCCUGCUAAUCUAUCAAGCAUUUGAUCAAUAAAUGGUAAAGGAAAAUGGUCUUUACGUGUGACAGAAUUCAACUUUCUAUAAUCAAUGCAUACACGCCAUCCUGUAGUUACUCUAGUUGGUAUCAAUUCAUUAUCAGCAUUGGUAACUACUGUGACUCCUGACUUUUUGGGGACGACUUGUACAGGACUGACCCAUGAACUAUCAGAAAUUGGGUAAAUGAUACCUGCAUCUAAUAGCUUAAGGACUUCAGUUCUAACAACUUCUUUCAUGUUAGGAUUUAACCGACGUUGCAUCUCCCUAGUAGUUUUAGCAUUUUCAUCAAGGUGAAUGUAAUACAUGCAGUCUACUGGGUUUAUACCUUUAAUGUCUACUAUGGUCCAUCCUAAUGCUCCUUUGUGCUCUUUUAAAACAUCCAACAACUUACCUUUUUGUUCGUCAUUUAGGGAUGAUGAGAUGAUUACCGGCAAAGUACUUUCUUCUCCCAAAAAUGCAUAUUCCAAUGUGUUGGGCAAUGGUUUGAGCUCGAGUUUCGGUGGUGAUUCUGAUGAUGGGAUGAGUUUCUUCUCUGAUGGUGCUAGUUGUUUAACUCUUGACUUCCAUUUAUUAGUGUCCAUGUAUGGUGCUGAGUCAAGUAGGGCGUUGACCUCAUCAACCGAUCUGUCAAUAUCAAAAUCCAAAUCAAAGUGAGUUAAACAUGUUUGUAAAGGAUCAUCAUUAAGGUUUGAAAGAAAAGUAUUAUCAACUAUUGUUUCUAUUAAAUCCACAUCAACAAUUCCAUCAUCUGCACUGUGAGGUUGUUUGGCAAUGUUGAAAAUAUUUAGCUCCAUAGUCAUGUUGCCAAAGGACAACUGCAUAUUUCCGGUCCUGCAUUGAAUGUGAGCAUCCGCAGUUGCCAAGAAAGGUCGGCCUAGAAUAAUAGGGAUGUGCUUCCUUGAAUCAUGUAUUGGUUGAGUGUCAAUUACAAUGAAAUCAACAGGAAAAUAAAACUUGUCUACCUGGAUAAGCACGUCCUCCACAAUACCACGAGGUAUUUUUGUGGACCGAUCUGCAAGUUGUAACACCACUGAAGUUGGGUGUAAUUCUCCAAGUCCAAGUUUCACGAAUACAGAGUAAGGCAAAAAAUUUAAACUAACUCCUAAAUCCAACAAAGCAUUCUCAAUUGUGUGGUUCCCUAUACUACAUGAGAUAGUGGGGGAGCCUGGGUCUUUGCAUUUUAAAGGAAUUUUAUGUUGGAGUAUAGAACUAACAUUUUCUGUUAAAAAUGCCUUCUUUUGAACAUGCAUAUUUCUCUUUUUAGUACAAAGGUCUUUAAGAAACUUGGCAUAAGAUGGAAUUUGUUUUAUAGCAUCAAGCAAAGGGAUAUUGACACUUACCUGUUUGAAGAUUUCGAGAAUCUCACCUGUGGAUUUUCCCUUCUUUCCUUUCACUAACCUCUGAGGAAAUGGAGCUUUGGGAACAUAUUCUCGCGGGUUGGUUUCUUCUUUCUCCUCCGGUGGUGAGUCCUCAGCAUUUACAGGUACAAUUUGAUUUUCUUUUGUCACCGGCAUCUCCACUUUGUUGUCGACUUCUUUUCCUUUUCGUAAGGUCAUGACUGCUUUGACCUCUCCAUGCUGCUGUGGUGAACUGGUACUUGCUUCAUGUACUUCUUUAGGAUUAGGCACUGGUUGACUUGGAAAUUUUCCUUUCUCAACAGUUAUUGCCAAGGUCUGAACUGAAGAAGCAAGUUGUCCCACCAUCUUCUCGAGGCUUGAAACUGAUUGAGCUUGAGAAUUGAAGCCUGCUCUCAACUCAUUUCGUAGUCCAUCAAUGGUGUGGUUCUGUUGCUCAAUCGUGGAGUGAGUAAGAUUCUUGAGAUUCUGGAAUGAAUCCUCCCAUGGUCUGGGUUGAGAGUAGUUCUGGUUCUGAUUGUAUGGUCUGAAUGGUGGCUGAGAGGCUUGAUGAUUUUGAGGAAUUGGUGGAGUUGGAGCUGCUAGUCCAUUCUGUUGGAAUCCUUGAGACCAUGAAAAAUUGGGGUGGUCUCUCCAUCCAGGGUUAUAUGUGUUGGAGUAUGGGUUGUAAUUAGAUGGCUUUCUCAUUACACCUAUGGCAUUGGCUUGAUCUGAGUAUGAGUCAUGGUCAUGUGGUUAUGUUGAUUUAGCAGUCGACAACGAUGCUAUUUGUCGAGCAAGACCUUCAACCAUCUCCUUGACUUCUUUGACUCCCGAAGUUGACUCGCCAAUUUGAACCUCAUUUACUCCCUUAAUUCUUCUAGUAUUCCUGAGUGAUCGACUCCGUUGUUGGGAAUUGUCCGCUUGUCGCUGGAAAAACUCCCAAAUUUCUGAUGCACUUUUUGACAUUAGCUCUCCUCCACUUGUUGCCAUUAGCCAUUCUUGCACAUUCGGCAAUAAUCCCUCCAAAAAGUAUUAGCAUUGGUGCCAUUUCUCGUACCCAUGAUGUGGACACUUCAAGAGUAGCCCAUUGAAUCGCUCCCAUGUUUCGAAAAACUGCUCGUCUUCUCUCUGCGUAAACUCUGAAAUUUCCCUGCGAAUAGAAUUGGUUUUAUGCACUGGGAAAUAUUUAUUUAGAAAUUUUGUAACCAUUUGUUCCCAUGAUGCAAUGCUAUUAGCAGGCAAUGUAUUAAGCCAUGAACGAGCUCUAUCCUUUAAAGAAAAUGGGAAUAAUCUGAGUUUAACAUCAUCGUCUGAAAAAUUUUCAUAUUUAAAAGUUUGACAAAUGGCAUGAAAAUCAUUCAGAUGAUUAUAUGGGUCCUCAUUUUCUAGGCCAUAAAAUGUGGGGAGACAAUUUAGCACACUAGGUUUUAAUUCAAAACUCCUAGCAGCUACAUUUGGGUAUCUUAUACAUGAUGUGCUCAAAUUAGCUAAAGGACUAAAAUAGUCCUUGAAUGGCCUCUCCUGUGGUGCUUGUAAAUCCAUUCCAAAUUUAUUUUUAACGUGCUUGUGUGUGCGAAGUGUUUUCUCAAGUUCAAGGUCUAUAGGUUCAAGAUUAGGUAAUAAUGACCUACGACCAUGCAUGCAAAACAAAUAAAAUAAAAAUGGGAACAAAACAAAUAAAAAUAAAGAAGAGGGAGAAAUUACGAUACUAACCUUAUUGCGCUAUUACAACCUUUCUAUAAAAAUAUACAAAAACAAAUACGUGAAAUAAAUUAACUAAAAAUUAAAUUAAUAAAAUAAACAAAAAUUACAAAGAAAAAAUAAAUUGAAAAUUAAAUUACAGAAUUUUAAAGAAGAGAAAGAAAAGAAACAAAUAAAAGAAAUUAUUCACAAAAAUUAAUUCUAUGAAUUAAAAUUACUUACCUCCCCGGCAACGGCGCCAAAAAACUUAUUGUGCAAAUUUUAAUGUACUCGCAAGUGCACGAAUCUAUUGUAGUAUAGACUAAUGGUGACGAGUGUCGAUCCCACGAGGAGGUGGAUUUUUAAUUAUAUAUAGAAUUAAUUUUGUAAAUGGGUGGUUGGAAUUGUGGUGGAAGUGAUUUAAAAUAUGCUAAAAUUGGAGUUGCAAUGGCGAGAAUAAAUUGUAGAGAAAAUCGAUUAAAUUGACGUACUUGGGUAUCUGGAUCCGUAUCAACAUGCAUCAUGGGCUAAAUAAUCCGUAUUAAUGCCAAUUAAAUCAUGAGGGGGGAAUCCACACCUCAUGAACCACACUCUAAUCAAUAUGGUGCUAAGGGCUUAUCGUGCCAAAUAAUAAUAACCUUAUACUAGAGAGCCGGUGUAACCAAGGCGGUAUCUAGACAAGAUCAGUAUUAUUUAUCGACGAUAAGUCAAAUCAUCCACAAAAACUAGAGGGGAAAAGAAAAUAAAUUUACCAAAUAAAGCCCAUGACACAUGUUGAGACUUCACCUUCAACCCAAGCUUGAAAGGAAAUUAGCUACUCAUAAUUGAACUAGGGGCAAAAUGGGAAUUUAUUAAAAUACAAAGAAAAUACAAGAUGGAGAAGGAAUUACAGAAAAUGGAUCCCAAAAAUGGAUUCAGAGAUAUCAAAUUAGGGGGGAGGCCCCCUUUUUAUAGAUACAUGGAGUAAAUCAUGGCCAUCGGAUUAAAAACAGUUUGGAUGCUCAGGAUUGCGCCACGUCAUCAGUCAACAGUCCACGGUUUGACCACGUGGAUGAACAGUAACACGGUUUGACCCGGAUGAACAGUAACGCGGUUUGGUUGAAAAUAAUCCUGUGUGAUGCAUGCACCGUACGCGAGAUUUUUCGUCCAUUCAUAUGCUGCCACGUCACCAUCAACAGUACAUAAGAAUUUUAGUCCAACAGGAUCGUGACACCUCAUCAGUCAAUGCCACAUCAUCGGUCAAUGCCACAUCAUCGAUCCGUCUAUGUGAACAGUAUCGUGAACAGUAACUUAUACAGUACCGUACACGUGAAUAGUGCCAUUUUUCCUUUUAUGCCCCUCCUAAGGUUUUCGACCGUCCUGAGUUCAAAAGUGAUGUCCGUUUUGCCGUCUGAUCUCUCCUUUAUUAUGAAAUGACUAUAAUGCCCCUAAAAUACAUAAAAUACUUAAUUAAAAUAACAUACGCGUAAUUACAUCACAAGAAGGUUAAAUACAUAAAAGUAAAAGUUAUUAGUAAGACUUGAAAUGUAAAAUGAUGGUUUUCUCCUUUAUAAAUAUGCAUUUUCUAACACUCAACAGUCAACUCCUCCUCGAGAGUGAUUGCCUUUGCCUGCGCGAGAGACUCCUGCUCUAUCAACUUCAUAUUCUCAAGGUUGAGAUCUCCAGCUUUUUUCUCGGUAGCAUCAGCCUUUGUUUUGGCCGACUGAACCUCUUCUUUCAUCCUUCGGUCAUAGCGGUCGACCUUCGCCUUAUAAUAAGUGGCCAUGCAGCUGAGAUGAAAAGCACUAUACUGCAUGGCCCCCACCAGCUCGCCCAGAGUGCUGCCGUCAAAGUCUUCUAAGUCUUUUUUGCUAACAAGCCUAGAAAACUCACUAAUAUAUGGGACCAGAUGCUCUAGUCGAUUGUCGGGCAAAUGAGGUUUCGACCCUGCUGGUGGAGGAGGAGAAUUGGGAUCAGUGGCUAUCCCACUACUUUUGCCGACUUUGGUAGGAGGAGGUGGUAGAGUCCUCAAGGGGGGGACCUGCUCCGUGAUGUUCACCCGUUUCGCAGAGGGAGCGUCAUUAUUCUGCUUGUGCUUAGCAGUAUGAGCUCGAGGACGCUUCCGAUUCAAAACCCCGAUCACAGCAUCCUUCAUCUUAAGAUCAGUGUGCACCAGACGAGACUCGAAGAAGUUGUAAGUAGUUAGCAACUCUCGGCCCGAGCAGGAAUUGGCUAACACAGCCUCGACCUUCUUGAGCGGUUCAGGCUUGAGCUGGUAGUGCACACCCCAAGAACCUGCAGUACGAGCAGAUAUUGGGUUAGAGAUAAAUGAACAAAAUGAGAACAACUAGGGAUACAAGACAUCUAAAGCGAGCAGACAACCUGGGACCACGAAACGGGGUGGGACGCGAUAGUUCUUCCCGUCAAUCUGUGCAACUUGACCCCAGGGACCCCCAGCAAAAAAGAAUUUUUUCUUCCAAUUCCCACCACAACUAGUUGGAAGAUCAGUUAUGGGUUUCCUGGUCUUGGUACUUGACAUGAAGUAAUAUUAGCCAGCGUCUUUGGGGCUGCUCUUUAGCUGGUACAGGUGCUUUACCUCAUCAAUGGUGGGCUCGCUCUGGCAGCAUCUGUCCCACAGAAUGAACAGACCAGAAAGUACCCUCCACCCGUUGUGGUUAAGUUGACCAGGAGCUAGGUUUAACCCACUAAGCAUUCGGGCAAAAUAAGGUUGUAGGGGGCACCUCAUCCCAAACUUAAAACUCUCCAGAAAAAGAGUAACGUAUCCCCUGGGAGGCCGACUGAGAGUAUCUUUUUUUCCUGGGAUCCUAAGGGGUAUAUCAUCAAGAAUAUCAUACCUAGUCCGGAGGUCAACAAGGUCGUCUACUGUGGUCGUGCACGUGAUGAAGUCAAUAGCAUAAUGUUCCGAUAGAGCCCUACCUCAUACUUUGCUCUUCCUAUCUGGUUGUGAUGUUCCUGGUGAGGACAUUUCACCAGAAUCUUCUCCCGGGUCCUCACUCAAGGUAUCCUCUGAACCAGAAGAUCCCUCGCCGCCGCUAUUACUAGUUGAUGAGGUUAUUUGGGGAGACAUCCUCCUAGCACUAGUCCCAACACUAGAUCUAAUCGGUUUUAAGGGGAUCCCAGGGUCAAAGGCAGAAUCGGCGAGUAGACUAGGCAAGAAGUCUAACUCGUUGUCAUCAAUCUCAAUUAUUUUUUUCUUUGCCUUUGGACAUUUCCUAAACUAUUACCAGAACAAUAUCACCAAACACUACCCAAGCAAAACAGAGAGAAAAGAAAUUUUCUACAACUAGCCAAAACCGAAGAAAUAGAAAUAAUACCUACAGUUGUGGCCCAGCGGAAUAAAGACAAGGAAGGUAGCUUUUACGCCGAGGGAGAGAAAAUAUUCAGUCACCGGAGAGGUAGAAGAGGGCUAAGAGAUGAGUUUCUCUUUUGGGAUUUUGGUUUCCCUAAUAAGGAACGAAUUCUUGGGCUGUCAGCAUUUAACGGCACGAGUUCCAAGGGUUUCAUAACCAUCGGUUUGAAAUUCAAUUGGAGGGAUAGAUCUCUGCCACAUCACCUCACCCGCAAUUAAAUGCAGCACGACUCCCCAAAGCCUCUUUCUAUCCUGCACGAGCCAGAACUGUUGAAUUUCUACUACCGGUCCACUACGUUACCCAACACCAAAAACUAAGGGACCGGUGUUUGGGGGAUAUACUUCGACAAGGCCAGCCAUGACGAGUAGAUAUCGGGUAACCGGAUUCCGCAAACAGGUAUAUUCUGCAGAAGCCUGUUAGCAGGUGAAUACGAACAUGAAUACUCUACUCGUUCACGAAUGUACCCUCCAUGGGGCCACAGUAGGAGCCGGCCUCCUACUAGGAACAUAAGGCCGUUCCUGCUAGAGGUUGAGGUGGGGAGACCCGGUCAAUGACGGUUGGCGAGACGUGCACUCCUGCCCGAGAAUCAAGGCACAAAGUCCAUCCAGCCAUGACUACGAUAAUGGAGCAUCCACUUCCGAGAGUUGGGGAGGUGAUGGACAUGGAUCGUGGGAAGGCCCGAAUUCAAGGGAAGCCUAUAAAAAGGUAACCAACGAAGGUAGAAGGGUUAGACUUUUUUAGAUUACAACUGAGAAAAAAGAGCUUUCUAUUAAGAAAUCGUAAAAGAGCCAUAAGAUUAAUGGUCGUUUUUCCCAUAAAGGCAAAGCUUACAUUUCUGACUUGAGCGUUGGAGGGUUUACGCCGGGAAAACACUCGGCGUGCUCUGACCUGUCUCUGUGUACGCAGGAGUUUGCGGAGAAGAAGUCUUACGAGAAGAGAUCCUAGUCGUGGACGAGUUAGUUGAGGAGAGAUCCUGGUCGUGGACGAGCAGAAAACCAGAAUCUCGCAUCAACACUACUUAGAACAAUAGUUGCCCAUUCUCUAAAAUUAUCCAGCUUAACAAAUGCCCCACCAUGACAUUUUCUCAAACAAAUGUUUAACUAAAAAAUAAUCACUACCACUCUUUAGUAACAUAAUACAAAAAUUACUUUAUCAUUUUUUACUUUUGCUAUGUAAACAACAAUGAAGUCAUAAAUAAUCUCAUUUUCCCUUCUAAGUAUAAACUAUUACCAUUUACUAAAUGAAUAUUACGAUAGUAUAAACACCACCAACAUAGUUCUGCUAUGUCUAUGCAACAUAAAAUUAAUCAUAAUUAAUCUCUUUUGACUUGGUCAAAUUUCUCGAAUUAGACAAAUUAAUACUUACCCACCACCAGCCACUCGGCCUUUGGCCGAGUGGUGAGAGCUGCUGCUCUCCAACUUGGAGAACAGCAGUUCGAACCCCCACAAUGCAUUGUGGGGGUCUUCCUUCCUCAAGUAAAUUUGAGUGAAGGCAGUCUGCUUCCUUACCUAAGUGUGAGGAGUAGACAUCCCUCGAAUAUUUGAGAGGGUUAAAAAUCUGGGCAGCGCUCCAUUAGUAUUGAUGUAUGUUGGUCCCAAUUAUAGUCUGAUUUAUAAAUAUCAGUUAUAUUCUCAUGUAAUAUGAGUUGUAAUUUGAGCAAUAGUCUCAUGUAAUCAAAAAAAAAAAAAAAUACUUACCCACCACCCUUGCUUUUUCCUGACAAUUAUAAUCUCCAUCUUUCCAAACACCAUCAUGUACAAGAUUAGUAACUACAUCUCCAAUAUGGGAGUUUAAACAGUUUUUCACCCAUAUAAAUAACUUUUUAAGGGUGUCAAAAGCUAAGGAUGAUAAUUUUUACCACUUCCGCCCGUUUUUGACAUUCAGUUUCACACAUGGGCACUGAAAAUAGGCCCACCAUCCAAAUUCAAUUACCUAUGACCAGUCAGCAAUGGUCACACUUCCUUUUGUUACCUAACGCAAACUGAAAUGGUAGGUUCUCACUCAUUUCUUCAACCUUACACAUGCCAUGCAUAUGACAAUUAUCUUGUCAAAUCAUGGUUUGUUACUAACAGUAUUUUGUAGCAUAACAAGACCCUAUGGUAUUUUUCUAAUAUAUACUCUAUUUUUGUUGUCUUAAUUAAUUACCUCCUAUUCUCAAAUGAUGAUGAUGAUGAUGAUGAUGAUGAUGAUGAUGAUGAUGAUGAUGAUGAUGAUGAUGAUGAUGAUGAUGAUGAUGAUGAUAAUUACCUUCCAGUUAAACAAAUACUAUAUUAAUGAUCUAUUAUUUAACAAGAAUUCGGUAAACUUGGCACAAAUAGAAUAGGAAUUGAUUAAUUAAUCAAAAUUUUAAUUUCUGUUGAGUAUAUAUAUAAAUCGAAAUCCUUUCUUACAUUAAGGAGAAGGGCAUACUGGUGGCAAACUAGAUUAUGAUAAGAUUACACAACAAGGAUACGAGACGAAUUUUUUUUUAUUUAUGCUGACUAAUGUCGCAUCUUUGUUGGAACACUUCAACGCGAUUUCAAGUUUAGGACACUAAUAUCAAUUAAUAAAUGGUAAUAUUAGUGAAAAUUUAACUAAUAAAUGUAUUGAACACUAAAUUAAUUAUUCGUGUAGUAUCCAUAUUACAUUACAAAUUUAUUCAUAUCAUAUUUAUAUCAUGUUGACUUAUUUUUAAGAAUAAUAUUGAAAUAUUUGUUAUUUUUUAAAAUAUUUGAUAUUCUUUCAUUAAAUAUAUUAGGUACUAGUAUGAUUUAUAAAAGGGAUGUAUCCAUAUUUUGAUAUUUUAACACGAUUAAUAAAUGAGUCGUAUUCAUAUUUACUUAAAUUUGACACAACACCAAGAAAACACAACAAUACACGAUACUACUCCAUGAUUUAACAUCUUAGAGGAUAGUUUCACAUGCAUAUGGUUGCUUGAAUGUGUUGCAUGCCCUAUAUCUUGUUCUAGUUUAUUUAUUUUAUUUGUUUUUUUUAUUCUUUGAAUAAGUCUUGCUAGCUUUAAAUAAGUUAGAGUCCAAGCUAUUUAGUUAGCUAAUUUGUUGGUACGUUCCUAGAGUUUUGGAAAGAAGUUGAAUUCUUUAUUAUUUAAAUUAUGGAAUAAUACUUCAAAAAUUUAUUCUGAUUUGAAAGUAAAAACUACUUAUAGUUUUGGAGGUUCGGGCUCCCCAAAACGAACUUGAUAAAUUUUAUUAGGUACUUUCUUUCCCUAUUAUAGAAUAAGAACUAAGAAAGCUAAUACUAUCUUGUAUAUACCAAAUUGGUGUCAGUGCUCGCCUACGGAUCAACCAGUAGAAUAACUGGAGAAGGCCAUGGAAAAUAUUACUGGCCAAGGAGAUCUCUUACAACAAUUAAUACAAGCUCAGUGUAAGAGUAGAGUAGAGUUUUAACCAGAAAAUGAGUCAAUAGGGAACUCCAAUGCUCACAUGCAAAAUCAAAAUAAGGGAAAAGAAUCUACUGCCCUAAAAGGCACACCAAGUGUUUGAUAGAUUAUCAAUGAAAUCAUCAAAGUCAGUCUCUACGGUUAUAUUUGCCAAAAACUGUAAAAAUUGAUUUCCUUCAUUAUGAAGGAAAAUGAGACCCAACCAUAUGGCUAUGCAACGUGUUCUUUGGACAUCUUUUCAUUUGGAAGGAGAAGCUCAUCUGUGAUACCAAUUCCUAUGACAAGAGAUGUCAAUUGUCUCUUGGGAAUAUUUUAAGAAAGCACUAAAUUCGUGGUAUGGAACUAAUCAAUGCAUGGACUUCUUUAUCGAACUAACUCGAUCGCAGCAAACAGGUUAAAUACAAGAUUACCAAGAAAUGUUUGAGAAACUUUUGGCUAAGACAGGACUGAUGGAUCAAGCUAGACUAGUCAACUAUUUUGUUGGAGGUCUUCGGGAACCUAUUCGAACUGAUGUUAGAGCCAACAAGCCAAAUAAUCUGUCCUCUGCUCUAGACUAGCAAGGUUAUUUGAAGCCAAAGAUUUUACCCACCACAAGAAUAUACAACUUGUCCUUCUUACUACACUAACACCACGCAUCAAUAAUCUAGAACUCUUAUCAAAAGAAUGACCAUGAAAGAGUAAAAUAAAACCCGCGCAAGGGCUUGUGUUUCAAAUGCAAUGAGAAAUUUGUCCCAAGGCAUAUUUGUAAGGAGUUAUUUUUUAUACAAGCUAUGUUGGCAGAGAACAAUGAUGAUGUGGUUAAUAGAGGAAGAAGGAAUUAAAGAGGAACAAUAACUUAAGCAGCUAGAAGUCUCCUUUCACAGGAUAGUUGGAUUGUGAACACCUGGUACAAUGCGAGUUUUUGGUACUCUUACAUAUAAAGUUAUGAUAGUGCUUAUUGAUUUUGACAGUUUGCAUAAGUUUGUAACUAAGUAGAUGGCUAAGAGAGCAGGAUUUCAACCCAGCUCCUAUGGAUUUGUAGAUGUCAUGAUAGCAUCUGGUGUAAGUGUGGUAGUCCUAGGUAAGUGCACCUAAACUCAACUCAAAUUACAAGUUUAUCCAAUUCCAGUAGAUUUAUAUUUACUAUCAAUUGAGGGCUAUGAUGUUAUCCUAGGUACUAAGUGUUUAAGUUUGUUACACCUAUUGAGUGGGAUUUUUCUAAUUUGUUUAUAAAGUUAGAAAGAAGAUUAUCUUGCGAGGCUUAACAAGUGCAGAAAAUCAGGUCAUAAAUAGCCAUGAAUUUAAACAUACAGCCAAAAAGAAGGAAAUUUUUCUAGAAAUAAUUCCUCCUAUUCAACCAACCAUUCACACGCAGAUACAAUAGUUCCUAUAAAAAUAUAAAGAUGUGCUGAAAGAAACUAAGAGACUAUCUCUAUCCUGAUCGUGUAAUCACUAGAUUCCAGUACAAUUUGAAAAAAAAAAAGACCUAUCUCAGUUCAUUAUCUUCACUUACAGAUGUAGAGAUAAAGAAGAUGGUGGUUGAAAUGAUAAUUUCUAGAAUUAUUCACUGUAAUAAUAACUCUUACUCAUCUUCAGUCAUCUCAAUUAAGAAGAAUAAUGGUUCAUAGAGAAUGCGUGUUGACUAUAGAGCCUUAAAUCAAAUCACUGCAAAGAUGGUUCAUAGAGAAUGUGUGUUGACUAUAAAUCCUUAAAUCAAAUACUUGUGAAAGAUAAGUUUUCGAUUUUAGUAAUUUAUGAACUACUAAAUGAGUUGCAAGGUGCAUAAGUAUUCUCAAAGUUGGAUCUACAUUCUGGGUGCUAUCAGAUCCGUAUAAGAUUGAAGGAUGUAGAGAAUACUUCUUUUAGGUCCUAUAAUGGUAAACAAUAAAAUUUUCAAUGAUACCAUUCGGCCUCAACAAUGCUCCUUCUACCUUCCAGACUCUCAUGAAUGAGGUAUUCAGACCAUUAUUAGGAAAAUUUGUCUUAGUUUUCUUCGAUGACAUCUUAACUUUUAAUAAAUCGUGGUUUGAACAUAUGAAAUAUUUAGAAACUGUGUUUUUCAUUUUACAACUUCAUAAGCUAUAUGUGUAAAUUGGAGAAGUGUGCAUUUGGCCAAAAGGAAGUUAAGUAUCUAGGCUACCUGAUCACAAAUACAAGUGUUACCAUUGACCUUGAGAAAAUUAAAGCAAUGCUCAACUGGCCCCAACCUCAAACUCUAAAACCUCUUCACAGAUUCAUGGGAUUAACAGGGUAUUACCACAAAUUCAUCCAAAAAUAAGUAAAACAAUUGUCCUUCUUACCAUGUUGAAGAAAGACUCUUUUUAGUAGCGUGAUCUGGAUUUGGCAGCAUUUGCAAAAAUGAAAGAGGUGAUGAUAUAUGCCUCUAUACUACUCUUAUCAGAUUUCUCAAGAUUAUUCACCAUAAAUUGUGACAUUUCAGGAGCAAGAAUUAGUGCUAUGUUUAUGCAAGAUAGGCCUAUUGCUUUUUACAGCACCGUUUGCUUUCUAUAUAUAAAAAGGAGAUUUUGGCUCUAGAUUUUAGCUAUCCAAAAAUGGUGUCCUUACCUCUUGGGAAGACAAUUUGCGGUGCAAACUGAUCAUCAAAGCUUGAAGCAUUUAUGGACUAAAAGAAAUCACAACUCUUGCUCAAUAUAAGUGGCUUUAAAAGUUAAUGGGGUUUAAUUUUGCAAUGGAGUGCAAGAGUGGAAGAAAAAAAAUACUAUAGCCGUUGCUUUAUCAAAGAAGCAUAAAUAGAAUAAAGCUGGUGAAAUUUAUGCAAUAUCUCAACCAUUGCCUAAUUGGAUUAAAGCAAUAAUAGUAGAAGUGCAAUUGAACACCAUGUAGCAAAAUCUAGUGAAGUUAGUCAAAGACGGUGAGACGAUGGGUCUUUGGAAGCUACAACAUGACAUUUUAUUCUUCAAAGGUAAGAUUUACCUUGCAAUACAUUCCCCUUUUAUUCAUACUAUAAUGGAACAAUCUCAUGGUGGCACAGAUGAAUGAUUCAUUAAAACUUUACAGCGGAUUUGAUUUAACUUUUUUUUGACAGACAUGAGGCAAGGAAUAAAAAAAUUCAUUAAAAAUUGUGAUGUUUGCCAAUGACAUAAGGUGGAGUAACUUGCAAUAGCUGGCUUCUACAACCACUUCCCAUACUGGAAAAAAUAUGGGAGGAUAUAUCUAUGGACUUCAUCCACCACUUGCCACUUUCUAGUGGUAAAUCAACUAUUUUUGUCAUUUUGGACAUGUUAUCCAAAUAUGCACAUUUCGUUGCCAUCACACAUACUUACUUUACCAUUAGAGUGGCAAGAAUUUUCUUUGAUCAUGUCUUCAAGUUGCAUGAAAUGCCUUAUUCAAUUGUGUGAGACAGAGAUCCUAAUUUACAAGUAUGUUUUGGCAAGAAUUAUUUUGACUCAAUGGCACAACAUUCAACUUUAGUUCCAAAUAUCACCCUCAAAAUGAUGGAAAAAAUGAAGUGGUGAAUCGAACUCUAAAUAUAUAUCUCGGGUGUUUCACAAGUUCUCAACCUAAAGAAUGGACAAAGUGGCUUACUUGAGCUGAAUAUCAUUAAAACACAAGCUAGUACUCAAUGAUCAAAAGGUCGCCUUUUGAAGUAGUUUAUGGACGACCUCUUCCUACACUCUUUGUCUUAUGUUCCUAGAAUAACUAAGGUUGCAGCUAUAGAGGAAGAACUUAAAGAUACAGAUAGAAUUGUGAAGGAAGCCAAGAGCAAGAUCAGUGAAGCUCAAUAAAAAAAUGAAACAGAUUUACGAUUCUAAGCUUCGAUAAAAAGAGUUUUCAGUUGGUGAAAUGGUGUACUUAAAGCUACAGCCUCAUCAAUAACUAUUUUGGCUUUAAGAAGAAAUAUGAAGCUUUCGACCAGCUACUUUGGGCCUUUUAAGAUUCUGUAGAGAAUACAUGUUAUAUCCCGCGUUUCACUUCUUAAGAAGAGUAUUGGCAAAGAGGUGGUAUAGCCUCAAUUGCCCACUCUUGACAUCACCAAAGAAAGGAUGAUCCUAAACCCAUAAGUUGUUCUCGACCGCAGAGUUCAAAAGAAGAAGCACCAAAUAUUAAUUCAUUGGCUGGGCUUGUCACCUGCAGAGGCAACAUGGGAGGAACGUGACUUCAUCAAAAAUCAAUUCCCUGAUCGUAGCCUUGACGACAAGGCUAUAAAUUAAGGGAGGAAGAGUUCUUACAUGUUCUAUGUUUUGUUCUAGUUUAGUUAUUUUACUUGUUUUUUUAUUGGCACGUGCCUAGAAUUUUGGAAAGACAGUUGUAUUCCUCAUUGUUUAAGCUAUAGAAUUAUAAUUCACAGAGAUUUACUCCGAUUUGAAAGUAAAAACUAUUUAUGGUUUUGGAGGUUAAGGCUCCCUCAAACAAAACCUGAUAAAUUUUAUUAACAAAGUUCUUUCCUUGUUGGACAAUAGACAAAAUUAAGAAAGCUAAUACUAGCUCGUAUAUACUAGAAUGUUAUUAAAUAAUGCUGUCUGUAAAGGACUUUACUCCUACUAUUCAACGAAAGAUAUAAUCAUUAUAAAAAGACUCGAGAAGUGUUGAUGCAAAAUUUUUGCUCAAUGUACAGCGAUUGAUUUGUGUUUCGGGCUUUCUUCUAAAUCGAGUUCUGUGUCU
rnacentral:lncRNA from 1 species